rnacentral:lncRNA from 1 species
AUUGUCUUGAUACAACUUUAUUUGUAUUUUAUUUCAGAAUUUAAACAACUAGUUUGGGCGGGUCACACACGACGUUGUGUGACACUUUAUUUGUCACCGCUGCAUCGACAUAUCCAUCGACUAAACAACGGUGAUCCAACUAUAUAUUACUAGAGACCUUUCCUUAUCAGUAGGCACCAACUCCGGUGCCAACGCUGAAUGGCACACUAGUGGUGGUUCUAUACAAGGGCACAUUGACACGGCACAUCGUUGGCAGGGUACGGAGCGCAAUGGAAGUCAUCACCUCAAGCUGAGCUAUCUGGUGUGGAUGCAAAAAGGUACCCUGUGCCAAUUGUUGUUGUUGAGGUUGUUGCCCGAGUUGCUGCUGCGACUGCUGUUGGGGUUGGGAAACGCAUUGGCCCAACUAUUGCGGUUGCUGCUGCUGAGUUUGGAUGGAACCCUGAACCUGUUGUUGUUCUUGCAGGACGAUGGAGUAGAUGAUAGCACGGAUUGCCUCAUAGCGGGAUUGCUGGGGGAUUUGCGGCAACUGCUGGCAACAUUGUUGUUGCAUCACAUGGCAACUGCUCUGCUGCAACAUUUGCGACCUAGCAAGACUUUGUGGCAUUGCCACAGGGCUGCAUUGCUGCUGGAGGAAUACCUUGCAUGGGUUUAGUUGCUGCAAGAUAGAUGGAUGAACAAAUGGUAUUUGUUGUUGCGGUAGAACUGAUUGUUGUUGUUGCGAAAAUGGUGGUUGUUGCGGUAGUACUGGUUGUUGUUGUUGCGAAAAUGGUGGUUGUUGCUGUGAAAAUGGUGGUAGUUGUUGCUGCGAAAAUGAUGGUUGUUGCGGUAGAACUGGUUGUUGUUGCUGCAAAAAUGGUGGUUGUUGCUAUGAAAAUGGUGGUUGUUGCGAUAGAACUGGUUGUUGUUGCUGUGAAAAUGGUGGUUGUUGCUGUGAAAAUGGUGGUUGUUGUUGCUGUGAAUAUGGUGGUUGUUGUUGCUGCGAAAAUGGUGGUUGUUGUUGCUGCGAUAAUGGUGGUUGUUGUUGUUGCUGUGAACAUGGUUGCUGUUGUGGAAAUGGUUGUGGUUGUUGUUGGAUAGGUUGUUCUUGUUGUUGGUGCCAUAAUGUUUGUUGUGGUGGUAAUGGUUGUUGCUGCGAUGGUCUCUCCAAACCAGGGAUGUGGCUAUUCUCCAUUUGUGCAAUGGCACUUGUCGCCGCAACGGCGAGGAGGGCAAAGAUGAGGAAGGUCUUCAUGGUGGAUUGGUGUUAACUAGUGUUGCUUGGUUUUGAUGCUUGUGCUUGUGACGAUCUUUAUACUUCAUGCCUAUUUAUAGUAGCCCGGGCACCACCUUUUUCUUCUUUGCAUUAGCUUUAAUAAUUUUGUUUGGAUGCAAAAAUGAUUUUUGGUACAAUGUGUUAGGUUGCACUAGCUACACGCGUACUUUUGGAUUGAUCAUCAAAGUUGCUUUUUAGUUGUGCAUAUGAUCACACAUAAAGUACAGAAACCUUGAUGUUUGGUAUAUAUGACUCACCUUAUUCACUUUACAUGUCACACACUUAUCUGGAUAGUAUCACUUUUGCAACCGAGUUUGGAACCUUGUAUAGGCUGUCAUCCAUAAACAAGAAAGGCAAAACUUGUGUAGGACUAAGUGUAGAACUAACUUUGUAUUUUUCCUCUAAAAUGAUUAGAUGAACCGACGCCUAUAGAGCAUGACAUGACUCAUCGAAUUCCCUUUACAUGUAAAGGAUGGUAAUUGCUUACAAGCUACUCCUACUAGCAUAUAUCCGGUCCUAACUCUUGACACGUCAUCAUCAGUUUCGCCUAUUUUUUUAGAUAAAUCAUCAGUUUCAUCUAUUUGUGAAGGGUUUUUUUGGGGGAAAUGAUAGUUUUUUUAUGCUAGGGGGAUUUUUUUGGGGGGGGGGGAUGACGCUAGGGGGAAAUGAUAGAUGGGGCUGGAACAGAGGCCCCCAGCCUGGAGCGAGAGAUUAGGCCCAACAUAAGUGCCGUGUGUUAGGGCACCAAUUCGAUUUGGGCUAUAGUUCUCGUAGGCCCCAACGACACAAGCCCAGCCCACACUCCGCGGAUCUGCGUCCCUCCCUUCCUCGUCCUCCUCGCCGGCCGGACCGCUCGCCGUCGCAGCCUCUCCCGGACGCCCACCGCUCGCGGCCCCUCCACGUACCUCCGCGGCAGCGGAGACGUCAGCCUCCCUCCCACCCUCAACAUCCGGCCCCCCACCACCACCACCACCGCUCGACAAAAAAGGUCACUUUUGAAGCUCCUCCGUCGAUUGUGGGCCGUACGUCGACGGCAGCCACUCCGACCUCCCCAUCAACACAAGGUAUCGAUUUGUUUCGUCUGUCUCUUCCAACGAUUCAAUGCACAUAAAUCCGAGAGGCAGACCCAUCUCCAUGCUAGCUGCACGGAUUAGGAGGGUCAGGCAUCAGAAUUCAGCUGGGAAGCCUGACAGUAAUGUACAUUUGUGGCUUUAGUAGCUGAAUAUAACUAUGUGCUUUCUGAGAAUUUCACUUCAAAAGUUCCAAUAAUCAUCAAAUUUCCCCCUAUGCGCGCUAAGCAGGUGGACCAUAUAUUUCUCAUGUCGACGAACGAAAAAACAAAACUCCACAACUAGAAGUCUAUGAUAUUGACACGGAACCGUGCUGUAGGGUCGCAAGUAAAAAUAUGAAAAGCAUGCCUAAUAAGCGAGAUGACGCAGUUCCUGACCGCCCCGCUACGACUAUUGGUUCCAGCGUGGCGUUUGAAUUAUGCCGCGCUAGAUGUCUUUUGUCCGGCGAGGAACAAGUGGGGUCAAGCGUGCUUCGGCAAUUCCCGCCGUCAGAAGACUUCCUUGUAGUCCGGUGUAGAGGUGAGGUUGUGGGGAGAUACAUCGACUAGCACUACUAGGGAAAAGGCUAGCAGCAGCGCGGGUUUUAGAUGUAUCAGUAGUGCGGGUACCCGCGCUACUAAUACGGCGCUACAGCUAACUCAUAGCAGUAACGCGUGAGCACCCGCGCUACUGCUACACAAGUGUAGCAGCAGCGCGGUUAUGAGAAGCUCGCUACCGCUAGUAGCGCUAGCGCUCUUUGGCCGGACGCUCUACUGCUAUUGAGGCGCUGCUGCUAACUUUUGUACACUCGCUACUGGUAAUUUAAGUAGUUUUUUGGCAUAUUUGUUUUGUAUUUGAACCGGCUUUGUAGAAGAAUCUUUAGCACAUAGAAAUGUCAUCAUGAUACACAUACAAAUGCCUGCGAGACCACAAAUGUAAUCAUAGCAUGUACAUACAAAUAGUCUCUUCAUAAUCAUCAUCCAACACAAAGUGAUAUCUUGUCAUCAUCUCGAAAAUAGCAAUACAUGCAAGUCUCGAAUACUUGCAACUACAACAACGUCAUCCAUCUAAACAAAGGUAUACGCAAGAAGUGCUAUCACUAUGAGUGAGAGCGGAACCAUGCAGUACAUGAGGUGGCGGUUAUGAGUCCUCUCUUGCGCUAGCGUGAACCUCAAGUAACUAGCUUCUCCUUCUUGUCUGCUUUUGAAGCCUUUAUGGCUGGCGCCCGUGAACCCAUUCACUUGCGCCUGACACUCAUGCCACUCGUUGUACACCCCCGGAACCUUCCCUUUGUACACGACAUAGCAUUUCCAUCUCGCCAUCAAGAAACUAGGUACCUGUUAGAGAUGCAUGUUCAUGAAGAGGAUGUACAAUCAUAUAUAUGCAACAAAAUAUACUAGAGCAACACUAAGAAAGAAAGGUUAGCAACUAGAUGCAACAUAUACAUUACGCAAAUUAAUUAACUAGAGGUACGCAGGUCAUCGUACGCAAACUAACAAAGUAGCGUUACGCAAGUUUGGCAGGGACCAUGGACAUCACAAAGUUUCAUCGCUACAAAAAGUAUACAAGUUCAACCGACACAUAUCAUCAUCAUCGGCAUCAUAAAUCACUAGAAGUUCCAUCCUUCCAUAUCAUCGAGGACGAACCCUAGCUGCUUGAACGGCGUGAGGUCUAGACGUUGCAUGCCUAUGCGAGUUCGGACGUCAGCUCGCGAUAUAGGGCCGUGGUGGAACAUCCCCUUCUCAUCGACGACUUCUUUCAUGAUGAUCAUCGCAAUGUCGCUUUGGAUGCGAAAGAAGUCAUCUCUAAGUUUAUAAUUCGCUUCUCCAUGAGAUUCUAGCCACUUGUGGAUAUGAUCAUCAUUUCUGCUGUUAAUGCGAAGCUUUUGGUGAUCCGUGUUGAACUGAAUCAUGAGAUGGACGAUGUAGAAUCCAUCCUUCUUGCUUGGUUUUGGGACGUGGAUGCAGGAGAAGUUAGUUUUAUGCGCGAAACCCAUCUUCUUGUUCCUUUGUUUCCUGAUAUGCACGUGGCCACCUCUAAAGUUGAAGCCUUGGAGAGCAUCAUCUAGAAUAUUCAUUAUGUGGGUGUAGUCCUUUUUCUCGUAGUCUCUAGAAGGGUCAAAAUACACGGCGUGGGAGACUUGCGGGUAAAGAAUGAUAAGGACGGCGCGCCCGUUGCUGCGGGGAAAAGACACCUCAAAUUAUUCCCCAUAUGAGAGAGAAGGAAUGAUUGAAAUGUACGAAAGGGUUGUCCGGAACUGACUUACUUUGGAUGAUAAGGCACGAGGACAAUUUCCCGGUCCUUAUUCUGUACCAUGAAGUUUUGGAGGUACUCCCUAGCAGUUUCACGCUCAAAGUCGCCGAGACUCAAGAAAGACUCGUGCAUGUAGUACGGAUCCGCCACACAGAUUUGCGAGACUUCUUCACUCUUCACGACGGAGCUCAUAUGUAGCGCAAAAAGGCGGACGAUAGUAAAAUCAAGCCGCCUUGUUAGAAACAUCUCAAAGAUAUGGUCAAACCGCAGGAAGAACACCUCCGUGGGCCGUGUGUCGACGUAGCACUUCCCCUCAGGCACACGAGCUGCGUAUGUCGGAUAUCCUGGAUCCUUUGAGGCUAGUAGGCUUUUCUCAGUCGACAGCACGUGGUCGUGCAGUCUCCUGAGAUUCCCUGAUAGUGCCUCCAGCGGUUUCGGCGGUAGCAUCGGCUCGCCCGUGAGAUGGAACAUGACCGCACCUUUCACGGGUACACGCUCUUCAGAAUGCAUCGUCUGGCUGCUGUGUGCUCUGGCUUGUUUGGAGGCAGUUACCUUCCCCAAUCUCUUCCUCUCCUUUUUCUUGGGCACACCUUCCAGACCCUUCCUUAACCCCUGCCCAAGUGUUCCCGGGCUAAGUAUUGUACGACCCUCACGCCCGGCUAGUUGAGCCUGUGUUGAGGCGGCAUCUUCAGGCGUGUCCUGUGAGGAUUUCAUGAAGAGAGACUUUUUGCAUUCCAUGGUACGGCCCUGCCCGGGCAUAUCAUCCAUAUCCUCAUUAGCAAGCUGAUAGCCCGAUUCGUCAUAUGGUUGACUCAUCAUAUCUAUGUCACAGUCAUACGCGUUUGUAUUGAGGUAAUCCAUCGGGUCGACCUCCGUCUCAUCAUCCAUUCUCUGUUCUACAGGAGAAAUUACAUCAGCCAGUACUAUUGCACCCCCUUCAUCAUGUCGUCCGCCGCUCUCACACGGCACUACUACAGGAGCUGGUAAUUGCGUAGGUGGGGUGGUGGUCUCCGCACAUGCUUGCUGAUGUGUGGUAGUUAUUGGUGUGCUCUCGGCCGGCUCCAGACGAAUAAGAUUCUUCGGCCAUAGCAGCACCCAACCCUUGCAGCGUCCAAUCCGCGGCGGGGUCUCGUCGUCCGCUCCCACCUGCUGUACUGGAGGAGGCAAAUCCUCGUGCCCCGAUUUCACACUGGUCAAGCUAACCCUGAAGUGCCCAGCGGGGAUCGGCUGGUUGUGGAAUGUGCGUUGAGAGGGGUCCAUUAUCAUCCCCUUUCCCACGUCCACCUUCUGGCCUUUGAUCAAGUAGAGUAUGGUGCAUGGGGUUUCUUUCGCCUGCAAACACAUAUGUCUGUGGUGUAAAACAACCGAAAGGCAACAAAAAUGGAAUAUUAUAUAUAUAUAUAUGUUGGUGCGACAUGUAAUUACCGUGACGGCGUCGAGCUCAGCCAAAGACGAAGGCCCACCUAGCGCGCCUGAGACUGAGGACGGGCUGCUAUGAGCUGGAGCGGCUGCGAGAGGAGGCCCGGUUGCUUGAGCAAGUGAUGGUGCGAUGGUGUUGUUCAUGGAGUUGCUCGCGACGAAACUGGGCAUUGGGAAAUCAUGUACCGUCUUGUCUGGAUUUUCCUUCGCCCAGUUGAUGAUAACUGGAACCAAGUUAGUAGCGAAAUCAUUUCUGCAGGCAUUUACAGCUGCAUUGACUGCCUGCUGUAGCAACUCAUAUUUGUCCUUGGCUGCUUUUUUCGCGUCCUCGGCUGCUUUUUUCUCGACCGCAAGCUUCACCUUUGCGUCGAUGUCCGCCUAACUAAACUUCUUUUUCUGCUUCUUGGCCUCCGGGCCGUCGUUGUAAAACACCUUCCACGUGGCGCCGUCUCCAGCGCCGUGCACACGACCAUAUUGCGGCCGCUGGUCCAACGGGAGUCCCUUAAGUUCGUUCAAGGCCCAGUUGAGAGGUGUGUCCCACUUGGGCCUCAUCGGAGAAGUAGGGCUUUCGGCUGCAAGCCGGUGUUGCUUCUCCAGUAGUCUAAUCAAUUUCCUCGUGAUCUUGUCCGUGUAAAAAACCUUUUUCUCCUUGUCCCACUUGUAGCGGGCCCUGAUGAAGUCAUGCUCCAAGGGGUUGGUGAACUUCGCGAAGGGGUCUGGGAGACCCGCGGCUUCACGUUCCGCGUCCUCCUUAUCCCAUAUGGGCCUUUUACCGAGGUAGCCACGGCUUCCGAGGCGAUGCUUCCCCAUGUUCCGGAGCUGAAGGCUUUUGAAUUUCGCAGCCUUAGCCUUGGCUGCCUUGGUAGCGCAAGUGUCCUUGAACUUUUCGAACUCCUCUUCCGUAAGUGUCGGAUUUUCCUCCAGAAUCUUGGACAGGGGUUCAUCAGCCUCAAUAGCUCGUUUCACCCUCCCUUUCCAGGAGGCCAAAUCAUUGCUGAACAUGCCCAUGGCGUGAUUGUUAAUCUUUUUCAUCUUCGGAUCAUCCCACGGUUGUUCUAUGUUAUCAUCCCGGUCGGGGAACUUGAAUCUCUUCUGCAACUUCGUUAGGAGCAACUGCGUCAAAUGUUCUUUACUCCUUAAGUCAUCAUCGUUGAUGCUCGCGCAUUCCCGUAGGAUGCAUCCUACUUGGUUCCCAUAGCACUUGCGAGGUUCUUCCGGCUCUAACGGCUCAAACUUUCCAGGUGCCAUCUUUGUGAUCACAAGUCGUCCAAUCCCUAGUUUGUUAGGUUUUCGUAUCCUCUGCUUCUUAUGCUUCCUCUUUUCGGUAUCGGCAUCGGGGCCGGUACCUUCCCCGCCGGUCUCGGCGCCGCCAUCGGUGCCGGCGCCGUCGGUGCCGGCACCGUAGGUGUCGAUGUCGGCGUCAGUACCAUCAUCGAGGCCGACCUGCAAACCUUGCUUAGCAGUCAAAUAGUCGAGGUACUCUUGUUCACCCUCAUAAUCCAUCUCGUCUGCAUCUUGGUCAGAAGGCCCAGUUUCUUCGUUGUUCGACAUGUUUCCUAUGAUUAAGUGGCCUCAUUUAUUUCUAAAAGUAUGAAUAAAUGAGAAAUGACAUAAAAAGAAAUCUAUGUGCCAACACUCGAUAUGCCAACUAUGUAGCACAAAUCAUGCCUUUAUUCACGGGAAAUUUCGGCAUGACCUUUGCUAAAAAAUGGACAUAUCGAGCGCCUGAAAUUCACCGAAACGGAAAUGAAUCAACAUUCCUGCGCAACAUAGGCCACUCGGAUCAUUUUCCAAACAUGACAUGUCCAAAACAUGACAUAUGCACAUAUCACAUGUCCAGUUCAAAUUUCCAUAUAAAUUCAGCUAAUUCAUAACUAAAUAGAUAACCUAAUUAAUUAACAUGAAGANNNNNNNNNNNNNNNNNNNNNNNNNNNNNNNNNNNNNNNNNNNNNNNNNNNNNNNNNNNNNNNNNNNNNNNNNNNNNNNNNNNNNNNNNNNNNNNNNNNNNNNNNNNNNNNNNNNNNNNNNNNNNNNNNNNNNNNNNNNNNNNNNNNNNNNNNNNNNNNNNNNNNNNNNNNNNNNNNNNNNNNNNNNNNNNNNNNNNNNNNNNNNNNNNNNNNNNNNNNNNNNNNNNNNNNNNNGGGGGCGAGCGACAUGGUCGGGGGCGAGCACGCCGGAGUCGGGGUCGAGAGCGGGACAGGGGCGAGCGCCGGGGCUGGCACCGGCGCCGGCAGGGUCGGGGGCGAGCGCCGGGGCCGGGUCGGGCACGGCGGAGCGACGGGGGCCGGAGAGAGAGUGGGGAUUUGGGGGGAAAUGGCGGGAUGAAGCUGGGCGAGUGCGAAUUUUGGGUUAAGUGGACGUAGCAGUAGCGGGUUAUGUCAAAACGCGCUGCUACUAUAUUCUGUAGCGGCAGCGGUUUAUGAGAAACACGCUACUACUAUGGUGCGUAGCUGCAGCGCUUUAUGGGAAACUCGCUACUACUAUGGUGCGUAGCGGCAGCGGUUUAUGAGAAACACGCUACUACUAAGAUCUAGCAGCAGCGGUUUUGUGGAAACGCGCUGCUACUGCCGUCGCUACUGCCAGGUUUCCUUUUUCUUUUCCUUUAUUUUAUCCCACUUUUAUUUCCCGAGGGCAAUGAACGAAGGGAGGGCGAUAUAUAUUGCAUCAUUUGACGGUUAAAUAUGUAUGCAAAAUAGGAACAUAUAUAUUACACAUCAUUGGACCCAUGCAUAAUAAUGACUAAGUGUGUAUACAAAUUAAAUAGGAACAUAUAUAUAUUACACAUCAUUGGACCCAUAACAUACGUUUCCUCAGUGCUGACGUUUUCGUUUUUGAGUCAGCUUCUUUCCCUUCUUGUUCGUCGAAGAAUAAUUGAGCCCCUCAUUGUGACUUUGCCUUUUCCAUGGAGUACGAUUUUUCUUAGGUAAUGUAGUAUUGAUUCUUCUUUUGACGUAUACUUCAUCAUCAUCAUCAUCUUCCCUCAUUGGGUUGCUGUACUGAUCAUAGUCUUCCUCGUUGGCGACUCCAUCCAUUCCAAUGAUGUUCCUUUUGCCUCUCCUCACGACAACACGGCUGGGAUUGCGCGGGUCAGUUAUGAAGAAACAUUGUGUCACGUGCUUAGCGUGUACCCAUGGCUCGUUUUUUGCGAUAGCGUUCAUGGUAGCGCUCUUGGCGUCGGGUAUAGUCAUGGUAGUGAACAUCCGGCUUUCUCUUUCGACAUUCUUAGCCCAUCUGACACGGAACAUCAUCGUGCUGUGCAGUCCAGAGUAGUCAAGCUCCCAGAUCUCCUCGACCCUUCCAUAAAAUCGUUCAGUUGUGCCGUUGUCGCUGCCGGUCAUGCAUUCCAUCGUCACCCCUGAGUUCUGAUCAUCACUGUCCAUAUCUUUUGCCUCUGUGUAGAAUGUGUAUCCGUUGAUAUCAUAUGCCUGAUAGGUUACGAGGUUGGGCGAGGGGCCAUGUGCUAAGGCGUAUAUGAGCAAUCCGUCCUUAGAGCCCUCCUCCGGUGGAUUAGCAAUAAUAUGCUCUUUGAACCAAUGCAGGAAAGUGGAGUUGUGCUCUCUAGUAACUUCGGCGUCCGUCCUGCAUACCCCCCGGUCACGAUACUUCUUUGUGAUAAUUUCUUUGUGCAGUGCCACGAAAGGAUCUACCUCGUCUAGGUGUUGUAGCACUACCAAGUUUGCUCUGUCAAAGUCGCUGCGUCGAUCUGAGUAUGCCACGUGCAGUUCCCUGCGACCGUUGCAGUGACCAUCUCCUUUGAGCCUCCCAUCGUGCUUGUUAACGGGCAAACCAACACUAACACCAGGCGGCUGGUCUGCGCCAUAUAAAAAAUUCUCACAGAAAGAGAUGCACUCUUGUGCCAAAUAGCCCUGGACGAUGCUUCCAUCCGGACGGGACAUGUUACGAACGAAUCCUUUGAUGAUCCCAUUCAUCCACUCAAACGGGAUCAUGUUGUGCAGGAAUGACGGCCCCAGGUCUAUUAUGUCAUCCACAAUAUGGACACACAGAUGCACCAUCACGUCGAAGAACGCGGGCGGGAAGUACAUCUCAAGCUCAUUCAGUAUCACAACGAUCUCUUCCUGUAGCCUUUGGAGCUGCUUCACACUGAUCGACUUUCGAGAGAUGACAUCGAAAAAGUUGCAGAGACCAAUAAGCGUGUCACGGACGUGCUUGUCCAUUAUCCCUCUAAGGGCAACAGGUAGUAUCUGCGUCAUCAUCACAUGACAGUCAUGAGACUUCAUCCCGCUGAACCUUUUCUUGUCCGUGUCUAGAUAUCUGCUUAUCUUGCCACAGUAACCGGAACUAACUUUCACUCCGGUAAGGCACUUAAAGAAUUGAUUGAUCUCAGCCUGACUUAAGGUGAAGCAAGAGGGGGGGCAAUAAUCUUCUUUCUUUAAUUUCUUGCCCUUCUUCUCCCGUGCCUCUGUCUUCGUCUCUGUCUCGUCUGACAUUUUACGGGGCGGCAUCUGCAGAUCUUCCCUGAUUUUCAAAUCUUGCAAGUCUUUUCUUGCCUUCGGCCCAUCCUUGGUCUUAUCCGGCAUGUUCAUCAGUGUUGCGAGCAAGCUCUCAAGGACAUUCUUACAGAUAUGCAUUUGAUCAAGGCAAUGAGGUGUAUCGAGUUUGUGCCAGUACUCCAAGUCCCAGAACACGACCUCGUCUUCCAUACCUUCAGCAGCGGCUCCGGCGCCUUUCUCAUCGUCUUUCCCGGCGCGGGGCACUCAUUCCAGUUUUUCAAUAGCUCAUCGAUUUCGGCACCGCUCCGCUUACGUGGAGGUCCUCGAUGCUCAGCGUGACCAUUGAAUAGAUCUCCACGGUUUCUCCACGGGUCGUCCUGUUCAAGCCAUCUUCGAUGCCCCAUGUACAUGAUUUUCGCAGACCCGCCAUCUUUCCUUGACGUUAGCUGCUGAGACGUUGUAUCAUCCAUGCACCGCGUGCAUCCGCAAUAUCCAUGGCACACCUGGCCUGCCACAUAUCCGUAACCGAGAUAGUCCUGCACUGUCGUGAUCAGCGCGGCUCUCAUGUUGAAAUACUCACCUUUGCUGGCGUCCCAUGUCUUGGCCGGUGUUUUCCAUAACGUGUCUAACUCCUCUUGAAGUAGCCCCAGAUACAAAUUAAUAUUAUUUCCUGGUUGUUUCGGCCCUUGAAUAAGCAUGCUCAUGUGAAUGUACUUCGAUUUCAUACACAACCAGGGGGGGAGGUUGUACAUCCAUACAAACACGGGCCAUGUACUAUGGUUGGUGUUCUAGUUGCCAAAUGGAUUCAUGCCAUCGGUACACGCGCCGAGCACGAUGUUCCUUGCAUCACAUUCAAAAUACCGUUAGAAGCUGUUCAACGCUCUCCACUGGCUUCCAUCCUUCACGUGUCUCAGCUUCGGAUCAUCUCCAUCGUCGGGCUUCUUCCUCUCCGCGUGCCAGCGCAUUAGCUUUGCUUCCUUGGGAUCUACAAAAUACCUCUGAAGACGGGGAGUGAUCGGUAAGUACCAUACAACUUUCUGGGGACAUUUCUUCCCGGCCUUCUUGUAUCGAGAAGCAUUGCACACCGGACAGCUUGUUUUUUCCGCGUGCUCCUUCCGAUAAAUUAUGCAAUCGUUGAUGCAUGCAUGGUAUCUAACGUGUGGCAGAUCAAGAGGGCACACGAUCUUCUUGGCCUCAUCAACACUAGUAGGACAUAGAUUACCCGCGGGAAGAAUAUCCUUUAGGUACUUGAGAUGGUCAUCGAGGCUAGUGUCGGUCCAUUUGUUUUUAGCCUUCGUCUUCAGGAGUUGGAGCGUGAAACUCAACCGGGUCACCUCAGGAUUGCAACCAUCAUACAAUGGAGUGUUCGAGUCUACCACCAGUUGCUCCAGCUUAGCCUCCUCUCUAGAAGCAGCUCUCUCAGUACUCGUCUCCUUGCGAAGCAAUGCUUGAACAUGAGGGUCCCGCACAAUUGAACUUAGUACCGACGAACUCUGCUGCGUGGAGUCCAUGUCGUUCUCUCCGCCGCCAUGUCCGGCCCCUUCUCCUCCGCCAUGUCCGGCCACUUCUCCGCUGCCAUGUCCGGCCUCUUCCCCGCCGCCAUUAUCGAUCAUCUCUUCGUCUUGCCCCGUGUCAUCAUUGCCUGCCCCGUCGGCAUCCUCAACAUCUUCAUCCUCAUCUUCAAUUAUCCACCGAGUAUAGCCAUCCAUGAAACCAGUCAUGAGCAGGUGCGCUUCGACACGACCAUCGUCAUGGGGGUCGAGCCAAACUAUUCCUUUGCAUUUUCAACACGGACAUAAAACCUCUGUCCGGUUAUUUUCUUUCAUGUCUUGCACCGCCGACCGCAACCACCUGUCCACCAUUGUUCCACUGACCAUCGUCAACUCUGCACGGUAAUAAUAAAAAAAUUGAUUGUAAAAAUGCAUGCAUGCAUCAAAGUCAUAAAAAAAUUUGGCAUGACCUUCCCUAAAAAUAGGACAUAUAUGGAUCUAGAGUUUGCCCGAAAUUCGCCGAAACGAAAAUAAAUCGACAUUUCGGCAAAACAUAGGCAACUCAAAAGCACAAUUUGGCGGCGUCAACUCAUGCCACAGACACAAUUUCCACAAACAUAUCACACAUACACAUAAACACAUUUCCAUUUUGCAAAAGCAUGAAAUUUUCAUCACCUCUAUCUCGAUGGCCGGAGAUGAUGUUGUAGGGAGAUCAAAAGUGCACAAAGCUAUUCUUGACAAAGAUAGAUCUAGUUAGGGGGCAAAUAGGUCACUUAACUAAAUCCUACAUCUACCUAGCUACCUAAUUUGGAAGGAGACAACUUCAACUAGUGGAGGGGGAGGAAAAAGAGAAAGAAGAUGCAUUAAUUAAUGGAGGUGGUGUAGUUAUGUAGGAGUAAUGAAGAGAGAGAAGGUGGAUAGAGAANNNNNNNNNNNNNNNNNNNNNNNNNNNNNNNNNNNNNNNNNNNNNNNNNNNNNNNNNNNNNNNNNNNNNNNNNNNNNNNNNNNNNNNNNNNNNNNNNNNNNNNNNNNNNNNNNNNNNNNNNNNNNNNNNNNNNNNNNNNNNNNNNNNNNNNNNNNNNNNNNNNNNNNNNNNNNNNNNNNNNNNNNNNNNNNNNNNNNNNNNNNNNNNNNNNNNNNNNNNNNNNNNNNNNNNNNNNNNNNNNNNNNNNNNNNNNNNNNNNNNNNNNNNNNNNNNNNUGUGGUGGAGGGAAGAGAGGAGAGGGGGAGGUAGGGGGGAAGGGAAAAAAGGAAGGGGGAGGGGAGGGACGGGUUGGGGGUUGGUGGGGUUAGCAGUAGCGCGGGAGAUAAAACGCGCUGCUGCUAAGAACUUAGCAGCUGCGCGCUUUGCGGUAAGGCGCUACUGCUAACUGGGACAAAAAAUUGUGGCAAUUUGAAACUUACCAGCAGCGAUCUCGAGGAAACCGCGCUACUACUACGUACUUAGCAGUAGCGCUGUUAUUGCGACCGCGCUACUGCUACUUAGAGUUGGGGGAACACCGCCGGUCGAUAUUUGUAGCAGCGCGUUUCUUGUCGAGCGCGCUACUGCUAAAUCUUUAUCAGUAGCGAGUUUACGUAACCCGCGCUACAACUACUUAGCAGCAGCGCUCUAUUUUGAACCGCGCUGCUGCUAAGAUUCUGUGUAUAGGCUUUUCCCUAGUAGUGUAGGAAGGAAUGACCACAUGAAUGAGCAUACGUAUGAUGUGAUUAAGUCUCUCGAUUGGGUAUCUGGUGCCUUAUGUACGGUGUCUUCUUUUUGUCAAGCUAUGACAUCUUUCAGUUUGAGUGUCUGAUAUUAGGGUUGCAUACGUUUUGUUAUUCAGUUGCCUGUUGUGAACUCUACGGUUAUAUCAUCUCGAUGUGUGAGUCAAUGUGUUUGAACCAAUGUAGAGUUUCAUGUGAAUGUUACAAGUGUGAUUGAUAUGUUCAUGUUAUCCGCGGUUGCCUUGGUAAGAAACUGAAAGAGCAAACCGUUAUCGUGCUAGGACAAAAGUCAUCACUCAAUAUAAGUGCUUCUCUAGAACAGCCACACCUUGUGAAAGAAGAUGGCAAACACCCAAUCAUGUCUGGUUCGAUAUGGGCGUGGCUAUGGGUAGCUUAUAGCGACAUGGAAGCCAGCAUCGCUGGAAGAAACGCCCGGGUGGGCCGGCCUAGAGACAUUUCUUGAUAUCUACCCUUAGUUUUGUUUUUCUGCCCUUCUUUCUUUAUAUUUAUAUUUUUCCCGACAUGUUCACUACUUGAUGCUCAACUGGGAUCUCAUCCUUCACAAAUACGGAGAGCCAUUAUUGUUAGAGUUAAUCUUGACAUGUGUGUAUGUGCAUGUGUGCAUUGCAUGUUAGUGGUCUAGAGAUGGCCGGGUCGAUGCGUCUGUUCUGUGCUGGAGUGAGUCCAGCAGUUUGUUUUGGUCAGGUCGUGGUGGCUAGAGCCAUUCUAGGAGAGGAUCAAGUCAAGUUGUUAGCUGAACUCGGCUGGGUAGUGUUUGGCCGUUGAGGAUAGGCUGUACUAGUGGUGGGCAUGGCCGUGCAUAUAGCUAGCGAUUAGUUACACUAGUAGAAAACCACCCAUUAGUCCCGGUUCGUAAGGGCCUUUAGUCUCGGUUCAGGAACCGGGACUAAUGGGUCGUUACUAAUACCUCCACCCAUUAGCCCCGGUUCAAACACGAACCGGGACCAAUGUGCCUCCACGUGGCCCUGUGCGGCGAGCCCAGUCAGGGGGCCUUUGGUCCCGGCUGGUGGCUCCAACCGGGACCAAAAGGCAUCCACGCGUCUGCAUUCUAGUGGUUUCUGGUUUUUGUUUUUUUUUUGAAAGGAGGGGGGUUGGGGGUUUUGGGGAGUUAAUUUAGGUGUUUCGUAUAUUGUGUUAACUAGCUAAUUAAUAGAGAGAAGUGUCCUCUCUUAUGUCCGUGCUUGGUCGACGCUACGUAGUAUAUAUACAUAAGUAAUCGAGAGAACCAUUCAGUACAGAAGUUCGUCAUGCAUACCGAGAGAAGUGAUCGAUCGACCUCUCCUUCUCCGAGAGAUUGGUCGAACAACAAGUUUUUUACUGGCUACAUACAUGUACAAUAUGUAUAAGAUCUCUUAAUUACAAACCCAUAGCAUUUGAAAUCAACUUCCACAUGGUAUUCUCCGGCUUUACUGAUGACGUGUUCAAGAAAGAAUCCCGCUAAUUCCUCUUGAAUUGCUUUCAUGCGAUCUGGUUCUAGGAGUUCACCCCGCAUCUGCCACGUCUAAUUAAUUUGAAGAAGGGGGUUAAUUAAUACAUAUAUAUGAAUGAAACUCAACAGAAAAUGAUGGUGUAAUAAAAUGAAAUUGUGAAUAUUAUUGCUUACGCACUUCAUAUUGUCUUCUAGAGUAGCCCCGCUUGUUUCUCAAAGUUGCGUUGUGGAUGAACUCGCACACGUAGUAUCCACAAAAAUCAUUCCCUUCCUCCUGUCACAAGCACUUUACGAGAAACAGAGGUCAAUCAAACUGAUAAUGAAGCAUUAUAAAUGGCAUUGAUGAAAGUAUAGCUAUAGAAUCAACGGGAGAUGCACGCAACUAGCUAGCCAGUAGUACUUACUUUCGGGUAUACAUAUCGCAGCUCCUUCGGCAGUCCCGGAGCUUGUGCGGUGAACUGUUUCCGAACCCUGCAAGACAAAGAAAAUAAUUAUUAUUACUUGAGAUAUCAGGAAAUGAACAAAAAGUUGCCGAUAUGGUGCGAUAAUGAUCGAUUGAACUUACUUGCUGAGCAUUUCAGUCAUGUCCACAUAGGUGCUGGGAUCUUUCCGUCUCGAGUCUAAGACGGUUACUAGUCCACGCUCAAGCUUAAUCUCCAGAAGAAUAUAGUGGUACCUGCGCACGCGUGCAUAACUCAUCAAUUACAUUAACCUCGCUCGAGUAAUAAGGGAAACCGAAUAUGCACACGACAGUAACACUCACGGGCCGUUGUAAGGAAAGAGUAUGGUAUCUUUGUUUUGAUUUUUGAUCAACGAUUGUAGCAAGUUGUCCUCGGCCUCUUCGACGUUCUUUUCAACCAGAAAUACAUCUAUGAUAUUUGUGUUAAUGAACCCAAUAUCAUAAAUUUUUUGUUUUUUGCACUCGACGAUCUUCAAUCUGCAUAAUAUAUUGAGGAUAAUUAAUUAUAAAUACAUGCAAUGAAAGAUCCGAGCUAUAUAUAGAGACUUAAUGUCAGAAAUAGUACUUACAUGCAGUAGCAAAAGACCAUUAAUUUAUCGAGGGCCUUUUGAUUGAAGAACUCAAAGAACUCCUCAAAUGGAACACACAACAGAUCAUUUGAAAUGAGGUCGUGCUCCUCUUUAAUAUUCAAAUACAAACUGUUCGUCCCCUCAGACUCUCUGCAGGUUUUCAUGUACCAAUUAUGGAAUCUUCGCAUCAUUAUUGUCAGAGAUUUUUCAUCUUUGACGAGAGGCUUCCCGUACUCGUAUCUGAAUACGUCCACCUCCAUGAAAUCAGGAAGUGCAUCGUCAGGCAGGUAAUCUUCAAGAUUGCCAUAACCGGCCACCGUCCCCGGAGGAUUAGACACAUUGAGCGGGGGGCACGAUUGCUGUGCUUGUUCGCCGAGCUGGGCAAUUUUUUUCCCCUUUGCUCGUUGUUCUUUUGACCUUUUAUCAUUGACAGUAGUUCCCGACCGCUUGGCUUGGAGAUAUGUCUGUUCAGUAAUGCGCUCAUAGUUGGUUCUCGGCGGAGACUUUGGUGGUUUCCUCAGGGCAUCGAGAGUGCGCUUUGCUUUCACCGGAUCUACCUUCUCCUCCGGAGGUGGAUGUCUCUUUGCUUUCACCCCUUCAAAGAACUCCUUCACGUGGGCCUGCACGAUCGUAUUGUUUUCCUCCUUGGUCCUCUCGUACGGUAACUUCUCUAGAGGCUUUAGAGGUGGACCGUAUCUGUAUUGCCUCUCUCUUCUUGUGCUGCUAGACGCCGGAGCAGACGGAGCGGCUGUGGCGUCUGUCUUCUUCCGUGCUUGCUUAUGAGGCGGAGGAGAAGGACUACGACGCGCCGGAGCAGCCGGGGCGGCGGCGGGUCUCUUCCGCCCUUGCUGGCGAGGCGGAGAGGAGGAGGCGGAGUGCCGCCACAUGCCGGAGAAGGAGGCGGAGUGCCGCCAUGCGUGCCCUGAUCGUCACUCGCCGGAGGAGGAGGCGGUGGAGGAGGCGGAGUGCCGCCACGCGUGCCCUGAUCGUCACUCGCCGGAGGAGGACGCGGUGGAGGAGGCGGAGUGCCCUGACUCGCUGAAAGAGGAGGAGGAGGCGGAGGCGUCCAGUUCAGAAGGUUGAUGAGCUCCUUCUGCCAUAGGCAUGGAGUCUUCAGAGCAGAACCCAGCCUAGUCUCCCCUUCACCGGUAGUGUGCUCAAGCACGAGGUCCUCAAAUCCCUCCGUUAUUUCAUCCACCAUCACCUUAGCAAAUCCUUCUGGAAUUGGCUGGCAGUGAUAAGUUGUGCCGGGUCCACUAGGAUAAACUUGGCCAACAGCCGCCUUGACCUUCAAAUUCAUCCAUCACACAAUAAUGUGGCAAUUUUGAGACUCCGUGAUACCAUCCACGGGAUAGCUGGCAGGAGCCGUCAAGACAUGCUCCGGCUGAAGCAGCUCAGUGGAAGCCACGCUGCUUCUCUGCUGAGAUGGCGGGGUAGCUUCGGGGGAAGCUUCGGCAGGUCGUUUGUUGUGAUCUGCUGCUUCUUGUUCCUCUAGCCCCAUUACCCUUUCGUGCAGCGCCUGCAUUUGGUCCUGCUCCAGUUUCUUCCUCCUCUCGUAGGCUUUGUAAACGCCUGCGUCCAGAAAACCAACCUUCCACGGAAUGGAGCCUGGCGUGCCUCGUGUCCGUCCAGGGUGCUCGGGAUUCCCAAGGGCCAUUGUGAGCUCGUCCUUCUCCCUGUUUGGAAGGAACGUCCCUCGUUGUGCUGCAUCGAUAUAGUGUCGAAGGUUCUUGACUGGUGUUUGCAGUUGCUCGUCCGUCCACUGACGCUUCCCUGUUACAGGGUCCAAGGUUCCGCCAGCCCCGAAGACCCAAGUCCGGCAACGGUCUGGCCAGCGCAUUGUCUCUGGUUCGAUUCCUUUUUCAAGCAGAUCAUGCUCAGCCUUGGACCACUUAGGCCGGGCUUUGAGGUAGCCACCUGACUCCGUGCGAUGGUGAAGCUUCUUCUUCGCAGCAUUUUUCUUGUUUGUCUCCGACAUCGUCUUACUCUUUUCCGAUGUCUUGUGGGCCACAAAUGCGGGCCAGUGAUCUUUGAUCUUCUCAUAUUUGCUGAUGAAUUCUGGUGUCUUUUUUUUCUCGAGAAACUGGUUCAGCUCUUUCCUCCACCUCCUCAUUAGGCUUGCCAUCUUCUUAAGAGCACAAGACUUGAUUAAUUGCUCUUUAACUGGCUUCUCCGGAUCCUCCUCUGGCGGUAGGGUGAAAUUUGCCUUCAGCUCAGUCCAAAGAUCUUCUUUCUGCAUAUCAUUGACAUAAGACACCUCAGGGUCUUCAUCCUUAGCAGGCUUAUACCAUUGCUGGAUGCUGAUCGGGAUCUUGUCCCUAACAAGAACCCCGCACUGAGCAGAAAAUGCCUUCCUUGUCCGGAUGGGUUCAAUCGGUUCGCCGUCGGGCGCGAUUUCUAUGAUCUCAAACUUUUCAUCCGAGAUCAACUUUUUCUUCGGGCCUCGUCUCCUUACCGAAGUUGUGCUCGAUCCGGAGGGCUAGAAAUUAUAAGGAAGAAAGACGACAGUAAUUAAUAUGUGUACAUAUACCAAAACAAUGGAUGCAUCAAUUAACUAGUCAGCACGGGCUUAACUAAUAUAUAUAUACCUGGCCGGACUCGGUUCGGUGACCGGAGCAGUCAGCACGGUCUCCUUGUACCUCCAUUGUGUCACCGGAGCCAUCAUGAACAUAGUCCUCCUCUUGUACCGGCAUUAAUGGGUCGAAGCCAUCAUAAACAUAGCCCUCUUCUUCAUCCAGUCCUUCCAGCUGACCAUCGGUGUCGAUGAGAAAUGACGCAACAUCAUCACUUCCAUUUGCGAUUAUGUCCCCCAACAUCGCUUCUGUUUCUUCGUCUCGGGAGUGCUCCAUAGUUUCUGCAAAUAUUUACAACAUGUCAAUUAUUAUUCAAACAUGGUACAAAUGGAUAUAUAUAUAUAUAUAUAUAUAUAUAUAUAUAUAUAUAUAUGAAAAUGGAUUGGUACUCCUAGGAGUACAUACUCUCACCUACACCCGUCAUCGUUGGAAACAUUCAUCCCGCUAACUACUAAAAAAAGAGCUAACUAACUACGGAUAAAGCCUUUGGAUUUAAAAAUUAGUUGAACCGCUUCCUUUUUUUUCAGCUCUCGUAGGCGUGCCUUCCAGGGAUUCCAUUUGAAACGGCGUUCUCAUCUCUUGCCAGCACCCAUGAACAUAAAAAAACAGAGCAUCGGCUCGCCUCCGCCCCGCCGACUGACCGGAAGACUUGGUCGACAUGGCCGACGAUGAUCCCCGUGCUUCUUCCCUCGCAAACUAGGCUUCAACCACCACGUCCAUCAAUCAGAGGAAGAUUGAUUCAUCAUCUGUAGUUUGCGAGGGUACGUGCAAUUGAUGUUUCCCGAUUUUUCUGUUCGGCUACCACAACCGUGUUCAUGUUCCCGCUGACCCCUUGAUCCAUUCCUGUCCAGUAUGUCAUCGUCCGAGAAGAAAAUAGGACGGAGAUGAUUGAUCGGCCAGAUUGAUCGGCCAAGUCUACUAGUACCACUGGUGGAAAAAAGGCCUUUGGUCGCGGUUCGCAACUGCCAUUAGUCGCGGUUGCGCAACCGCGACCAAAUAAGCGCGACUAAAGCCCCCCACCUUUAGUCGCGGCUGCUUAAGAACCGCGACUAAAGGCCCGUCCAUGUGGGCGCCAGGCGGCCGUCGGGACGGAGGACCUUUAGUCGCGGUUCUUCUGGCCAACCGCGACUAAAGGCCGCCACAGGUUUAGGGUUUUAGCCCCCCCCCUAAACCUGUUUUCUGUUUAAUUUGUAUUGUUUUAUUUCUUUUGUGCUUUAUUUUAAUUUUGAAGGAGUUUCAUAUAUUCUACGGUACUACAUACAUGCAUAUGAAUGUACAAUUUCAAAUAAAUUUGAAAUUAGAACCAAAAAGAAUUCAAGAGGAAUAUACAAUAUAUAUUCAAUAUCAUCGGAUGACCAUAUACAAUUUUGAACAAGUUUCCAUACAUGAUUUAAUGCAUAUAAAGUUCUACGUCCUCGUAAUAGUGUUCUCCUUUAGGAUGGAGGACUUCCCUGCUGAACCAUCCAGCUAGUUCCUCUUGAAGUGGUCGGAAGCGAGCUUCUGGACUAAGCAUCCACCGGAGGUUAUUCCUCUGAGCAUUGGUAUCACUCGGAACCCGCUCAGAGGUGUAUCUCCGGAUCAUCUCACAGACAUAGUAUCCACAUAGAUUGGUCUCCGGUGGCUGAAUAUCCCCAGCAUUCUUAGCCACUGACCUUUUGAAUUCUAGCUCUUUUUUGAAUUCACCGACCUUUGUAUCUACGAACCGUCUCCAAACCCUACGAGGCAAAGAAAAUUAAAUGAACAAGAGAGUUAUUAGUUACUUGAUAUUAGGAAAUGAACGAAAUAGGCCGAUUGAUAUAGAGCGCAAAUGAAUGAAAAUAAUUACUUCUGCAGCAUUCUUCUCAUGCCGCCCCAAAGCUUUGGAUCCAUAUUCACAGAGUCGUGGACGAGACAUUCUGAGGUGUUAACUUUAAUUACUAGCAGAAUCCAGUGGAACCUGCGGACACGAUACAUGCACAGUACGUCAUGCAUAACUCAUCGAUUAGCCGGCCACAUACCAUGCAUGGAGUAAACAAAAGAGAAUGUGCUCAAGACACAAACACUCACCCAAAAUGGUAAGGAAAUAGAAUAUCACUUUUGAGUUCCUGCUUUGUAAGAAACUGCCACAGGUCUACCUCCACGUCGGCGGGGUGACGCUCCAACACAUGUCCAUUAACGAUGUGUGGGUCAAUGAACCCAACAUCAUGGAUGUUCCUUACUCUGCAUUCCUUAAUCUUCAUUCUGCAUGUAUAAUAGCGGACACAACAAUAUAGUUAGGACAUAUAUAUAGUGCAGGCAAUAUGAACGAGAUGGGGUAGAAAUUAAUAAAUCACUUACAGAACGUAGCAACUGAUGAUAGAUUUAUCGAGCUCGCGCAGAUUGAAAAGCUGGAACAAUUCACUCAGUUCAAUUUGUACAUAGUAAUGUUUGAAGUGAUGCUCAUGUCUAACUUCCGCAUAAAUAUAUUCUUUGGCGUUUUUAUUUUUUAUGUAACCCUUGUACCAUUUCAGCAGACCUUUCAUUUGUGGAGGUAGAUCCUUUUCCUGCGCAGGCUCGACGAGAGGCCCAUUCUUGACAUAUGUAAUUACUACCUCCUUCACUGGCGCCUCAUCAAGGCCUAACAGUUCACGAAGAGUAAUACCUAAGUUGGCCGCUUGUUCUAUGGCACUCGUUACAGUCAAUCCCUGUGCUGCCGCAGCUUGUAUGAUCUCGGGGGCAUCCGGACAGAAGGCUUCCACUAUAAGCGGGGCAAUCGAUUGUUUACUUUGUUCCCCGAGCUGGGCAACUUGUUUCCCGCUUUUUUUACUUUCGGCCUUCUCCCGCUCUUUGUUCUCCUUGAACAUGAGUGCCUGCCUGCGAAGUUCACGUGCAUAGUCGUUAGGCAGAUUCUUCGCGGCUUGGGACGGUGUGCUCAAAAAUGACUUAGCCCACUUGUUUUGCUCAUCAGAAAAUACUGGCUUGGGCUCGAGCUCUCUUUUCUUCUUGCAGUCCGCCUUCCAUUUCUCCAAAUCAGCAGCCGCGGCCGCGUCGACUUCCUCGGCACUACGUUCCCAAGGCCUUGUGGGGAGAGGCUUCAGUGAUGGCUCCGGUACCUUUGUGGUCUUAGGUACAUAAGGGUCCGGGUUAAUAAUCCAGGACUGCUUCUGCUUCUUUGCCGGAGGUGGAUUGGGGGGCGGCGUCUGAUCACCCGCCGGACGAGGACUGGGGGGCGGCGGCUGAUCACCCGCCGGACGUUGUGGACUGGGGGGCGGCGUCGGCUGACGUGACGGAGGUGUAGGUGAACCGCCACCACCACCACCACCACCACCACCGCCACCGCCACCACCACCACCGUAGGGGGGUGGACUUGUUGUCCUUGGCGCCUCGCCUGGAAACUUGAUAAACUUCUUUUGCCAUAGAAUGAAAUGGCGCUUGACAUCUCCAAGUCUUUUCUCCCCUUCAGGUGUAGCAAUGUCAAUCUCCAGGUCCUCAAACCCUUGGACUAUGUCCUCCACCGUGACACGAGCAUAGCCAUCUUGAAUGGGGUUGUUGUGGUGGAGUGCUCCAGGUAAACAUGGUAAAGCACUGCCGAUGGCUACCUUCAUGGACAUGUUCCCGAUAGGAUAAUACAGAUGACAUUCUUCUCCGCUGCUGGCUUCCGAGAUCUGCUGGAUGAUCUUCAUGCUGCACCCGAGCUGCAUCUCUUUCGGCUACUAGUACACUCAUGGUUUUCUUCAUCACAUCCAUUUCCGAUGCCAACCGCGCCACAACAUCUGCUUCCCGAUCCACCUUUCUCUUACGGCUUCUGUAACCGUACGGGUCAUCGUUCUGGGGGAACCCUAUUUUCCACGGAAUGUGCCCCAUGCCUCGUACACGUCCUCCGUGUUCAGGAUUCCCGAGGGAUUUUGUCAGCGCGUCGUUCUCUCUGUUGAACUUGAUCUUCCCCUGUUGAGCAUCCCUCAUUGCGUUAAUAAGGGCUUGGGUGGGUUUAAUUAAUUUGCCCCGGUAAACACACUCCCCUGUCUCCGGGUUCAGCGUUCCCCCAUGCCCGUACCACCAACUUUUGGCCCUUGGGUCCCAUCCCUCCGUACCUGCACGGAUUCCUCGCGCCCUCAGCUCGUUCUCCAUCUUCUCCAACCUAGGCACCCAAAUGCGAUACCCUCCUGGCCCCAUAACAUGAUUGUACUCCUUCUUAGCCGCAUUUUCCUUAUUUUUUCGAUAUUUGAAUGAACUGCUCCGAUUUCUUUUGCUUCACAAAUUCUGGCCAAUCAUGUUUCAGUUUCUCAUAUUGUCCUUUGAAAUCCGGAGUCUUGUUCUGCUUGACAAAGUCAUGGGCUAGAUUUUGCUUGAAUUUCCGGAAUGCGUCGGCCAUCUUAUGAAGAGCGAACUGUUUGACUAGCCUCCUCCUCUCCUUGUUUUCUUCAAUCUUGUUACCCUCCUCAUCGAAUUUGUUGUAUUCCGGAGGUAGAACGAAAUGUUCCAUAAGCUUCUUGAAGCAAUCUUUUUUUGUUCUCUUAUCGACAAAAGUGAAACCAUCAAUUCGUGCCUUCUUUGGCUCAUUCCACUCCUGGACGGUGAUCGAGACGUUGUCUCUAACAAUGGCUCCGCAUUGGCUGACAAACUUGGUGGCGUUCUUGCGGGGCUCCAGCGGCCUGCCGGUUGCACUGUCGACAACCUCGAUGGUGCAUGUUUCUCCUUGUUUCAUCGUCUUGGUUGCGCCACGCUUUGACGACGUACUCGAUUGUUUCGACGAUCCGGCCGAGGGCUAAAAUAAGAAAGAGUCGCGCGCGUUAGUACACACAUAUUUAUUCAAAUCAGUUAGUUUGUAUCACCAGAGGCUCAAUGUAUAUAUAUACCUCGGCGCCGGAGGUGGUUGCUACAUCCAUUUGAAGAUCGUCGUUUAUCGACGUUUGUUCGGCAUCAUCUUGCUGACGGCGCCCUUCAUCUUCACCGUCAAGGUUCAGAUAAGAAGAGAUAUCAUCUUCUUCUUCUCCGGUCGGCACAUAUAGAAUAUCGCCGUUUAUGAUGCCGAACAUAUGUGCUUCACCGUCCGGAUCAUAGUUGUCCAUAAUCGGGUCAGCUCUAUCGUCCGCCAUUAUGUCAGUCCUGAAAACAUGUAGUAAAAACAAAUUAAUUAAGUGAAGAAGGGGGGCGGUGGCGGUGGCGGUGGCGAAAGGGUGGUGGCAAAAGGAGGGGGCGAGGAAGGGGUGGGAGAGGGUGUCGCGGUAGAGCGCGAGACGGGGCGGCACGAACGUCAUUUUGUGAAGAAACUUUGCAAGCAAUUAAACAUUUGUCAAUGUUUGGUAAAAAAAAUACAGGUAGCGUCUGUUGCUCCUAAUGAUUGGAAACGGUUUCCAAUUGCCAACGAGGAUUUAGAUCGACUACUACUACUAGUUGCAUUGCUCCCCAUCGGGACGAUGUUGCUCCUAAUCCCCUCCUUUGGAAUCUAUAGUACUAGUGCAUACUAGCUGGCCGUUGACCGUUGUUGCUCAUCGCGUUUUCUCAAAGUCCACUGAUUUUGCUCAGGGCCAGUUCGGAGAUUUUGCUGGUCCACUGAUUUUGGAUCAACGCCGGGAUGGCAUGGGCGCUCGGCGAUGAUGCGAAGUAGACUUGCACAGGCAACGUGAUGUACAUGGAUGUGUCAGUACGGUACGCUCGGCGAUGCCACGGUAUGGAUGACUUCUCGAGUGGAGAUUGGAGAACCAAGUUCGCCGGUGAAACGUCGGCUCCUGAUCAGAUCUGGGGGUCGCGAACUAGCGAUUGGAUCUCGGAAGGGAGUUAGGAAAGCGAACAGACGUGCGUUCAAGGCUACAACUUUUUUUUUCAGGAUCUUGAAAACAGCUACGCGUUCAAGGCCCGGUCCUGAUUUUGCUCAUCUACCCGGGGCGGCGUUCGCACUGCGCGAGGGCCGACUCCGCGGGGUGCUGCCGCGUCGCCUCGUCGACGCUGAGCGAGUUGGCGAGGACCGUGUACAUGGUCGGCACGUCGCCGGCGGAGAGGGUCAUGCUGUCCCCGACCAGCGGCGGCCACGGACGGGGAGGGCGGCGGCGGUGACUGGGAAGGAAUGAUAGGAGAGGAAGGAAGGUCGCGUGGGGUUGAGGGCGGNNNNNNNNNNGGCGAGGAGGGACUCCUUGGCGGAGAGGCGCUCCGUCUCGCGGGCGUAGCUGGCAGCGGGCUCCCACGCCUGCGCGUACACGUCGUCCCGCCGUGCGUUCAAGGCUACAACUUUUUUUUUUAGGAUCUUGAAAACAACUACGCGUUCAAGGCCGGCCCGGUCCUGAUUUUGCUCAUCUACCCGGGGCGGCGUUCGCACUGCGCGAGGGCCGACUCCGCGGGGUGCUGCCGCGUCGCCUCGUCGACGCUGAGCGAGUUGGCGAGCACCGUGUACAUGGUCGGCACGUCGCCGGCGGAGAGGGUCAUGCUGUCCCCGACCAGCGGCGGCCACGGACGGGGAGGGCGGCGGCGGUGACUGGGAAGGAAUGAUCGGAGAGGAAGGAAGGUCGCGUGGGGUUGAGGGCGGGCGAGCGAGGCGGCAGUACCGAGGCUGGCCGGCGGCGCGCGCGCGGUGGGCGAGGGCGACGGCGGGCGGCGUCGAGGGCGAGGGCGACGGCGGGCGGCGUCGAGGGCGCGGCAGAGACGAACAGGCGAGAAACGGCGGGCGGCGUCGAGGGAGCCUUGUAUUUAUAGCCCCCCCNNNNNNNNNNNNNNNNNNNNNNNNNNNNNNNNNNNNNNNNNNNNNNNNNNNNNNNNNNNNNNNNNNNNNNNNNNNNNNNNNNNNNNNNNNNNNNNNNNNNNNNNNNNNNNNNNNNNNNNNNNNNNNNNNNNNNNNNNNNNNNNNNNNNNNNNNNNNNNNNNNNNNNNNNNNNNNNNNNNNNNNNNNNNNNNNNNNNNNNNNNNNNNNNNNNNNNNNNNNNNNNNNNNNNNNNNNNNNNNNNNNNNNNNNNNNNNNNNNNNNNNNNNNNNNNNNNNNNNNNNNNNNNNNNNNNNNNNNNNNNNNNNNNNNNNNNNNNNNNNNNNNNNNNNNNNNNNNNNNNNNNNNNNNNNNNNNNNNNNNNNNNNNNNNNNNNNNNNNNNNNNNNNNNNNNNNNNNNNNNNNNNNNNNNNNNNNNNNNNNNNNNNNNNNNNNNNNNNNNNNNNNNNNNNNNNNNNNNNNNNNNNNNNNNNNNNNNNNNNNNNNNNNNNNNNNNNNNNNNNNNNNNNNNNNNNNNNNNNNNNNNNNNNNNNNNNNNNNNNNNNNNNNNNNNNNNNNNNNNNNNNNNNNNNNNNNNNNNNNNNNNNNNNNNNNNNNNNNNNNNNNNNNNNNNNNNNNNNNNNNNNNNNNNNNNNNNNNNNNNNNNNNNNNNNNNNNNNNNNNNNNNNNNNNNNNNNNNNNNNNNNNNNNNNNNNNNNNNNNNNNNNNNNNNNNNNNNNNNNNNNNNNNNNNNNNNNNNNNNNNNNNNNNNNNNNNNNNNNNNNNNNNNNNNNNNNNNNNNNNNNNNNNNNNNNNNNNNNNNNNNNNNNNNNNNNNNNNNNNNNNNNNNNNNNNNNNNNNNNNNNNNNNNNNNNNNNNNNNNNNNNNNNNNNNNNNNNNNNNNNNNNNNNNNNNNNNNNNNNNNNNNNNNNNNNNNNNNNNNNNNNNNNNNNNNNNNNNNNNNNNNNNNNNNNNNNNNNNNNNNNNNNNNNNNNNNNNNNNNNNNNNNNNNNNNNNNNNNNNNNNNNNNNNNNNNNNNNNNNNNNNNNNNNNNNNNNNNNNNNNNNNNNNNNCGAGGAAGACCAAUCGGCUUAAGGUCAGGAACAAAGUCAACACAAAACUCAAUUACCUCCUCAUUUCCAUAGCCCUUGGCGAUGCUUCCUUCUGGCCUAGCACGGUUACGAACAUAUUUCUUUAAUACUCCCAUGAACCUCUCGAAGGGGAACAUAUUGUGUAGAAAUACAGGACCGAGAACGAAAAUCUCUUCGACUAGGUGAACCAGGAGGUGCGUCAUAAUAUUGAAGAAGGAUGGCGGGAACACCAACUCGAAACUGACAAGACAUUGGAUCACAUCGUUCUGUAACCAUGGUAGAACUUCUGGAUUGAUUACCUUCUGAGAGAUUGCAUUGAGGAAUGCACAUAGCUUCACAAUGGCUACUCGAACAUUUUCCGGCAGGAGCCCCCUCAAAGCAAUCGGAAGCAAUUGCGUCAUAAUCACGUGGCAGUCGUGAGACUUCAGGUUUUGGAACUUUUUCUCCGCCAUGUUUAUUAUUCCUUUUAUAUUGGACGAGAAUCCAGACGGGACCUUCAUACUGCUCAGGCAUUCAAAAAAGAUGACCUUCUCUUCUUUGGUCAGAGCGUAGCUGGCACGACCUUGAAACCAUUCCGGAUGCCGGUCAUCAGGGUCUUUCAAACGUUGCUGGUCCUGCCGUGCUUCCUUUGUAUCAUUUGUCUUCCCAUACACGCCCAAGAAGCUUAGGAGGUUCACGCAAAUAUUCUUCGUAACGUGCAUCACGUCGAUUGCAGAGCGGACAUCUAGGACUUUCCAAUAUUCUAGCUCCCAGAAUAUAGAUUUCUUCUUCCACAUGGCUGCGUUCCCGUCUGCUCCCUUCGGAACUGAUUGUCCGCCAGGACCCUUUCCAAAGAUGACUUUCAAAUCCUUGACCAUAUCAAAUACCUCAGCACCAGUGCAUUCCGCAGGCUUCGGCCGGUGAUCUGCCUUGCCGUUGUAAUGCUUGCCUUUCUUUCUUACUGGAUGAAUUUUCGGAAGAAAUCGAUGAUGCCCAAGGUACACGUUCUUCUUACAAUUUGGCAAAUGUACACUUUCAGUCUCAUGUAAGCAGUGCGUGCAUGCAUUGUAUCCCUUAUUUGACAGUCCCGAAAGGUUACUAAGAGCAGGCCAAUCGUUGAUGGUUACGAAAAGCAACGCUCGUAGGUCAAAUUCCUCUUGUUUGUGCUCAUCCCACACACGGACACCACCCCACAGCUGUAAAAGUUCAUCAACUAAUGGCCUUAGGUACACAUCGAUGUCGUUGCCGGGUUGCUUCGGACCUUGGAUGAGCACUGGCAUCAUAAUGAACUUCCGCUUCAUGCACAACCAAGAAGGAAGGUUGUAGAUGCAUAGAGUCACGGGCCAGGUGCUAUGGCUGGAGCUCUGCUCGCCAAAAGGAUUCAUGCCAUCCGUACUUAGAGCAAAUCUUAUGUUCCUUGCGUCAGCUGCAAAAUCUUUGAACCAUCUGUCGAUCUUUCUCCAUUGCGUUCCAUCUGCGGUGUGUCUCAACUCCCCGUCCGACUUACGGUCCUCUUUGUGCCAUCGCAACAACUUGGCAUGCUCUUUGUUCCUGAACAGACGUUUCAACCGUGGUAUUAUAGGAGCAUACCACAUCACCUUGGCGGGAACCCUCUUCCUGGGUUUCUGGCCCUCAACAUCGUCACCAGGGUCAUCGCCUCUGAUCUUAUAACGCAAUGCAGUGCAUAUCGGGCAUUCAUUCAAAUUCUCGUAUUCACCGCGGUAGAGGAUGCAGUCGUUGAUGCAUGCAUGUAUCUUCAGAACCUCUAAACCUAGAGGGCAGACAACCUUCUUUGCUUCGUACGUACUGGCGGGCAACUCGUUAUCCUUUGGAAACAUACUCUUCAACAUUUUCAGCAAGUUUUCAAAUGCCGAGUCAGCUACACCUGCCUCUGCCUUCCAUUUCAGCAAAUCCAGUGUGCAGCCCAGCUUUUUCAGACCAUCAUCGCAUCCGGGGUACAGCGCCUUUCUGUGAUCCUCUAACAUGCGAUCCAAAUUCUCCCUCUCCUUUUCAGUUUCGCAGCGUCUCCGUGCAUCAGCAAUGGUCCGACCAAGAUCAUCAACGGGAUCAUCACGUGCCUCUUCUUCACCUUCCCCUUCACCUUCAGCAUCCUCCAUGAAAGUAUCACCGAGAUGAGCAAGAUAGCUUUCAUCGAUGAAAUCAUCCCCUUCUUCAUCUUCUUCCAUUAUAACCCCUCUUUCUCCAUGCUUGGUCCAACAAUUAUAGCUUGGCAUGAAACCGUGCCGAAGCAGAUGCAUGUGAACAUCUCUUGAGGAAGAGUAACCCUUCUGAUUCUUACAGAUAACACAUGGACAGAUAACAAAAAACCCCUGCUUGUUCGCAUUAGCCACUACGAGGAAAUCUUUCAAACCCGUAGUGAACUCGCCGGAGAGUCGGUUACCGUACAUCCAUUGCCGAUUCAUCUGCAUUAUUAUAAUAUAAAAUAUAUAAUUAACCAUCAUGCAUUUGUUAAACUAACUAGCUACAAACAAUAUAAAUUAAACAAUGAACUGCACACAUGCAUAUUUUAUCAAUGACACAUCAAAGGUUCAUCAAGUUGCUAACCGCGAUCGAGGAGUGUGGCUCCAACACUUCAUGUCAUGUUUGUUUCAUGCUCUUGGGGCAUUUCAUCAAACACCUUAUGUGCAUAAGAGGAACCAAAAGCAAACCUACACCCACUUGUGAAGAGAAUGGCUCCAAAUGGCUAAGUGUUGGCUGCUGGAUGGGUAUAUAUAGGGGAGGGGCUUUAGUUGCGGUUGGCUUGGCAAACCGUGACUAAAGGUGCCCGAAGGCCUUUAGUCGCGGUUGUCCUGGCCAACCGCGACUAAAGACCCUCACGUGCGCCAGCUGGCCACCGAGCGCCCUGAGCCCAGGCCUUUGGUCGCGGUUCACCUCCAGAACCGCGACUAAAGGUCCCAUUAGUCGCGGUUCCUACAGCUUCGCGACUUAUGGGGCUGGACGGAAGCUUGUUUUUCCACCAGUGUACUAGGUAAGGUGUCGUUCCAGUCAAAUUGAUGAAUUCAUCUUUUGUUACCUUUGUUAUAGGAAUAUAGGCUGCAUUUAUUAGUCAUAUCGAGCUCUCAAGGAGUCAAGAUCUUGUUAACUUACUAAUAAUUUCUAUAUACCUGCAGCGUUAUGGCCUAUGGUGCAGGGCAAAGACAACAAGGACGACAUGCGGCGGCGACGUGGCCAUGGUGAAGCUACUUCGUCCGGCUACCCCAUGGUUGGCGUGUCUGCCGUCCUCUCAAUCUAUCACACGUACGUCCGGUGCAUGCAUGGUGUCGGGCCGAAGAGCACACAAAUCUACAUCCAGGCCCUGGGCACUAGCAACCGCUGAUGCACUUAGCCACUUACCAAUGUAUUCCUAUUGUACGUAUAUAAUAAAGUGGUUAGUACGUCGACGUAGAAAUAGUUAGUAGCUUGCUUUGCACUCACACAAUCGAGUCAUGAUUGUUACUGAUGAUCAAAAUUUUAUGUAUUUUUUAUGCCGGAUGGGUUUACUACUUCUUCUUCGGUUGUAUAUAAAGCUUCCAAAAAAUUAGUAUAUAAUCCUCCAGAAUAAAUCAGUAUAUAGUCCUCCAAAAAAAUGAGUAUAUACACUUUGUAACGCAGCAUAUACCCCAUAAAAAAUGUAGUAUAACGCUGCAGAAAUAAGACAUACUCCUUUUCUAGUUGCAUAUACCCAAUCACAAAACUACACUGAAAUAAUUAGUAGUACAUACUCCUUUUCUAUUUUGGAAAGGAACGUCCAUUUCCCUCUUCAACAAGUGCUUUAUUUUUCUAGGGGUAGCCUUGUGUUUUUACUGCCAUGCGACGACAUUACAAAAUGUAUUACACCCAUUAUUCAUCUAAUUUUUUAUAUACCCUUUUAUGCAUACUUUGAAUUUAUCACUCAUUUGGGCGACCAGCCCGCUCUCUCAUUGCAGCGACUCGACUCUCACAUAAAGCCAGUAUAUACUCACGUAAAAAAAAGCAGUAUAGACUCCCUUACUGAAAAAGAACUAUAUACUCCCCUACCAAAAAAAGUAGUAUAUGCUCCAUUACCAAAAAGGCAGUAUAUACUCAUAUACAAAAGGUGGUAUAUACUGUCUUCCCAAAGUAGUAUAUAUCUUUUUCCUUGCGUUAGAGAAGUAGUAUAACCAGAACAGAUAGUUCAUACUUGUGUGCUGAAAAAAGUAGUAUAUAAAUAUAUAUGUAAGAGUGAGUAUGGUAGAUAUGUAUCGGUCCUUACAAAAAAAAUCAACCACUGUUAUUGUUUAUUUGCACCGAACUAACCUUAUCUGUAUGCUAGGAUCCUUGAAUCUCUCAAUCUGUUGAUGCACAUGCAUGCGUCGGCCGGUGGAGCAAUUAGCAACUAGAUCUAAUAACUGCCAACCUGUUCAGUCCAUGGGAGUACAUACUCCUGGGAGUAUAAAAGAGGAGUCUAUAUAUAUAUAUAUAUAUAUAUAUAUAUACGGUGGCGCUAUUGUGUGCGUGAGCGCAGAUUUACUUAUCGUGCGCGCCGGUCAUUGCGUGCGCCACUCGUAUUCCUAAUGAUGGUAAAAUUCCUGGCAGAAAUAGUAAUAUAAUUUAAUUGGUUACUGCCUGCCACCACCACGGUAGCGAUUUAAUUGGUUAGGUCUACUAGUAAAAAUGCAUAGCAGAAAAAGUAAAAGAGCUAAAAGUAUUACUGUUGGAUGCAUCGGUCCCCGCUUCGACUGCCUACUAGUAAAACACCUCAUAAAAGUAGUAAUAGGAUUACCCUACACGCAUCAGCCCCUUGCCAUACUUGUGAACAGGUAAACUUCAUGUGAAGAAUAGUACUGGAUGGUAACUGUGUUACCAUAGAACGGACACUUGCUAUUAGCUAGCUACAUGGUAAUUUUAUUACCGCUAACUUUCAUCGGUUUAAUACCUAAUCAUGUUACCACUUAUUUUCUUAGUAGUAUUGGAUGGUAACUAUGUUACCACAUGACGAAAAAAUUGCUAUUAGCUAAUAGCUACACGGUAAUUGCAUUACCACUCAUGUGUAGAAGCAUGAUACACGGUCUUUUUUCCAAUUACGUUUGGUCGAAGACGCAAGGGUUUGCUAAUCGCUAAAGUGGGGUCGAAGCAGUAAUAAGUUUCCAACCGUUACCAUGUUUCUUAAGGUAUGUUACGUAUGGGCGCAAGACAUGUUCUUUAAUAGGAGCGGGACAACGGUUGCUUAGACGGAGAAUGGCGCGCAGUCUGGCCGGAGCGUAGAAUUAGACUUCUGCGCUCAGGCUUAGUUUAGCACGUCUAUAUAUAUAUAUAUAUAUAUAUAUAUAUAUAUACAUACAUGUUAGUGGCCUCGACGCUGCUUCUCUAGGGUUUGGGGUCGCCUCGACACAACGCUUCAAGGGUUUGGGGUGGCCUCGACGACAACGUUUUUUUAACUUGAUAAAUUUGGGUGGCCUCGAGAGAGUUAAUUUGUCGGGUAGGGGCGCGGCGGGAGGGGGUAGGAGACCAACAUCGUUUUCUCUCUAGGGUUUGGGUGUCCUCGAGAGUUAUCGGGGAGGGGGUAUCGGUACCACCCCCUAGCUCGUGUUGAAGUUUCUUCUUUCUCCUCUAUUCCUUUCUUUCUUCUUCUCCUCUUCUUUUUCUUCUUCUCCCUCGAGAAAGGAAAAUANNNNNNNNNNNNNNNNNNNNNNNNNNNNNNNNNNNNNNNNNNNNNNNNNNNNNNNNNNNNNNNNNNNNNNNNNNNNNNNNNNNNNNNNNNNNNNNNNNNNNNNNNNNNNNNNNNNNNNNNNNNNNNNNNNNNNNNNNNNNNNNNNNNNNNNNNNNNNNNNNNNNNNNNNNNNNNNNNNNNNNNNNNNNNNNNNNNNNNNNNNNNNNNNNNNNNNNNNNNNNNNNNNNNNNNNNNNNNNNNNNNNNNNNNNNNNNNNNNNNNNNNNNNNNNNNNNNNNNNNNNNNNNNNNNNNNNNNNNNNNNNNNNNNNNNNNNNNNNNNNNNNNNNNNNNNNNNNNNNNNNNNNNNNNNNNNNNNNNNNNNNNNNNNNNNNNNNNNNNNNNNNNNNNNNNNNNNNNNNNNNNNNNNNNNNNNNNNNNNNNNNNNNNNNNNNNNNNNNNNNNNNNNNNNNNNNNNNNNNNNNNNNNNNNNNNNNNNNNNNNNNNNNNNNNNNNNNNNNNNNNNNNNNNNNNNNNNNNNNNNNNNNNNNNNNNNNNNNNNNNNNNNNNNNNNNNNNNNNNNNNNNNNNNNNNNNNNNNNNNNNNNNNNNNNNNNNNNNNNNNNNNNNNNNNNNNNNNNNNNNNNNNNNNNNNNNNNNNNNNNNNNNNNNNNNNNNNNNNNNNNNNNNNNNNNNNNNNNNNNNNNNNNNNNNNNNNNNNNNNNNNNNNNNNNNNNNNNNNNNNNNNNNNNNNNNNNNNNNNNNNNNNNNNNNNNNNNNNNNNNNNNNNNNNNNNNNNNNNNNNNNNNNNNNNNNNNNNNNNNNNNNNNNNNNNNNNNNNNNNNNNNNNNNNNNNNNNNNNNNNNNNNNNNNNNNNNNNNNNNNNNNNNNNNNNNNNNNNNNNNNNNNNNNNNNNNNNNNNNNNNNNNNNNNNNNNNNNNNNNNNNNNNNNNNNNNNNNNNNNNNNNNNNNNNNNNNNNNNNNNNNNNNNNNNNNNNNNNNNNNNNNNNNNNNNNNNNNNNNNNNNNNNNNNNNNNNNNNNNNNNNNNNNNNNNNNNNNNNNNNNNNNNNNNNNNNNNNNNNNNNNNNNNNNNNNNNNUGAAAACACUUUUUUUUGUUUUCUUUCUUGCUUUAUUUAUUUUAUUUUGUUUCUACUUGCAAUAAAAUACUUAUUGUUGUUUUUUUGUUUUGUUUUCUGCAUUAUUUAUUUUCUUUUGUUUUUUGCUUUAUUUUUUAAUUCUUUUUGCUUUUAGUUUUAGGAAAAUUAUAAACUUUCUAUUAGUGCCAUUACUUUUCAAAUUUGAAAACACUUUUUUGUUUUUUAGUUUUCUUUCUUGCUUUAUUUAUUUUAUUUUGUUUCUACUUACAACAAAAUACUUAUUGUUGCUAUUUUUAAUUAUUACGAAGGCCAAACCAUAAGACAUUAAAGCAUUUCAAAUGAACUCUGAAAAAGUUGAAAGUUGGCAUGGUAUCAUAAAUUGACCCACACAUAGCAUGUGCAUGUACAAAACGGACAAUGUUAUCAUACUCGUCAGUUACAAAGUUGGCAUGGUAUCAUCAUAAUAGUUGCGGGAGAAAGUCUUCACUUUUUCUUCGCUUGUGUCAUUUGCUUAUUGCGCCGUAACCAUGGAUAAUCUUCAUCGUUUAUCAGGAUGCUGGGGUCAGCCUUGACUUUAAAGGGAGGAAUUUCAUGAAACUUUUCAUAAUCUUCAGACAUGUCUGUCUUGUCCUCCUCUCCCACGAUGUCCCUUUUUCCUGAAAGAACUAUGUGGCGCUUUGGCUCAUCGUAUGAUGUAUUCGCUUCCUUAUCUUUUCUCUUUCUUGGUCUGGUAGACAUGUCCAUCACAUAGAUAACCUGUGCCACAUCAUUGGCUAGGACGAACGGUUCGUCAGUGUACCCAAGAUUUUUCGGAUCCACUGUUGUCGUUCCGUACUGUGGGUCUACAUGUACCCCGCCUCCUGACAGAUUGACCCAUUUGCACUUAAACAAAGGGACCUUAAAAUCAUGUCCUUAGUCAAGUUCCCAUAUGUCCACUAUGUAACCAUAAUAUGUGUCCUUUCCCCUCUCGGUUGUUGCAUCAAAGCGGACACCGCUGUUUUGGUUGGUGCUCUUUUGAUCUUGGUUAAUCGUGUAAAAUGUCUUCCCAUUUAUCUCAUAUCCUUUCCAAAUCGUAACAGUCGAAGAUGGUCCCCUGGAUAACAAGUACAUCUCAUCACAAACAGCGUUGUCACCUCUGAUACGUGCUUCCAACCAACUGCUGAAAGUCCUGAUGUGUUCACAUGUAAUUCAGUCGUCGCACUGCUCCGGGUGUUUGGAGCGCAGACUGUUCUUGUGUUCAUCCACAUACGGGGUCACCAAGGUAGAGUUCUGUAGAACUGUGUAGUGUGCUUGAGACCAAGAAUAUCUGUCCCUGCAUAUUAUUGAGUCCCUUCCAAGCAUGCCUUUUCCAGUCAGUCUCCCCUCAUACCGCGAUUUAGGGAGACCUAUCUUCUUAUGGCCAGGAAUGAAGUCAACACAAAACCCGAUGACAUCCUCUGUUUGAUGGCCCAUGGAGAUGCUUCCUUCUGGCCUAGCGCGAUGAGGGACAUAUUUCUUUAGGACUCCCAUGAACCUCUCAAAGGGGUACAUAUUGUGUAGAAAUACGGGGCCCAAAAUGACAAUCUCGUCAACUAGAUGAACUAGGACGUGCGUCAUGAUAUUGAAGAAGGAUGGUGGGAACACCAGCUCGAAACUGACAAGACAUUGCACCACAUCACUCCUUAGCCUUGGUAUGAUUUCUGGAUCGAUCACCUUCUGAGAGAUUGCAUUGAGGAAUGCACAUAGCUUCACAAUGGCUAAUCGGACGUUUUCCGGUAGAAGCCCCCUCAAUGCAACCGGAAGCAGUUGUGUCAUAAUCACGUGGCAGUCAUGAGACUUUAGGUUCUGAAACUUUUUCUUUGCCAUAUUUAUUAUUCCUUUUAUAUUCGACGAGAAGCCAGUCGGGACCUUCAUACUAAGCAGGCAUUCAAAGAAGAUUUCCUUCUCUUCUUUGGUAAGAGCAUAGCUGGCAGGACCUUCAUACUGCUUUGGAGGCAUGCCGUCUUUUUCGUGCAAAUGUUGCAGGUCCUCCCGUGCCUCAGCUGUAUCUUUUGUCUUCCCAUACACGCCCAAGAAGCCUAGCAGGUUCACGCAAAGGUUCUUCGUCACGUGCAUCACGUCGAUCGAAGAGCGGACCUCUAGGUCUUUCUAGUAGGGUAGGUCCCAAAAUAUAGAUUUCUUCUUCCACAUGGGUGCGUGUCCCCCAACGUCACUCGGAACAGCUAGUCUGCCGGGACCCUUUCCAAAGAUUACGUGUAAAUCAUUGACCAUAGCAAGUACGUGACCACCGGUACGCAUGGCGGGCUUCUUCCGGUGAUCUGCCUCGCCUUUGAAAUGCUUGCCUUUCUUUCGACAUUGAUGGUUGGUCGGAAGAAAUCGACGAUGGCCCAGGUACACAUUCUUCCUACAGCUUGCCAGGUAUAUACUAACGGUGUCAAGUAAACAGUGCGUGCAUGCGUGGUAUCCCUUGUUUGUCUGUCCUAAAAGGUUACUGAGAGCAGGCCAAUCGUUGAUGGUCACGAACAGCAACGCCUUUAGGUUAAAUUUCUCCUGUUUGUGCUCAUCCCACGUACGUACACCGUUUCCAUUCCACAGCUGUAAAAGUUCUUCAACUAAUGGCCUUAGGUACACAUCAAUGUCAUUGCCGGGUUGCUUAGGGCCUUGGAUGAGAACUGGCAUCAUAAUGAACUUCCGCUUCAUGCACAUCCAAGGAGGAAGGUUAUACAUACAUAGAGUCACGGGCCAGGUGCUGUGAUUGCUGCUCUGCUCCCCGAAAGGAUUAAUGCCAUCCGCACUUAAAGCAAACCAUACGUUCCUUGGCUCACUUGCAAACUCAUCCCAGUACUUUCUCUCAUUUUUCUCCAUUGCGACCCGUCAGCGGGUGCUCUCAACUUCCCGUCUUUCUUACGGUCCUCACUAUGCCAUCGCAUCAACUUGGCAUGCUCUCCGUUUCUGAACAGACGUUUCAACCGUGGUAUUAUAGGAGCAUACCACAUCACCACUACUAGGGAAAAGCCUAUACAUAGAAUCUUACCAGCAGCGCUCUUCAAAAUACAACGCUACUGCUACUUAGCAGCAGCGCGUGUCUGCCAAACACGCUGCUGACUUGGAAGUAGCAGUAGCGGGUGCAUCGCAUACAGCGCUACUGCUAUAGUUGCCAUGACCUUGCCCCCCCCCCCCCNNNNNNNNNNNNNNNNNNNNNNNNNNNNNNNNNNNNNNNNNNNNNNNNNNNNNNNNNNNNNNNNNNNNNNNNNNNNNNNNNNNNNNNNNNNNNNNNNNNNNNNNNNNNNNNNNNNNNNNNNNNNNNNNNNNNNNNNNNNNNNNNNNNNNNNNNNNNNNNNNNNNNNNNNNNNNNNNNNNNNNNNNNNNNNNNNNNNNNNNNNNNNNNNNNNNNNNNNNNNNNNNNNNNNNNNNNNNGCAAACGCGCUACAACUAUCCCUACCUUAUCCCCAUGCGCACGACCGGCCCUCUCACUCACACUCUCACUCUCGCCCACGUCAACCGUCGUCGUCCGUCGCCGCCGCCGCCGCCUUCGUCCGUCCGCCGCCGAGGUACUCCCCUCCUUCCGUCCCUCCUCCAUCCUCCUUGCACAUCCUCCCUCCGCCUGUGGCCGCCCCUCCUUCCUCCGCCGCUGCCCUCCUCCCUCCGCCUGCGGCCGCCCCUCCUCCCUCCUCCGACGGCAGCCCUCCUCCCACCGCCCUCGACCUCGCUGCCCCUAGCUACCUCUCCGUCGCCCCCCACCCCUGCCACUAGUUAGUACUAGAUUUAGUAGUAGUAGAUGUUAAUUUAGGGUUAGCUAGUACUAGAUGUUGCUUAGUUAGUACUAGAUUUUUAGUAGUAGUAGUGGUAGUUGAACUACUUUAGUUGUAGUUGAACUAGUUUAGUAAGUAAAUUAAUAAACGAGUUGAACUAGUUGAAUUAAUAGAACUAAUCUAUUUUUAGUAAGAUAAUUAAUAUAACUAGUUGAACUACUUUAUUUUUAGAAAGAACUAAUUUUUUUCUAUUUAUAUUAAGUUUAUAUUUAGUAAGAACUAGUUGAAUUAAUAAAACUAGUUGAACAUGUCAUGUUUGUUGUUAGUGAUAACUUAUAUGGUUUCAGGUGACCUCCGUCGUCCCCGUCACCGACCCCCUCCGACAUCCCCGUCGUCGUCCCAGUCACCGACCCCCUCCGACAUCGAGGUGAGACCAGCCAAAUAUCCUUGUAUAUCUUGUGUUGUUGCUCAAAUUGGAUAUGUGGUUGCCCAAGUGGCCGUUCAUGUAGUUUACAUCUCCGAGUGGCCUAUGUUUUGCCGGAGUGUUGAUUAAUUUCCGUUCCGACAAAUUUCAGGCGCUCGAUAUGUCCUUUUUUAGCAAAGGUCAUGCCGGAUUUUGUCGUGAAUUCUGGUAUGACUUGUGCUAGAAUAUGUACAAGUUUAAUCUUUGAAUUAUGAUUGUAGGAAAUGUCGUACUCGGACGACGAAGGUCUCCCGGGGGAGUGUAGCUGGUGCCACGACGAUCGAGGUAUGUGCGAUAGGUUCGUUCGGCUGGACGAAGAUCGGCGCUUCAACAUUAAGCUCGAGGAGACCUUCGAUUGUGAAAUGGUACGCAACAACGACAAGUGUUUUUUCUCCAUUAAGCAUGACUUCAACUAUUUCAACGUCUAAUUUUCAUAUUUUACAAUUCGACUAGCUUAUCCCAUGCCAUGCAAGACGCUAUGUCUUGGAGAGGAUGGGUUUUGAAGACCAUGAAAAUUUCAAAACAAAGAAAAUACACCUAAGGACCCAUCAUGAUAUGGAUUUUGAAGUAAACCUGUGCAAUGCUCAGAGCGCAACCCAUUUUGGUUGCCAAAAUUGGGAAGCACUUUGCAAAAUGUAUGGUUUUUAUGAGGGUAUGAUUGUCACCAUGGAUCUUGGUGAUCCUGACAGUGAGGAAGACAAUAUGGACAUUUGGGUCCUUGUUGAUACGCUUCCGAUUGUACCGCUAUGUGACUUUCUCAAACAUAGUUAUUAACUAAUUUAUAUUGUUUAUUUCAAAAUAGUUGAUAGCUUAUUUCCAUUGACAGCUUAUUUUGAUUCUUCAAAGACUGUGCGGAAGAUGGUAGAUAAAACCCACUACACCGAAGGCACCCAAUUAACGUAUAAGGAGAAAAAUCAUCUGAUCGCAUUUUGUACUCUUCUUGAGAAUUACAAUGACUAUAAUCGAACUCCUCCAGAUUAUGGUGAAUAUGUGCCACUAGUGCAUGUGUUGAACAACGAUAACUUAUCUGGAGAUACCCUGGUAAGAUUUUUUACUAUUACGACAUCCGUGUAUUUUUUGCAUACUUCUAAAACUAGUACAUCAUUGCUAACUACGAAGUUAUUAUUAUGUUUUUCAACAGAAACUCCCGAUGGAUUGUGUGCCUCAUCUGAUGUCUCUGCAUGGUCGCCUCUCAGUUCUGAACAUACUGCCAGGUAAAUCUACAGAGCUCACCUAUGCAUAUCAGAUUUCUAAAACCCGUGAACACAUGAUCAUCAGAGAAUGGAAGAAAUGUAUGGACAUUCGCAAGGAGGUUCUUGGAAGUAACAUUCAGCGAAACGUAAGAAUGGGAGACAGGCUAAUCUCCAUUCUCCAUAAUGGAGAGUCAGGGGCUAUCUUGUUUUUUGUUAUUUUACCUUAGAAAAUGUAGUAGGUCUUAAUCGAAUGUAAUAGGUCCUAUGAGGUACAAUAUGUUUAUUAUGUGGUAAUGUGUUAGAGUUGAUAAUGAUGAUCUUGAGGAGGUGUUAUGUGAUGUCAAUGAUGAAAACGAUGAUAUUGAGGAGGUGUUAUAUGACAAUGAUGUAUUAUGAUGCUAAGUUGUUAAUGAUAUGAUGAUGAUGAUGAUAUUAUUAUAUCAUUGGGUGAAAGAACCGUGGAUUAGUUUCAAGUGGAUGGACAUCCACUUGAAACUAGUCCACGGUUCUUUCACCCCAUGAUGUAAUAACUCAUUAUGAUGUAAAAACAAUCUCUAAAUUCCUGUUGUAUGAAAACUUGUGUAAGGGUGUAUGAAUACAACAUGAAAAAGAAAAGAAAUAAAAUACUAAAUAAUAGUAGUAGCGCGGGUAAGGAGAAGCGCUACUACUAAUUACCAGUAGCGAUGUUCUAAAGAACCGCUGCUACUAAGUCAAUUUAGCAGUAGCGCGUGUCAAGACGCGCUAUUGCUAAGCAUUAGCUGUAGCGCCUUAUCAGUAGCGCUCCUGCCCGCGCUACUGAUAGGCCCAAAACCCGCGCUGCUGCUAGGCUUUUCCCUAGUAGUGCACCUUCGCAGGAACCCUCUUCCUGGGGGGCUCGCCGUCAACAUCACCAGGGUCAUCUCGUCUGAUCUUAUACCAUAAUGCACCGCAUACCAGGCAUGCGUUCAGAUCCUUAUAUGCACCGCGGUAGAGGAUGCAGUCAUUAGGGCAUGCAGGUAUCUUCUGCACCUCCAAUCCUAGAGGGCAUACGACCUUCUUUGCUGCGUAUGUACUGUCGGGCAAUUCGUUAUCCUUUGGAAGCUUCUUCUUCAAUAUUUUCAGUAGCUUCUCAAAUCCUUUGUCAGGCACAGCAUUCUCUUAAAGGAAAUAUGCCCUAGAGGCAAUAAUAAAGUUAUUAUUUAUUUCCUCAUAUCAUGAUAAAUGUUUAUUAUUCAUGCUAGAAUUGUAUUAACCGGAAACAUGAUACAUGUGUGAAUACAUAGACAAAACUAUAGUCACUAGUAUGCCUCUACUUGACUAGCUCAUUAAUCAAAGAUGGUUAUGUUUCCUGACCAUAGACAUGUGUUGUCAUUUGAUUAGUGGGAUCACAUCAUUAAGAGAAUGAUGUGAUUGACAUGACCCAUUCUGUUAGCCCAGCACUUGAUCGUUUAGUAUACUGCUAUUGCUUUCUUCAUGACUUAUACAAAGUUCCUGCAACUAUGAGAUUGUGCAACUCCCGUUUACCGGAAGAACACUUUGUGUGCUACCAAACAUCACAACGUAACUGGGUGAUUAUAAAGGUGCUCUACAGGUGUUUCCGAAGGUACAUGUUGGGUUGGCAUAAUUCGAGAUUAGGAUUUGUCACUCCGAUUGUCGGAGAGGUAUCUCUGGGCCCUCUCGGAAAUACUCAUCACAUAAGCCUUGCAAGCAUGUAACUAAUGAGUUAGUUAUGAGAUGACGUAUUACGAAACGAGUAAAGAGACUUGCCGGUAACGAGAUUGAACUAGGUAUUGGAUACCGACGAUCAAAUCUCGGGCAAGUAACAUACCGAUGACAAAGGGAACAAAGUAUGUUGUUAUGCGGUUUGACCGAUAAAGAUCUUCGUAGAAUAUGUAGGAACCAAUAUGGGCAUCCAGGUCCCGCUAUUGGUUAUUGACCGAGAAUGGUUUUAGGUCAUGACUACAUAGUUCUCAAACCCGUAGGGUCCGCACGCUUAACUUUUUGAUGAUAGUUUUAUUAUGAGUUUAUAAGUUUUGAUGUACCAAAGUUUGUUCGGAGUUCCGGAUGUGAUCACGGAUAUGAUGAGGAGUCUCGGAAUGCUUGAGCCAUAAAGAUUGAUAUAUUGGACGACUAUAUUCGGACACCGGAAAGGUUCCGGGAGUUUUCGGAGAAAACCGGAGUGCCCGGGGGGUUACCGAAACCCCCCGGGAGAGUUAAUGGGCCACAUGGGCCUAGGUGGGAAGAGAAAGGGGCGGCCAGGGUGAGCCGCGCGCCCCCUCUCCCUCUAGUCCGAAUUGGACUAGGAGGGGGGGCGGCGCCCCCUUUCCUUCCCCCCCUCUCUUCCUUCCUUCCCCCUCCUAGUAGGAGUAGGAAAGGAGGAAUCCUACUCCUACUAGGAGGAGGAUUCCUCCUCCCUUGCGCGCCCCAAGGGGCCGGCCGGCCUCCCCCUCCCUCCUUUAUAUACGGGGGCAGGGGGCACCCCAUAGACACACAAGUUGAUCUACGGAUCGUUCCUUAGCCGUGUGCGGUGCCCCCUUCCACCAUAUUCCACCUCGGUCAUAUCGUCGCGAAGCUUAGGCGAAGUCCUGCGCCGGUAGAACAUCAAGAUCGUCACCACGCCGUCGUGCUGACGGAACUCUCCCUCGACACUCGGCUGGAUCGGAGUUCGAGGGACGUCAUCGAGCUGAAUGUGUGCUGAACUCGGAGGCUCCGUACGUUCGGUUCUUGGAUCGGUCGGAUCGUGAAGACGUAUGACUACAUCAACCGCGUUGUCAUAACGCUUCCGCUUACGGUCUACGAGGGUACAUGGACAUACACUCUCCCCUCUCGUUGCUAUGUCAUCACCAUGAUCUUGCGUGUGCGUAGGAAAAUUUUGAAAUUACUACGUUCCCCGACAGUGGUAUCAGAGCCUAGGUUUUAUGCGUUGAUGUUAUAUGCACGAGUAGAACACAAGUGAGUUGUGGACGAUAUAAGUCAUACUGCCUACCAGUGUGUCAUACUUUGGUUCAGCGGUAUUGUGAGAUGAAGCGGCCCGGACCGACAUUACGGGUACGCUUACGCGAGACUAGUUUCACCGUUAUGAGCACUCGUGCUUAAAGGUGGCUGGCGGGUGUCUGUCUCUCUCACUUUAGUUGAACCGAGUGUGGCUACGCCCGGCCCUUGUGAAGGUUAAAACGGAGUCUAUUUGACAAACUAUCGUUGUGGUUUUGAUGCGUAGGUAAGAACGGUUCUUGCUAAGCCCGUAGCAUCCACGUAAAAUUUGCAACAACAAAGUAGAGGACGUCUAACUUGUUUUUGCAGGGCAUGUUGUGAUAUGAUAUGGUCAAGACGUGAUGCUAUAUUUUAUUGUAUGAGAUGAUCAUGUUUUGUAACCGAAGUUAUCGGCAACUGGCUGGAGCCAUAUGGUUGUCGCUUUAUUGUAUGAAAUGCAAACGCCCUGUAAUUGCUUUACUUUAUCUCUAAGCGGUAGCGAUAGUCGUAGAAGCAAUAGAUGGCGUAAACGACAACGAUGCUACGAUGGAGAUCAAGGUGUCGCGCCGGUGACGAUGGUGAUCAUGACGGUGCUUCGAAGAUGGAGAUCACAAGCACAAGAUGAUGAUGGCCAUAUCAUAUCACUUAUAUUGAUUGCAUGUGAUGUUUAUCCUUUAUGCAUCUUAUCUUGCUUUGAUUGACGGUAGCAUUUUAAGAUGAUCUCUCACUAAAAUUAUCAAGUAGUGUUCUCCCUGAGUAUGCACCGUUGCCAAAGUUCAUCGUGCCGAGACACCACGUGAUGAUCGGGUGUGAUAAGCUCUACGUCCAUCUACAACGGGUGCAAGCCAGUUUUGCACACGCAGAAUACUCAGGUUAAACUUGACGAGCCUAGCAUAUGCAGAUAUGGCCUCGGAACACAGAGACCGAAAGGUCGAGCGUGAAUCAUAUAGUAGAUAUGAUCAACAUAAUGAUGUUCACCAUUGAAAACUACUCCAUCUCACGUGAUGAUCGGUUAUGGUUUAGUUGAUUUGGAUCACGUGAUCACUUAGAUGACUAGAGAGAUGUCUGUCUAUGUGGGAGUUCUUAAGUAAUAUGAUUAAUUGAACUUAAAUUUAUCAUGAACUUAGUACCUGAUAGUAUCUUGCUUGUCUAUGUUUGUUUGUAGAUAGAUGGCUCGUGCUGUUGUUCCGUUGAAUUUUAAUGCGUUCCUUGAGAAAGCAAAGUUGAAAGAUGAUGGUAGCAAUUACACGGACUGGGUCCGUAACCUGAGGAUUAUCCUCAUUGUUGCACAGAAGAGUUACGUCCUGGAAGCACCGCUGGGUGCCAGGCCUGCUGCUGAUGCAACUGACGACGUUAAGAACGUCUGGCAGAGCAAAGCUGAUGACUACUCUAUAGUUCAGUGUGCCAUGCUUUACGGCUUAGAACCGGGUCUUCAACGACGUUUUGAACGUCAUGGAGCAUAUGAGAUGUUCCAGGAGUUGAAGUUAAUAUUUCAAGCAAAUGCCCGGAUUGAGAGAUAUGAAGUCUCCAAUAAGUUCUAUAGCUGCAAGAUGGAGGAGAAUAGUUCUGUCAGUGAACAUAUACUCAGAAUGUCUGGGUAUAACAAUCACUUGAUUCAACUGGGAGUUAAUCUUCCUGAUGAUAGUGUCAUUGACAGAAUUCUUCAAUCACUGCCACCAAGCUACAAGAGCUUUGUGAUGAACUAUAAUAUGCAAGGGAUGAACAAGACUAUUCCCGAGCUCUUCGCGAUGCUGAAAGCCGCAGAGGUAGAAAUCAAGAAGGAGCAUCAAGUGUUGAUGGUCAACAAGACCACUAGUUUCAAGAAGAAGGGCAAAGGAAAGAAGAAGGGGAACUUCAAAAAGAACGGCAAGCAAGUUGCUGCUCAAGAGAAGAAACCCAAGUCUGGACCUAAGCCUGAAACUGAGUGCUUCUACUGCAAGCAGACUGGUCACUGGAAGCGGAACUGCCCCAAGUAUUUGGCGGAUAAGAAGGAUGGCAAAGUAAACAAAGGUAUAUGUGAUAUACAUGUUAUUGAUGUGUACCUAACUAGAGCUCGUAGUAGCACCUGGGUAUUUGAUACUGGUUCUGUUGCUAAUAUUUGCAACUCGAAACAGGGACUACGGAAUAAGCGAGCACUGGCCAAGGACGAGGUGACGAUGCGCGUGGAAAACGGUUCCAAAGUCGAUGUGAUCGCGGUCGGCACGCUACCUCUACAUCUACCAUCGGGAUUAGUUUUAGACCUAAAUAAUUGUUAUUUGGUGCCAGCGUUGAGCAUGAACAUUAUAUCUGGAUCUUGUUUGAUGCAAGACGGUUAUUCAUUUAAAUCAGAGAAUAAUGGUUGUUCUAUUUAUAUGAGUAAUAUCUUUUAUGGUCAUGCACCCUUGAAGAGUGGUCUAUUUUUAUUGAAUCUCGAUAGUAGUGAUACACAUAUUCAUAUUGUAGAAGCCAAAAGAUGCAGAGUUGAUAAUGAUAGUGCAACUUAUUUGUGGCACUGCCGUUUGGGUCAUAUCGGUGUACAACGCAUGAAGAAACUCCAUACUGAUGGACUUCUGGAAUCACUUGAUUAUGAAUCACUUGGUACUUGCGAACCGUGCCUUAUGGGCAAGAUGACUAAAACACCGUUCUCCGGAACUAUGGAGAGAGCAACAGAUUUGUUGGAAAUCAUACAUACAGAUGUAUGUGGUCCGAUGAAUGUUGAGGCUCGUGGCGGAUAUCAUUAUUUUCUCACCUUCACUGAUGAUUUAAGCAGAUAUGGGUAUAUCUACUUAAUGAAGUACAAGUCUGAAACAUUUGAAAAGUUCAAAGAAUUUCAGAGUGAAGUAGAAAAUCAUCGUAACAAGAAAAUAAAGUUUCUACGAUCUGACCGUGGAGGAGAAUAUUUGAGUUACGAGUUUGGUUUACAUUUGAAACAAUGCGGAAUAGUUUCGCAACUCACGCCACCUGGAACACCACAACGAAAUGGUGUGUCCAAACGUCGUACUCGUACUUUACUUGAUAUGGUGCGAUCUAUGAUGUCUCUUACCGAUUUACCGCUAUCGUUUUGGGGUUAUGCUUUAGAGACGGCCGCAUUCACGUUAAAUAGGGCACCAUCAAAAUCCGUUGAGAUGACGCCUUAUGAACUGUGGUUUGGCAAGAAACCAAAGUUGUCGUUUCUUAAAGUUUGGGGCUGCGGUACUUAUGUGAAGAAACUUCAACCAGAUAAGCUCGAACCCAAAUCGGAGAAAUGUGUCUUCGUAGGAUACCCAAAGGAGACUAUUGGGUACACCUUCUAUCACAGAUCUGAAGGCAAGAUUUUCGUUGCUAAAUUCGGAUCCUUUCUAGAGAAGGAAUUUCUCUCGAAAGAAGUGAGUGGGAGGAAAGUAGAACUUGAUGAGAUAACUGUAUCUACUCCCUUAUUGGAAGGUAGUUCAUCACGAGAACUGGUUCCCAUGACAACUACACCAAUUAUUGAGGAAGCUAAUAAUAUUGAUCAUGAAACUUCAGAUCAAGUUUCUGCUGAACCUCGUAGGUCUACCAGAGUAAGAUCCGCACCAGAGUGGUACGGUAAUCCUAUUCUGGAAGUCAUGUUACUUGACCAUGAUGAACCUACGAACUAUGAGGAACCGAUGAUGAGCCCAGAUUCCGCAAAAUGGCUAGAGGCCAUGAAAUCUGAGAUGGGAUCCAUGGAUGAAAACAAAGUAUGGACUUUGGUUGACUUGCCCGAUGAUCGGCAAGCCAUUGAGAAUAAAUGGAUCUUUAAGAAGAAGACUGACGCUGAUGGUAAUGUUACUGUCUAUAAAGCUCGACUUGUUGCGAAAGGUUUUCGACAAGUUCAAGGGGUUGACUAUGAUGAGACUUUCUCACCCGUAGCGAUGCUUAAGUCUGUCCGAAUCAUGUUGGCUAUUGCUGCAUUUCAUGAUUAUGAAAUUUGGCAAAUGGAUGUCAAAACUGCAUUCUUGAAUGGAUUUCUAGAAGAAGAGUUGUAUAUGAUGCAGCCGGAAGGUUUUGUUGAUCCAAAAGGUGCUGACAAAGUGUGUAAGCUCCAAUGUUCCAUUUAUGGACUGGUGCAAGCAUCUCGGAGUUGGAAUAAACGUUUUGACAGUGUGAUCAAGGCAUAUGGUUUUAUACAGACUUUUGGAGAAGCCUGUAUUUACAAGAAAGUGAGUGGGAGCUCUGUAGCAUUUCUAGUUUUAUAUGUUGAUGACAUAUUAUUAAUUGGAAAUGAUAUAGAAUUUCUGGAGAGCAUAAAGGGAUACUUGAAUAAAAGUUUUUCAAUGAAAGACCUCGGUGAAGCUGCUUACAUAUUGGGCAUCAAGAUCUAUAGAGAUAGAUCAAGACGCUUAAUAGGACUUUCACAAAGCACAUACCUUGACAAAAUUUUGAAAAAGUUCAAAAUGGAUCAGGCAAAGAAAGGAUUCUUGCCUGUGCUACAAGGUGUGAAGUUGAGUCAAACUCAAUGCCCGACCACAUCAGAAGAUAGAGAGAAAAUGAAAAAUGUUCCCUAUGCUUCAGCCAUAGGCUCUAUCAUGUAUGCAAUGCUGUGUACCAGACUUGACGUAUGCUUAGCAAUAAGCUUGGCAGGAAGGUACCAAAGUAAUCCAGGAGUGGAUCACUGGACAGCGGUCAAGAACAUCCUUAAAUACCUGAAAAGGACUAAGGAUAUAUUUCUCGUAUAUGUAGGUGACAAAGAGCUCGUCGUAAAUGGUUACGUCGAUGCAAGCUUUGACACUGAUCCAGACGAUUCUAAAUCGCAAACCGGAUACGUGUUUAUAUUAAACGGUGGAGCUGUAAGUUGGUGCAGUUCUAAACAAAGCGUCGUGGCGGGAUCUACAUGUGAAGCGGAGUACAUAGCUGCUUCUGAAGCAGCAAAUGAAGGAGUCUGGAUGAAGGAGUUCAUUUCCGAUCUAGGUGUCAUACCUAGUGCAUCGGGACCAAUGAAGAUCUUCUGUGACAAUACAGGUGCAAUUGCUUUGGCAAAGGAAUCCAGAUUUCACAAGAGGACCAAGCACAUCACGAGACGCUUAAAUUCCAUUCGGGACCAAGUCCAAGUGGGAGACAUACAGAUUUGCAAGAUACAUACGGAUCUGAAUAUUGCAGACCCGUUGACUAAGCAUCUCUCACGAGCAAAACAUGAUCAGCACCAAGACUCCAUGGGUGUUAGAAUCAUUAUUGUGUAAUCUAGAUUAUUGACUCUAGUGCAAGUGGGAGACUAAAGGAAAUAUGCCCUAGAGGCAAUAAUAAAGUUAUUAUUUAUUUCCUCAUAUCAUGAUAAAUGUUUAUUAUUCAUGCUAGAAUUGUAUUAACCGGAAACAUGAUACAUGUGUGAAUACAUAGACAAAACUAUAGUCACUAGUAUGCCUCUACUUGACUAGCUCAUUAAUCAAAGAUGGUUAUGUUUCCUGACCAUAGACAUGUGUUGUCAUUUGAUUAGUGGGAUCACAUCAUUAAGAGAAUGAUGUGAUUGACAUGACCCAUUCUGUUAGCCUAGCACUUGAUCGUUUAGUAUACUGCUAUUGCUUUCUUCAUGACUUAUACAAAGUUCCUGCAACUAUGAGAUUGUGCAACUCCCGUUUACCAAAAGAACACUUUGUGUGCUACCAAACGUCACAACGUAACUGGGUGAUUAUAAAGGUUCUCUACAGGUGUUUCCGAAGGUACAUGUUGGGUUGGCAUAAUUCGAGAUUAGGAUUUGUCACUCCGAUUGUCGGAGAGGUAUCUUUGGGCCCUCUCGGUAAUACUCAUCACAUAAGCCUUGCAAGCAUGUAACUAAUGAGUUAGUUAUGAGAUGACGUAUUACGGAACGAGUAAAGAGACUUGCCGGUAACGAGAUUGAACUAGGUAUUGGAUACCAACGAUCAAAUCUCGGGCAAGUAACAUACCGAUGACAAAGGGAACAAAGUAUGUUGUUAUGCGGUUUGACCGAUAAAGAUCUUCAUAGAAUAUGUAGGAACCAAUAUGGGCAUCCAGGUCCCGCUAUUGGUUAUUGACCGAGAAUGGUUUUAGGUCAUGACUACAUAGUUCUCGAACCCGUAGGGUCCGCACGCUUAACGUUUCGAUGAUAGUUUUAUUAUGAGUUUAUAAGUUUUGAUGUACCGAAGUUUGUUCGGAGUCCCAGAUGUGAUCACAGACAUGACGAGGAGUCUUGGAAUGGUCGAGACAUAAAGAUUGAUAUAUUGGACGACUAUAUUCGGACACCGGAAAGGUUCCGGGAGUUUUCGGAGAAAACCGGAGUGCCGGGGGGGUUACCGGAACCCCCCGGGAGAGUUAAUGGGCCACAUGGGCCUAGGUGGGAAGAGAGAGGUGCGGCCAGGGUGGGCCGCGCGCCCCCUCUCCCUCUAGUUCGAAUUGGACUAGGAGGGGGGGCGGCGCCCCCCUUUCCUUCCCCCCCUCUCUUCCUUCCUUCCCCCUCCUAGUAGGAGUAGGAAAGGAGGAAUCCUACUCCUACUAGGAGGAGGAUUCCUCCUCCCUUGGAGCGCCCCAAGGGGCUGGCCGGCCUCCCCCUCCCUCCUUUAUAUACGAGGGCAGGGGGCACCCCAUAGACACACAAGUUGAACUACGGAUCGUUCCUUAGCCGUGUGCGGUGCCCCCUUCCACCAUAUUCCACCUCGGUCAUAUUGUCGCGAAGCUUAGGCGAAGCCCUGCGCCGGUAGAACAUCAAGAUCGUCACCACGCCGUCGUGCUGACGGAACUCUCCCUCGACACUCGGCUGGAUCGGAGUUCGAGGGACGUCAUCGAGCUGAACAUCUGCUGAACUCGGAGGCUCCGUACGUUAGGUGCUUGGAUCGGUCGGAUCGUGAAGACGUACGACUACAUCAACCGCGUUGUCAUAACGCUUCCGCUUACGGUCUACGAGGGUACGUGGACAUACACUCUCCCCUCUCGUUGCUAUUUCAUCACCAUGAUCUUGCUUGUGCGUAGGAAAAUUUUGAAAUUACUACGUUCCCCAACAUCUCUGCCUUCCACUGCAGCAAUUCCAGUACGGUACCGAGCUUUGUGUUGCCAUCUUCGCAAUUGGGGUACAACCCUUUUUUUUGGUCCUCUAGCAUGCGAUCGAACUUCAGCUUCUCCUUUUGACUUUUGCAUUGCGUCCUUGCAUCGACAAUGACCCGGCGGAGAUCAUCAUCAUCGGGCACAUCGUCUGGUUCCUCUUGAUCUUCAGCAGCUUCGCCUGUUGCAGCAUCAUCGUGCACAUCGUCUGGUUCCUCUUGAUCUUCAGGAGCAUCACCGUAUUCAGGGGCACAUAGUUGUCAUCGUACUCUUCUUCACCGUCUUCCAUCAUAACCCCUAUUUCUCCGUGCCUCAUCCAAACAUUAUAGUGUGGCAUGAAACCCUUGUAAAGCAGGUGGGUGUGGAGGAUUUUCCGGUCAGAGUAAGACUUCGUAUUCCCACAUAUAGGACAUGGACAACACAUAAAACCAUUCUGCUUGUUUGCCUCAGCCACUUCGAGAAAAUCAUGCACGCGCUUAAUGUACUCGGAGGUGUGUCUUGAACCGUACAUCCAUUGCCGGUUCAUCUGCGUGCAUUAUAUAAUGAAGUGACCAAAUUAAUAGAAGUUCAUCAUCACAUUAAAACCAAAGUACAUACAUAGUUCUCAUCUAACAACAUAAAGCUCUGCAGAGCAUCUAAAUUAAUUAAACCAUACACUGAAACUAUGUAAAACAUUUCAAUGCGAAAACAAAUGCAACCAUAAUCGCAACCAAUGUAACAACUGAUCCAACGGCAUAAUGAUACCAAGCCUCAGUAUGAAUGGCAUAUUUUCUAAUCUUUCUAAUCUUCAAGCGCAUUGCAUCCAUCUUGAUCUUGUGAUCAUCGACGACAUCCCCAACAUGCAACUCCAAUAUCAUCUUCUCCUCCUCAAUUUUUCUAAUUUUUUCCUUCAAGAAAUUGUUUUCUUCUUCAACUGAAUUUAACCUCUCGACAAUAGGGUCGGUUGGAAUUUCCGGUUCAACAACCUCCUAGAUAAAUAAAAUCUAUGUCACGUUGGUCGGCAUAAUUGUCAUAAACAAUAAAUGAACCAAUAGUUAUGAAAAGAUAAUAUAUACCACAUCCGAAUCAUAGACAGGACGAGGGCCGACGGGGGCGGAUACCAAAACCAUCGCACUAUAUAAGAUGCAAUAAUAAAAGUAAGAAAAUAAUACAAGUAUCUAUCUAAACAUACAAGUAAGAAUAUUUUUCCUUUCAGAAAGAAGAUAAGAACAAGAGGCUCACCACGGUGGUGCCGGCGAUGAGAUCGGCGCGGGUGAUCGACGACGAUGAAGACAAGGACGGGGCGUGACGGACCGCUAAACCUAGACAAAUAUUGAGGAAAAUGGAGCUUGGCGGUCGAGCUUGGAGGGGAGAAAGCUUAAGUAGUGUGGCUCGGGCAUUCCAUCGAACACCUCGUGUGCAUAGGAGGUGAGCUAGAGCACCACAAAGCUCUCCCCUCGCCGGCCACGAAAAACAGAGCACUGGGAGUGCUCUGCUCGCGAGCGGGGGGUAUAUAUAGGCACCACCAUUGGUCCCGGUUGGUCGCACGAACCGGGACUAAAGGUUGGCCUUUGGUCCCGGUUCGUGCCACCAACUGGGACCAAUGGUGGUGGGCCAGGAGCGAGGCCCAUUGGUCCCGGUUCGUCCCUCCAACCGGGACCAAAAGGUCCAGACAAACCGGGACCAAUGGCCCACGUGUUGGGUUUCGUAGUAAUUUCAAAAAAUUUCCUACGCACACGCAAGAUCAUGUGAUGCAUAGCAACGAGGGGAGAGUGUUGUCUACGUACCCAACGCAGACCGACUGCGGAAGCGAUGACACGACGUAGAGGAAGUAGUCGUACGUCUUCACGAUCCAACCGAUCAAGCACCGAAACUACGGCACCUCCGAGUUCGAGCACACGUUCAGCUCGAUGACGAUCCCCGGACUCCGAUCCAGCAAAGUGUCGGGGAAGAGUUCCGUCAGCACGACGGCGUGGUGACGAUCUUGAUGAACUACAGCAGCAGGGCUUCGCCUAAACUCCGCUACAGUAUUAUCGAGGUAUAUGGUGGCAGGGGCACCGCACACGGCUAAGGAAUAGAUCACGUGGAUCAACUUGUGUGUAUAGAGGUGCCCCCUGCCUCCGUAUAUAAAGGAGGAGAGGAGGGGAGGCUGGCCGGCCAAGGAGGGGAGGCGCAGGAGAGUCCUACUCCCUCUGGGAGUAGGAUUCCCCCCAAUCCUAGUCCAACUAGGAUUCCUCGGAGGGGAAGGGAGAGAGGGGGGCCGGCCACCUUCUCCUAGUCCUAAUAGGACUAGGGGAGGGGGAAGUGGCGCAGCCACCUUGGGCUGCCCCUUUCUCCUUUCCACUAAGGCCCAUGAAGGCCCAUAUGGCUCCCGGGGGGUUCCGGUAAUCCUCCCGGUACUCCGGUAAAAUCCCGAUUUCACCCGGAACACUUCCGAUGUCCAAACAUAGGCUUCCAAUAUAUCAAUCUUUAUGUCUCGACCGUUUCGAGACUCCUCGUCAUGUCCAUGAUCACAUCCGGGACUCCAAACAACCUUCGGUACAUCAAAAUGCAUAAACUCAUAAUGUAACUGUCAUCGUAACCUUAAGCGUGCGGACCCUACGGGUUCGAGAACAAUGUAGACAUGACCGAGACACGUCUCCGGUCAAUAACCAAUAGCGGGACCUGGAUGCCCAUAUUGGCUCCUACAUAUUCUACGAAGAUCUUUAUCGGUCAGACCGCAUAACAACAUACGUUGUUCCCUUUGUCAUCGGUACGUUACUUGCCCGAGAUUCGAUCGUCGGUAUCCAAUACCUAGUUCAAUCUCGUCACCGGCAAGUCUCUUUACUCGUUCUAUAAUGCAUCAUCCCGUAACCAACUCAUUGGUCACAUUGCUUGCAAGGCUUAUAAUGAUGUGCAUUACCGAGAGGGCCCAGAGAUACCUCUCCGACAAUCGGAGUGACAAAACCUAAUCUCGAAAUACGCCAACUCAACAUGUACCUUCGGAGACACCUGUAGUACUCCUUUAUAAUCACCCAGUUAAGUUGUGACGUUUGGUAGUACCCAAAGUGUUCCUCCGGUAAACGGGAGUUGCAUAAUCUCAUAGUUACAGGAACAUGUAUAAGUCAUGAAGAAAGCAAUAGCAACAUACUAAACGAUCAAGUGCUAAGCUAACGGAAUGGGUGAAGUCAAUCACAUCAUUCUCCUAAUGAUGUGACCCCGUUAAUCAAAUGACAACUCUUUUGUCCAUGGCUAGGAAACAUAACCAUCUUUGAUAAACGAGCUAGUCAAGUAGAGGCAUACUAGUGACACUAUGUUUGUCUAUGUAUUCACACAUGUAUUAUGUUUCUGGUUAAUACAAUUCUAGCAUGAAUAAUAAACAUUUAUCAUGAAAUAAGGAAAUAAAUAAUAACUUUAUUAUUGCCUCUAGGGCAUAUUUCCUUCAGUCUCCCACUUGCACUAGAGUCAAUAAUCUAGUUCACAUCGUCAUGUGAUUUAACAACAAUAUUCAUAUCUGUAUAUGAUUAACACCCAUAGUUCACAUUAUCAUGUGACCAACACCCAAAGGGUUUACUAGAGUAAAUAAUCUAGUUCACAUCUCUAUGUGAUUAACACCCAAAGAGUACUAAGGUGUGAUCAUGUUUUGCUCGUGAAAGAAGCUUAGUCAAUGGGUCUGUCACAUUCAGAGCCGUAUGCAUUUUGCAAAUAUUUUAUGUCUACAAUGCUCUGCACGGUGCUACUCUAGCAAUUGCUCCCACUUUCAAUAUGUAUCCAGAUUGAGACUUAGAGUCAUCUGGAUCGGUGUGAAAACUUGCACCGAGGUAACUUUUACGACGGGCUCUUUUAUCACCUCCAUAAUCGAGAAAUAUUUCCUUAGUCCUCACUAAGGAUAUUCUUGACCAAUGUCGAGUGAUCUACUCCUAGAUCACUAUUGUACUCCCUUGUCAAAUACUGAGCAAGGUAUACAAUAGUUCUGGUACAUAGCAUAGCAUACUUUAUAGAACCUAUGACUGAGGCAUAGGGAAUGACUUUUCAUUUUUUCUAUUUUCUGUUGUGGUCGGGAUUUGAGUCUUACUCAAUUUCAUACCUUUGCAACACAGGCAAGAACUCUUUCUUUGACUGUUCCAUUUUGAACUAUUUCAAAAUCUUGCCAAGGUAUGUACUCAUUGAAAAUCUUAUCAAGCGUCUUGAUCUAUCUCAAUAUAUCUUGAUGCUCAAUAUGUAAGUAGCUUUUACUGAGGUCUUUUCCUUUUAAAGAACUCCUUUAAAACACUCCUUUAUGCUUUGCAGAAAAAUUCUACAUCAUUUCUGAUCAACAAUAUGUCACUCGUAUAUACUAAUCAGAAAGGCUAUAGUGCUCCCACUCACUUUAUUGUAAAUACAGGCUUCUCAAAAAGUCUGUAUAAAACCAUAUGCUUUGAUCAACUCAUCAAAGCGUAUAUUCCAACUCCGAGAGGCUUGCACCAGUCCAUAGAUGGAUCGCUGGAGCUUGCACAUUUUUUUAGCACCUUUAGGAUUGACAAAACCUUCUGGUUGCAUCAUAUACAACUCUUCUUUAAUAAAUCCAUUAAGGAAUGCAGUUUUGAUAUCCAUUUGCCAGAUUUCAUAAAAUGUGGCAAUUGCUAACAUGAUUCAGACAGACUUAAGAAUCGAUACGAGUGAGAAAAUCUCAUCGUAUUCAACACCUUGAACUUGUUGAAAACCUUUCGCAACAAGUCGAGCUUGGUAGAUAGUAACACUACUAUCAGUGUCCGUCUUCCUCUUGAAGAUCCAUUCAUUUAACAUGGCUUGCUGAUCAUCGAGCAAGUCAAUCAAAGUCCAUACUUUGUUCUCAUACAUGGAUCAUAUCUCAGAUUUUAUGGCCUCGAGCCAUUUCGCGGAAUCUGGGCUCAUCAUCGCUUCUUCAUAGUUCGUAGGUUCAUCAUGAUCUAGUAUCAUGACUUCCAGAAUAGGAUUACCGUACCAUUCUGGUGCGGAUCUUACUCUGGUUGAUCUACGAGGUUCAUCAGUAUCUUGAUCUGAAGUUUCAUGAUCAUUAUCAUUGGCUUCCUCACUAACUGGUGUAGGUGUCACUGAAACAGUUUUCUGUGAUGAACUACUUUCCAGUAAGGGAGCAGGUACAGUUACCUCGUCAAGUUCUACUUUCCUCCCACUCACUUCUUUCGAGAGAAACUCCUUCUCUAGAAAGGAUCCAUUCUUAGCAACGAAUGUCUUGCCUUCGGAUCUGUGAUAGAAGGUGUACCCAAUAGUCUCCUUUGGGUAUCCUAUGAAGACACAUUUCUCCGAUUUGGGUUCGAGCUUAUCAGGUUGAAGCUUUUUCACAUAAGCAUCGCAGCCCCAAACUUUAAGAAACGACAACUUUGGUUUCUUGCCAAACCACAGUUCAUAAGGCGUCGUCUCAACGGAUUUUGAUGGUGCCCUAUUUAACGUGAAUGCGGCCGUCUCUAAAGCAUAUCCCCAAAAUGAUAGCGGUAAAUCAGUAAGAGACAUCAUAGAUCGCACCAUAUCUAGUAAAGUACGAUUACGAUGUUCGGACACACCAUUACGCUGUGGUGUUCCGGGUGGCGUGAGUUGCGAAACUAUUCCACAGUUUUUCAAAUGUACACCAAACUCGUAACUCAAAUAUUCUCCUCCACGAUCAGAUCGUAGAAACUUUAUUUUCUUGUUACGAUGAUUUUCAACUUCACUCUGAAAUUCUUUGAAAUUUUCAAAUGUUUCAGACUUAUGUUUCAUUAAGUAGAUAUACCCAUAUCUGCUUAAAUCAUCUGUGAAGGUGAGAAAAUAACGAUAUCCGCCACGAGCCUCAGUAUUCAUCGGGCCACAUACAUCGGUAUGUAUGAUUUCCAACAAAUCUGUUGCUCUCUCCAUAGUACCGGAGAACGGUGUUUUAGUCAUCUUGCCCAUGAGGCACGGUUCGCAAGUACCAAGUGAUUCAUAAUCAAGUGGUUCCAAAAGUCCAUCAGUAUGGAGUUUCUUCAUGCGCUUUAUACCGAUAUGACCUAAACGACAGUGCCACAAAUAAGUUGCACUUUCAUUAUCAACUCUGCAUCUUUUGGCUUCAACAUUAUGAAUAUGUGUAUUACUACUAUCGAGAUCCAACAAACCAUUUUCAUUGGGUGUAUGACCAUAGAAGGUUUUAUUCAUGUAAACAGAACAACAAUUAUUCUCUAACUUACAUGAAUAACCGUAUUGCAAUAAACAUGAUCAAAUCAUAUUCAUGCUCAACGCAAACACCAAAUAACACUUAUUUAGGUUUAACACUAAUCCCAAAAGUAUAGGGAGUGUGCGAUGAUGAUCAUAUCAAUCUUGGAACUAUUUCCAACACACAUCGUCACUUCACCCUUUAACUAGUCUCUGUUUAUUCUGCAACUCCCGUUUCGAGUUACUAAUCUUAGCAACUGAACUAAUAUCAAAUACUGAGGGGUUGCUAUAAACACUAGUAACGUACACAUCAAUAACAUGUAUAUCAAAUAUACUUAUGUUCACUUUGCCAUCCUUCUUAUCCGCCAAUCACUUGGGGUAGUACCUCUUCCAGUGACCAGUCUCUUUGAAGUAGAAGCACUUAGUCUCAGGCUUAGGACCAGACUUGGGUUUCUUCACUUGAGCAGCAACUUGCUUGCCGUUCUUCUUGAAGUUCCCUUUCUUUCCCUUUGCCCUUUUCUUGAAACUAGUGAUCUUGUUAACCAUCAACACUUGAUGCUCUUUCUUGAUUUCUACCUUCGUUGAUUUCAGCAUCAUGAAGAGCUUGGGAAUCGUUUUCGUCAUCCCUUGCAUACUAUAGUUCAUCACGAAGUUCUAGUAACUUAGUGAUGGUGACUAGAGAAUUCUGUCAAUCACUAUCUUACCUGGAAGAUUAACUCCCACUUGAUUCAAGCGAUUGAAAUACCCAGACAAUCUGAGCACAUGCUCACUAGUUGAGCGAUUCUCCUCCAUCUUUUAGCUAUAGAACUUGUUGGAGACUUCAUAUCUCUCAACUCGGGUAUUUGCUUGAAAUAUUAACUUCAAUUCCUGGAACAUCUCAUAUGGUCCAUGACGUUCAAAACGUCUUUGAAGUCCCGAUUCUAAGCCGUUAAGCAUGGUGCACUAAACUAUCAAGUAGUCAUCAUCUUGAGCUAGCCAGACGUUCAUAACUUCUGCAUCUGCUCCUGCAAUAGGUCUGUCACCUAGCGGUGCAUUAAGGACAUAAUUCUUCUGUGCAGCACUGAGGAUAAACCUCAGAUCACGGAUCGAAUCCGCAUCAUUGCUACUAACAUUUUUCAACACAAUAUUCUCUAGGAACAUAUCAAAAUAAACAUAUGAAAGCAACAACGCGAGCUAUUGAUCUACAACAUAAUUUGCAAAAUACUACUAGGACUAAGUUCAUGAUAAAUUAAAGUUCAAUUAAUCAUAUUACUUAAGAACUCCCACUUAGAUAGACAUCCCUCUAAUCCUCUAAGUGAUCACGUGAUCCAAAUCAACUAAACCAUGUCCGAUCAUCACGUGAGAUGGAGUAGUUUCAAUGGUGAACAUCACUAUGUUGAUCAUAUCUACUAUAUGAUUCACGCUCGACCUUUCGGUCUCUGUGUUCCGAGGCCAUAUCUGUAUAUGCUAGGCUCGUCAAGUAUAACCUGAGUAUUCCGCGCGUGCAACUGUUUUGCACCCGUUGUAUUUGAACGUAGAGCCUAUCACACCCGAUCAUCACGUGGUGUCUCAGCACGACGAACUUUGGCAACGGUGCAUACUCAGGGAGAACACUUCUUGAUAAUUUAGUGAGAGAUCAUCUUAUAAUGCUACCAUCAAUAAAAGCAAGAUAAGAUGCAUAAAAAGAUAAACAUCACAUGCAAUCAAUAUAAGUGAUAUGAUAUGGCCAUCAUCAUCGUGUGCUUGUGAUCUCCAUCUCCGAAGCACCGUCAUGAUCACCAUCGUCACCGGCGCGACACCUUGAUCUCCAUCGUAGCAUCGUUGUCGUCUCGCCAAUCUUAUGCUUCCACGACUAUCACUACUGUUUAGUAAUAAAGUAAAGCAUUACAUCGCGAUUGCAUUGCAUACAAUAAAGCGACAACCAUAUGGCUCCUGCCAGUUGCCGAUAACUCGGUUACAAAACAUGAUCAUCUCAUACAAUAAAAUUCAGCAUCAUGCCUUGACCAUAUCACAUCACAACAUGCCCUGCAAAAACAAGUUAGACGUCCUCUACUUUGUUGUUGCAUGUUUUACGUGGCUGCUACGGGCUUAAGUAAGAACCAAUCUCACCUACGCAUCAAAACCACAACGAUAGUUUGUCAAAUAGACUCCGUUUUAACCUUCUCAAGGACCGGGCGUAGCCAUACUCGGUUCAACUAAAGUUGGAGAGACAGUCGCCCGCAAGCCAUCCAUGUGCAAAGCACGUCGAGGGAACCGGUCUCGCGUAAGCGUACGCGUAAGGUUGGUCCAGGUCGUCUCGUCCAACAAUACCGCCGAACCAAAGUAUGACAUGCUGGUAGGCAGUAUGACUUGUAUCGUCCACAACUCACUUGUGUUCUACUCGUGCAUAUAACAUCAACAUAAAUAACCUAGGCUCGGAUGCCACUGUUGGGUUUCGUAGUAAUUUCAAAAAAUUUCCUACGCACACGCAAGAUCAUGUGAAGCAUAGCAACGAGGGGAGAGUGUUGUCUACGUACCCAACGCAGACCAACUGCGGAAGCGAUGACACGACGUAGAGGAAGUAGUCGUACGUCUUCACGAUCCAACCGAUCAAGCACCGAAACUACGGCACCUCCGAGUUCGAGCACACGUUCAGCUCGAUGACGAUCCCCGGACUCCGAUCCAGCAAAGUGUCGGGGAAGAGUUCCGUCAGCACGACGGCGUGGUGACGAUCUUGAUGAACUACAGCAGCAGGGCUUCGCCUAAACUCCACUACAGUAUUAUCGAGGUAUAUGGUGGCAGGGGGCACCGCACACGACUAAGGAAUAGAUCACGUGGAUCAACUUGUGUGUAUAGAGGUGCCCCCUGCCUCCGUAUAUAAAGGAGGAGAGGAGGGGAGGCUGGCCGGCCAAGGAGGGGAGGCGCAGGAGAGUCCUACUCCCUCUAGGAGUAGGAUUCCCCCCAAUCCUAGUCCAACUAGGAUUCCUCGGAGGGGAAGGGAGAGAGGGGGGCCCGCAGCCACCUUGGGCUGCCCCUUUCUCCUUUCCACUAAGGCCCAUGAAGGCCCAUAUGGCUCCCGGGGGGUUCCGGUAACCCUCCCGGUACUCCGGUAAAAUCCCGAUUUCACCCGGAACACUUCCGAUGUCCAAACAUAGGCUUCCAAUAUAUCAAUCUUUACGUCUUGACCAUUUUGAGACUCCUCGUCAUGUCCGUGAUCACAUCCGGGACUCCGAACAACCUUCGGUACAUCAAAAUGCAUAAACUCAUAAUGUAACUGUCAUCGUAACCUUAAGCGUGCGGACCCUACGGGUUCGAGAACAAUGUAGACAUGACCGAGACACGUCUCCGGUCAAUAACCAAUAGCGGGACCUGGAUGCCCAUAUUGGCUCCUACAUAUUCUACGAAGAUCUUUAUCGGUCAGACCGCAUAACAACAUACGUUGUUCCCUUUGUCAUCGGUAUGUUACUUGCCCGAGAUUCGAUCGUCGGUAUCCAAUACCUAGUUCAAUCUCGUCACCGGCAAGUCUCUUUACUCGUUCUAUAAUGCAUCAUCCCGUAACCAACUCAUUGGUCACAUUGCUUGCAAGGCUUAUAAUGAUGUGCAUUACCGAGAGGGCCCAGAGAUACCUCUCCGACAAUCGGAGUGACAAAACCUAAUCUCGAAAUACGCCAACUCAACAUGUACCUUCGGAGACACCUGUAGUACUCCUUUAUAAUCACCCAGUUACGUUGUGACGUUUGGUAGUACCCAAAGUGUUCCUCCGGUAAACGGGAGUUGCAUAAUCUCAUAGUUACAGAAACAUGUAUAAGUCAUGAAGAAAGCAAUAGCAACAUACUAAACGAUCAAGUGCUAAGCUAACGGAAUGGGUGAAGUCAAUCACAUCAUUCUCCUAAUGAUGCGACCCCGUUAAUCAAAUGACAACUCUUUUGUCCAUGGCUAGGAAACAUAACCAUCUUUGAUAAACGAGCUAGUCAAGUAGAGGCAUACUAGUGACACUAUGUUUGUCUAUGUAUUCACACAUGUAUUAUGUUUCCGGUUAAUACAAUUCUAGCAUGAAUAAUAAACAUUUAUCAUGAAAUAAGGAAAUAAAUAAUAACUUUAUUGUUGCCUCUAGGGCAUAUUUCCUUCACCACGUGGCCCGGCCGGCCCCCGGGGCUCAAGAACCAGGUCCAAUGCCCCCAUUGGUCCCGGUUUUGGAUUGAACCGGGACUAAUGGGCUGGACCGGCCUGGACCAUCGCCCCCUUUUCUACUAGUGUUAGUGCAUGGUGGUUAGUGAAGUUAGUGGAGCAUGGUGUGAGUGCGUGGGUCAUGGUUGAGUGCCAGACUUUGUAUAAAUUGUCAUUUGAGUCAAUGAGAAAAUGUAAGGCCGAGAGGGCCAGUGCAAAGAUGUAGCAUUUGUGGUAGCCAAGGGAGAUUAACUGGGCAAAGCUAUGUGUUCUUCCUUGGUCUAUGCGUGUGUGUGUUCUGUGUGUGUUCUCUCUCUGCGUCCUUGUGUUCAUGGGAGUGUUUUUGAGAGAAGCCAGAAGAGAGAGUUGUGAGAGGCAGCUCGAGGUAGAAGAAGGAGCGGUGCUGCUCCGAGAGGAGGCGGCGCCAACAAUUAUUGACGAAAGGGAUAUUAUAUUGCGCAAGGUAUAAUCAGACGCGUCGGGGAUGGAGCGACUACACACAUAUGGGAUCACAACUGGAUUAUGAGGGAAAGCUAUAAGAGGCCAAUAAAUAAGUUAGUGCAGAUCCCCCCUCAGAAACAUUUUAUGUAUACACGUUAACAUUUCCCAGAUAUAUGAUUAAUAUUUUUAGAAAACUUCUAUUUUUUAUGUGUACUUUUUAUACAUUUUGUAAUAUCAGAAAUAGUUUUUAUAGAAGGUUUAACAUUUUUCAAAUACAUGAUUACCUUUUUGUAAACUUAUAUUGUUUGACGUUUACUUUUUUCCAUAGACAUAGUGAGGGGUUAUAUCUAAGGAAUAGGCCCAAGUACAUGUAGGCACAACCAAAGGCCCAUGUUAAUCAAGGAUGUUCCACAAGACAAAUGGGAAAACACACCGGGGCUAAUGGAGCUACAAGGCCAAGGCAUCGGAUACAAGGGGAGAGUCAACUGUGUACAGUCAGAUUACACAACCCUUAACAGACAAGACUCAUCAGUUGGUCCACUAUAGGAAUCAGGUCAUUUGCCGUCAGCCGAGAACAGAUGCGAAGGCUUUGCCGUGAGCAAGUUGACGACAAACACAAUCAGCAAAGACUAUAUCAGCAAAGAGCUAAUUUGACGUCAACUUUUCAUCGCGCUGAUGACAAAGACUUUGCCGUCAAUUAAACUAUGUGUUUGUCGUCUGUAGAAAAAACACAAAUGGCAAAGAAAUUAAACAAAUGGUCAUUUUAUAAUAAUUUUUCGAAAUGUAUAUAGUGUAUUUUAAAAUGUUAAAUAUGUAUCAAGAAUUAUUUCAUAAAUAUACAGAAGAUGUACAACGUGUAUGAAAAUUAUGUAGACAUCAGAACAUAUUAUAGAAAUGUUAAUCUUGUAUUUAAAAAUGUUAAAUACACAUAAAUAAAAAUGUUUUUGAUGUACAUAAAAAAAUUGUACAUCGUGUGUGAACAAAGUAUGCAUUGAAAAAAAAAUCUUGUUGGAAAGAAAAUCUCGUGCUAUAUACGAAAAUGUAAAAGGUGUAUGAAAAUAAUUAGAUAUAUGCUUAACGAAAAAAAGGAAAGAAGGCGCAAAAAAAUCCGAUCAACACCAAGAUAGGAACAAGAAAACCUGAAGAAGACCAUUGAAAAAAAAGAAAAGAAUACAAGAAAGAGGAAAAAAAACAAAAAAAUGAAGAAGCUGAUGCAGAACAGGGAACUUGGUGAAAACGAAUAAAAAUUGAUGAAAACCGAGAAGAAAAACAAGAAAACUGAAGCAAAAAAAUAAUAAAAAUAUGUAAAAAAAUGAUGAAACAUUGCAAAACACUGAAAUACUAUGAAAACCAAAGGAAGAAAAGACUCAAAAAGAAGAACAUACAGCGAGCGAAUGAACAACAACUGAGUGAACGAGCGACCAUGCGAGAACACGUUAAUUGUCCGGCCCAUACUUGUGGACUCCAGAGGCGAGCCAGAAUAGGCGAGAUAUAGCUAUGACGAUUUGAUACCCUUCACAGCUUCACGAAUGCUAUAUCUCGCUCACAGCGAAAGUAUAUUUUGUCUGGCCUGAAGGUGCAAGAAUAGCAUCAGGUCGCUGUAAGGUUUGUGAUCCUACAAUGAGAGCUCCGAUAAGAUUAAAGUUCAUUUUUCUGACAACCUUUGGUCGUUCGUUCGCGCUCAGGUCGUCCGCUCACUCGAUUCCACGUACUAGUUUGGUUAUGUUGUUUUUUUCAUUUUGUUCUUUUUUUGUUUCUUCACUGGCUUUCUUUGGUUUUUAUAUCGGUUUUCUUUGUUUCCUUCACGUUUUAUUCCUGUUUUCCUUUUUACUGGUUUAUUUAUUCCUUUUUUUCUUUGUUUCUUUCUUGGUUUUCUUUGUUUUUCUUUCUUUUGAUGUCAAUCUUUUUACAUACGCAUUCAACAAUUUCCGUAUACAUCAGAAACAUUUUAUGUAUACACAUUAACAUUUCCCAGAUAUAUGAUUAAUAUUUUUGGAAAACCUCUAUUUUUUAUGUGUACUUUUUGAUACAUUUUGUAUAUAUCAGAAAUAUUUUUUUAGAAGGUUUAACAUUUUUUUAAAUACAUGAUUACCUUUUUGUAAACUUAUAUUGUUUGACGUUUAUUUUUUUCCAUAGACAUAGUGAGGGGUUAUAUCUAAGGAAUAGGCCCAAGUACAUAUAUGGCACAACCAAAGACCCAUGUUAAUCAAGGAUGUGGUCCACAAAACAAAUGGGGAAACACACGGGGGCCAAUGGAGCUACAAGGCCAAAGCAUCGGAUAUAAGGGGAGAAUAAGUGUGUACAGUCGGAUUACACAACACUUGACAGACAAGACUCAUUAGUUGGUCCACUAUAGGAAUCGAGUAAUUUGCCGUCAGCCGAGAACAGACUCGAAGUCUUUGCCGUCAGCAAGUUGAUGACAAACACAGUGAGCAAAGACUAUAUCGGCAAAGAGCUAAUUUGACGUUAACUUUUCAUCCGCUGAUGACAAAGACUUUGCCGUCAAUUAAACUAUGUGUUUGUCGUCUGUAGAAAAAACACAAAUGGCAAAGAAAAGCAUCUUUGCCAUCAGCAACUGAUUCACAUGUGUCGUCAGCCAGACUCGUCUUGUCACUAGCCUCAAACAUCACAGAUGGCAAAGAUUUUUUUUUAUUUUUAAAAUUCCGCGUCGACCACCCUAUCGCUCGUGCAGCCACCGCCUGGCCGCGCUCGCCUCCCUGCUCACAUGCCCUGCCAGCUUGCGCCGUUGCCAUCCGGCAGCGCUCGCCCGACCCUGCUCAUCGCCCGGCCGAGCUCGCCCGCCCUGCUCGGUCGCGUCGUCGGCAGCUGCCCUGCUUGCACACGUACCUGCCCAGCCUUGCUCAUACCGCCGGCCACCCUGCUCGCUAGAGAAAGGAAGGCGAGAGAGGAGGCUCGGGGGAGAAAGAAAAAACAAAGGAGAGAGAGAGGAUGCUACCACUGCCACAUCACCAAUACGCAUGAUCGAUCUGCAAGAUGUGCUCUCUCUUUUGCCGCCUCUGAUGGCAAAGUAUGUCUUUAUCGUCUAUAAUAAGAUUACAAACAGCAAAGUGAGCUCUUUGCCGUCUGUAAAAAAACGGACGACAAACAAACUUUGUUGUCAGCUGCCGACGGCAAAAAGUGCUCUUUACCGCAGCCUCGAUGAGAAGCUGAAGGCAAAGUGCCCCACAGACGGCAAAUUAGUUGAUUCCUGGGUGGUUAUGAGCAAGACAGGAGCAAUAACCCUAUCUACACUCGGUCAUCUGGAAGACAGGAGUAGUCGAACCAUCUAUAGUCGGCUACAUCUGAGGUUACCGUGACCCUUACGAUGCAUUCAUUAUCGCCGUUACUCAAUGGAGUAGUUAAAUACGUCAGUUAGCAAUAAUAAUAGCCACGAACAGUCAAUCAUGCAUGUGACCAUCAAUAGCAUUUAUACCAACCCAUUACGGCACUUCCUCCUAGCACACUCUAUAUAAGCCAGGAGUAGGACAUGAGAGUGAGGGAUGAACUCUCUCACAGUAUAACCUACGCCAAGAGCAGGAACACCACAUGAAUAGAGAUUACCUCCACCAACGUACUCCCAUCCGUUUUAUGUACCGAUCAAUGUAUAUAAUGGCUUCUACAUUCACAUCCCGUAGUAUUGUCAGGAUUAUAUCCACGACAGAAACUAUAUUUUGUUAUACAUCAAGAACAUUUUAUAUAUAAAUAUUUACAAUUUUUUAAAUACAUGAUUAAUAUUUUUUCAAACAUAUAUUUUGUAUGUCUCCUUUUCAUAAUCUUUGAUCCCUGGAAGUUUCAGAUUUUUUCCGAUUUGUUCUCAUUUUUUUAUGAAUUUACUGUUCAUGAGGGUGUAGGGGCACCCAGGAGCUGUUAGGCAUAAUAUUUCUGCUGUUGUUGUCAUCAUCAAGGGGAAUGAGAAGGGUUGAAGUUUUCGUUUUCUUUGAGGGGGAAAUCAGAGUUGGGGGCUGGAAGUGAGUGAUUAGGCCCAACAUAAGCGCUGUGUGUGUGUGUCUCGUCACGGGCACCAAAUUCGAACUGGGCUAUUGUUUUCUGAGAACCCAACGUCACAAGCCCAACCAACAGUCUGCCGAUCUGCAUCUUCCUCUCCUUGUCCAUCCUCCUCGUUGGCCGGACCGCCUCGAGCCACGGCCGCUCCCUGGCGCAGCGUCCUCCCCUUCCUCUCCACCCCCAAAUUCUCUUGUAUCCUCUUCUGAUCUCCUUCCUUACUUCCUCUCGCUGAUGGUCUCCACAAGAAGGUCUCCGAGCUCCUCGGAGGGUUCCGGCUGUACGUCGACGCAGCCUCUCCGACCUCCCCAUGAACAUGAGCUAUCGACCCUGAAAGCCUGUCUCUUCCAUGAUUCGAUUCACAUGAAUUCACGAGCCGCAUGAAUCAUGAAGGUCAUGGAGCAGAAUUCAGUCGUGUAGCCUGACAGUGAUGUACAUUUGUGGCUUUUCUGGCUAAAUAGCUCUGUACCCUAUGUGGAUGCCACUUCAAAUAAUCGUCAAAAUAAUUCUCCUGCACGCGUUAUACAAAUGGCGAAGAAGAAGUUCGCGUGGAACAUUUCGUUUCUUAUUGAUGUCCGAGAGAAAAGCUCCUAGGAAGUUCAUCCGCUCGGUGGAUUAUAAGUUUAAGUUUGUUACAACAUCCAAUCAUCCAUAUAAUCUCUGUGUUUCUUCUGUUUUCUACCAGUCAUAUAUCAUAUGUGCAUCAGAGGAAAAAUGCUUUCAGCAGUCAUGUUGGAGCGCGCAUACCAAGUUCCCACAUUGCAAAUAUGAUCCUAGCCAUUAAUAUGUUUCAUUCCACAUUUUCUUGAUCUAAUUUCUAAAUGAUUGGACAACCUGUUAUAGUCUUAUAGAAUUAUGAGCCGCCAAAUCCACAUUUCUCUUGGUCUAAUUUCUAAAUGAUAAUGUGCAGCAUCUAUCUCCUGGUGAACCUUUUUUUCUUGCGACUGUAUCUCCUGAUGAACCUAGUUUUCUCUAGGUAGCACAAUAAUUGUACUGGUUUGAUGUAAAGGACAUAAAUACAAGGGAAUAAAUUGGAAGCUUAUUUCAAAUUAACUAGCUAGUGGUGUUUGUGAAGUUCAAGAAAAAGCUGGUCUUUUUCUCGACAAAUAAUUUAACAUGCAAAGAAUCAAUAAAUGUAUUUGCAAGAAAGCAAACAUAAUUAACGAUAAAACUGGUUUAUUGUCACUGUAGACAACGGUAGUAGUUGGAACUAGAUACAAACCAAUAAAAAACAAGAUCUCAAAUCUCCAACCAAUAAAGAGUUCAACCCAAAUUUUACAGUAACACCAUUAUAUUCAAAUAGUGAUUAUUCCAACACAUGGAUAAUUAAUUAAGGCACCAGGUUGCCCUUGUGACUAGGAAAGACAAACUUAUGAACUUGCAAGCAUGGCAAUCAGAUCGACAUCCACACAAUGCCAAUAUGAACAUUGUCUUGAUACAACUUUAUUUUUAUUUUAUUUCAGAAUUUAAACAACUAGUAUGGGCGGGUCACACACGACAUUGUGUGACACUUUAUUUGUCACCGCUGCAUCGACAUAUCCAUCGACUAAACAACGGUGAUCCAACUAUAUAUUACUAGAGACCUUUCCUUAUUAGUAGGAACCAACUCCGGUGCCAACACCGAAUGGCACACUAGUGGUGGUUCUAUACAACGGCACAUUGACACGGCACAUCGUUGGCAGGGUACGGAGCGCAAUGGAAGUCAUCACCUCAAGCUGAGCUAUCUGGUGUGGCUGCAAAAAGGUACCUUGUGCCAAUUGUUGUUGUUGAGGUUGUUGCCCGAGUUGUUGUUGUGACUGCUGUUGGGGUUGGGAAACACAUUGGCCCAACUGUUGGGGUUGCUGCUGAGGAGUUUGGAUGGAACCCUGAACCUGUUGUUGUUCUUGCAGGAUGAUGGAGUAGAUGAUAGCACGGAUUGCCUCAUAGCGGGAUUGCUGGGGGAUUUGCGGCAACUGCUGGCAACAUUGUUGUUGCAUCACAUGGCAACUGCUCUGCUGCAACAUUUGCGACCUAGCAAGACUUUGUGGCAUUGCCACAGGGCUGCAUUGCUGCUGGAGGAAUACCUUGCAUGGGUUUAGCUGCUGCAAGAUAGAUGGAUGAACAAAUGGUAUUUGUUGUUGCGGUAGAACUAGUUGUUGUUGUUGCUGCGAAAAUGGUGGUUGUUGCGGUAGACUUGGUUGUUGUUGUUGCAAAAAUGGUGGUUGUUGCUGUAGUACUAUUUGUUGUUGUUGCGAAAACGGUGAUUGUUGCUGUGAAAAUGGUGGUAGUUGUUGCUGUGAAAAUGAUGGUUGUUGCGGUAGAACUGGUUGUUGUUGCUGCGAAAAUGGUGGUUGUUGUUGUGAAAAUGGUGGUUGUUGUUGCUGCGAAAAUGGUGGUUGUUGUUGUGAAAANNNNNNNNNNNNNNNNNNNNNNNNNNNNNNNNNNNNNNNNNNNNNNNNNNNNNNNNNNNNNNNNNNNNNNNNNNNNNNNNNNNNNNNNNNNNNNNNNNNNNNNNNNNNNNNNNNNNNNNNNNNNNNNNNNNNNNNNNNNNNNNNNNNNNNNNNNNNNNNNNNNNNNNNNNNNNNNNNNNNNNNNNNNNNNNNNNNNNNNNNNNNUGGUUGUUGUUGCUGCGAUAAUGGUUGUUGUUGUUGCUGCGAAAAUGGUGGUUGUUGUUGUGAAAAUGGUGGUUGUUGUUGCUGCGAUAAUGGUUGUUGUUGUUGUUGCUGUGAACAUGGUUGCUGUUGUGAAAAUGGUUGUGGUUGUUGUUGGAUGGGUUGUUGUUGUUGGUGGUGCGAUAAUGUUUGUUGUGGUGGUAAUGGUUGUUGCUGCGAUGGUCUCUCCAAACCAGGGAUGUGGCUAUUCUCCAUUUGUGCAAUGGCACUUGUCGCCACAAUGGCGAGGAGAGCAAAGAUGAGGAAGGUCUUCAUGGUGGAUUGGUGUUAACCAGUGUUGCUUGGUUUUGAUGCUUGUGCUUGUGAUGAUCUUUAUACUUCAUGCCUAUUUAUAGUAGCCCGGGCACCACCUCUUUUCUUCUUUGCAUUAGCUUUAAUAAUUCUGUUUGGAUGCAUCUAAAAUGAUUUUUGGUACAAUGUGUUAGGUUGCACUAGCUACACGCGUACUUUUGGAUUGAUCAUCAAAGUUGCUUUUUAGUUGUGCAUAUGAUCACACACAAAGUACAGAAACCUUGAUGUUUGGUACAUAUGACUCACCUUAUUCACUUUACAUGUCACACACUUAUCUGGAUAGUAUCACUUUUGCAACCGAGUUUGGAACCUUGUAUAGGCUGUCAUCCAUAAACAAGAAAGGCAAAACUUGUGUAGGACUAAGUUUGCAAUCGGAGGGUUCUUCUAGACUCGAUUUCUUUUCGUAAAACUAACUUUGUAUUUUUCCUCUAAGAUGAUAAGAUGAACCGACGCCUAUAGAGCAUGACAUGACUCAUCGAAUUCCCUUUACAUGUAAAGGAUGGUAAUUGCUUACAAGCUACUCCUACUAGCAUAUAUCCGGUUCCAAGCCUAGACACGUCAUCAUCAGUUUCGUCUAUUUUUUUAGAUAAAUCAUCAGUUCUAUCUAUUUGUGAAGGGUUUUUUUGGGGGGAAAUGAUAGUUUUUUUAUGCUAGGGGGGUUUUUUNNNNNNNNNNNNNNNNNNNNNNNNNNNNNNNNNNNNNNNNNNNNNNNNNNNNNNNNNNNNNNNNNNNNNNNNNNNNNNNNNNNNNNNNNNNNNNNNNNNNNNNNNNNNNNNNNNNNNNNNNNNNNNNNNNNNNNNNNNNNNNNNNNNNNNNNNNNNNNNNNNNNNNNNNNNNNNNNNNNNNNNNNNNNNNNNNNNNNNNNNNNNNNNNNNNNNNNNNNNNNNNNNNNNNNNNNNNNNNNNNNNNNNNNNNNNNNNNNNNNNNNNNNNNNNNNNNNNNNNNNNNNNNNNNNNNNNNNNNNNNNNNNNNNNNNNNNNNNNNNNNNNNNNNNNNNNNNNNNNNNNNNNNNNNNNNNNNNNNNNNNNNNNNNNNNNNNNNNNNNNNNNNNNNNNNNNNNNNNNNNNNNNNNNNNNNNNNNNNNNNNNNNNNNNNNNNNNNNNNNNNNNNNNNNNNNNNNNNNNNNNNNNNNNNNNNNNNNNNNNNNNNNNNNNNNNNNNNNNNNNNNNNNNNNNNNNNNNNNNNNNNNNNNNNNNNNNNNNNNNNNNNNNNNNNNNNNNNNNNNNNNNNNNNNNNNNNNNNNNNNNNNNNNNNNNNNNNNNNNNNNNNNNNNNNNNNNNGCCGCCACCGCUCGACAAAAAAGGUCACUUUUGUAGCUCCCCCGUCGAUUGCGGGCCGUACGUCGACGGCAGCCACUCCGACCUCCCCGUCAACACAAGGUAUCGAUCUGUUUCGUCUGUCUCUUCCAGCGAUUCAAUGCACAUAAAUCCGAGAGGCAGACCCAUCUCCAUGCUAGCUGCACGGAUCAGGAGGGUCAGGCAUCAGAAUUCAGCUGGGAAGCCUGACACUAAUGUACAUUUGUGGCUUUAGUAGCUGAAUAUAACUAUGUGUUUUCUGAGAAUUUCACUUCAAAAGUUCCAAUAAUCAUCAAAUUUCCGCCUAUGCGCGCUAAGCAGGUGGACCAUAUAUUUCUCAUGUCGACGAACGAAAAAACAAAACUCCACAACUAGAAGUCUAUGAUAUUGACACGGAACCGUGCUGUAGGGUCGCAAGUAAAAAUAUGAAAAGCAUGCCUAACACUACUAGGAAAAGGGCUAUAGAUGGAAUUGACACUAAUGACGCACCAGACAUGUGGUGCGCCAUUAGUAUAUACUAAUGGCGCACCAUCUUCUGAUGCGCCAUUAGUGUUGAAAUUACUAAUGGCGCACCCUGCCCACGGUGCGCCAUUAGUACCAAUUUUUUUUUGAACUAGUGCGCCUGUCCAAACAUACUAAUGGCGCAUCCGCUGGUGGUGCGCCAUUACUAGUUGUAACUAGUAAUGGUGCACCAGCCAGAGGGUGCGCCACUAAAGUUAUUUUUUUUAUUAUUGUUUUUAUUCCUUUUUUUGCAAAAGUACUAAUGGCGCACUCACACGCGGUGCGCCAUUACUAGUUCAAACUAGUAAUGGCGCACCGUGGCAGAGUGCGCCAUUAGUAUGUUUUUUUUUCAAAACUACUAAUGGCGCACCACCUGGUGGUGCGCCAUUAGUAACCUGGAUUACUAAUGGCGCAUUUGUUGCUGGUGCGCCAUUAGUAAGUGGGCAGCAACAAGAUAUUUUGGACAGCCUCUCCUCCCACACUCACUUUCUCCCCAUUUCAUUCUCUCCACCGCCUCCUCAUGUCUCGGGUGCCUCCUCUUUUUCACCUCAUUUCCACCAUAGAUUCAUUCAAAUUAAGUGGUUAAGUUACCUUGUUUUGCUAGGUAAGUAAGGGGGGAAGCUAUAUUUAUGUUGUUCUCCCUACAACAGUGUGCACAUGCACUUUUUAUGGCCUAGCUAGAUCUAUGUAUGUUCGUGGUGUUGCAUAUGUUUGUGGUGUUGCAUAUGUGUUUGUGUUUGAAGGUGUACCGGUAUUUGAAAUGCGAUAGUUGCCAAUAUUUUGCCGGAAUGUUGAUUCAUUUCCGUUUCGGCGAGAAUUUUGGCAUUAAGCAUUCUUUUUGGUCCUAUUUUUAGGGAAAGUCAUGCCAAAUUUUUUCUUGGUUCUAAAAUAUCGUUUUGCUCUACCCCGCAGGCGACCAUGGUCCGCACGAUGACCGAAGGCAUCGUGAAUAGGUUUUUGAGGUCCACGAAGGCCGAGAUGCUUCAAAAGAACGAGACGGAGAUAAGAUGUCCGUGUCGAAGAUGCAAGCUGAAUAGCCUUAUUGCGGACCCGGAUUCCGGGCAGGUGCGGGACCACCUGCUCUUGCGUGGUUUCAUGGAUGGCUGUCGGUGGCAAGGUGAUGAAGAUGACUACGAAGUCGUCCAUGGGGGCCGGGCAAGAAAUGAGGAAGGGCAGCAAGACAACCACCGCGGCUCGGGGGGGCGAGAAGAAGAAGAAUCCCCAGGAGAUGAUCACGACGGUGAUGUUGUACACAGUCAUCAUGUAGAAGAUGCAGGACAUGAUGAUGAUGCCGGCGGAGCAGACGACGCUGGACCAUCGAUGGGCUGGGUGCAGGACCCUCAUAUUCAAGAGCUGCUUCUCAAGCAGACGGAUAACGCAAGAGCUGCCGCCCGAGAGAAAGCCAAGAUGGAUCAACUUGAGUUAGACGCGGUUACUCCAUUGUAUGAAGGAUGCAGGCCCGAGGAUACCCGCCUGAAAGUAACACUCAUGGCUCUGGAGAUGAAGGUAAAACACAAAAUGACCGACGCAUGCUUCGACGAGAACAUGUCAUUCUGGCACGAACGUCUUCCCAAAGGGAACAAGUGCCCGACCAGUUUGGAGGAGGCGAAGAAAAUCGUGUGUCCUCUGGAUUUACCGCACGUGAAAUACCAUGUGUGCAUGAACAAUUGCAUCAUUUAUCGGGACGAGCACGCGGAGUCUACCAUAUGUCCGGUGUGCGGUGUCACUCGAUACAAGAAGGGGAAGAAAGCUCCUCGAAAAGUGGUGUGGUACUUUCCGAUCACUCCUCGUCUGCAGCGGUAUUUCGCGGACCCUAAGGUAGCAAAGCUCCUGCGUUGGCACGCGGAUAGGGAGGAGAAGAAGCGAGAAGAUGACGCAAAUGAUACGGAGAUAGAUAAAAAAGACAAGAUGCUGAGUCACCCUAAGGAUGCGAGCCAGUGGCAAGCGUUGAACUUCGAAUAACCAGAAUUUGGGAACGAUCCAAGGAACAUCGUGCUGGGCGCGAGCACCGGUGGAGUCAAUCCGUUUGGCAGCCAGAGAAGCACACAUAGCACCUGGCCUGUGUUUGUGUGGAUGUACAACCUUCCCCCCUGGUUGUGCAUGAAGAGGAAGUACAUUCACAUGAGUAUGCUAAUUGAAGGGCCGAAACAACCAGGGAACGACAUCAAUCUGUAUCUGGGGCUGCUGAAAGAGGAGCUUGACACGCUGUGGAAAACGCCCACCAAUACGUGGGACGCCGCAGAGAAAGAAUAUUUCCCUAUGAGAGCCGCACUGCUCACGACGGUGCACGACUAUCUCGGUUACGGAUAUCUUGCGGGGCAGGUAGUCCACGGAUUUUCUGGAUGCGUAAGGUGCAUGGAUGACACAACGUAUCGCCAGCUAGAUAGAGACGAUGACCCGUGGAGGAAACGCAAGGAUCUGUUCGAUGGUGAAACCAAACCCCGAAAACGCCCGUGUACGAGGAGCGGCGAGGAAAUAGACAAGCUGUUGAAAAAUCGGAAAGACUGCCCACUGCCGGGAAAGAAGCAAAAGGUGCCAGAGCCGGGAAAGAAGCGAAAGGCGCCAGAGCCGCUGCUGAAGCUAUGGAAAACGAGGUCUGUUUUCUGGGACUUGCCGUACUGGAAGAUCCACCGUGUGCCUCACAGCCUUGAUGUCAUGCAUAUCACGAAGAACGUGUGCGAGAGUCUGCUUGGUACCCUGCUCAACAUGCCAGAGAGGACCAAAGAUGGGCCGAAAGCGAGGGCAGACUUGAAAUCAAUGGGCAUCAGGCAGGAGCUUCACGCUAUAUAUGAUGAUGAUGAUGAUGAUGAUGAUGAUGAUGAGGCGAAGCAGGACACAGAAAGUCGUCGCAAAGGCAAAAAGGCCAAGAAGACCGGAAAUGACUACCCUCCCGCGUGCUUCACUCUAAGUCAGGAGGAGAUCGAGCAGUUUUUCACCUGCCUCCUAGGAGUAAAACUUCCUUACGGUUACGCGGGGAAGAUAAGCAGAUACCUAGACCCAGCGAAGCAGAAGUUCAGCGGGAUGAAGUCUCACGAUUGUCACAUGCUGAUGACGCAGAUACUUCCAGUUGCAAUCCGUGGGAUCAUGGACGCGCACGUCCGUGAAACGCUAUUUGGCCUAUGCAACUUCUUCGACGUCAUCUCUCAGAAGUCGAUUGGCAUGAGGCAACUCAGAAGGCUACAGGAAGAGAUCGUGGUGAUACUAUGCGAGCUUGAGAUGUACUUCCCGCCCGCAUUCUUCGAUGUUAUGGUGCAUCUGCUGGUCCAUAUAGUGGGGGAUAUCAUCCAACUCGGGCCGAUGUUCCUGCACAGCAUGAUGCCGUUCGAAAGGAUGAAUGGUGUCAUCAAAGGAUACGUUCGCAACAUGUCACGUCCAGAAGGAAGCAUAGCCAGGGGCUUUCUGACCGAAGAGUGCAUCUACUAGUGCGCGAAUUAUCUAGGCAUCGAGAACCCCGUUGGUCUGCCCGUCAACAGGCACCUCGGCAGGCUCGCUGGAUGGGGUCACCGUGAGGGUCGCCGCGAAAUGCAUGUCGACUUCGAGGGUCGACUCGCCGACUUUGAAAGAGCAAACCUAGUCGCGCUACAACACAUAGACGUGGUCGAUGCUUGGGUGGUAGAGCACAAAACCUUUAUUAAGAAGACGUACAAUGACCGAGGCCAACAGAGGACGGACGGAGAUAUACUCAAAGAGCACAACUCAUGUUUCACGCGUUGGUUCAAGCAGAAGCUUCUGUCGUACCCUUUACAUGAGGAUUCUUCCGCGGAAGAACAACUCAUAUUCGCCUUGUCACAGGGCGCCGAGCACAACCUGAUGACCUAUGAGGCGUACGAUAUCAACGGCUACACAUUCUACACCGAGGCCAAGGACAUGAAGAGCGAUGGUUAUCAGAACUCCGGGGUAACGAUGGAAUCCUACACCGGUAACGACAAGGACAGAUACUACGGAAGGAUCGAGGAGAUCUGGGAGCUGAGCUAUGCUGGAGAGAAGGUCCCGAUGUUCCGUGUCAGAUGGGCCAAGAACGUCAUAAAAGAAGACCGGUAUUUCACCACCAUGGUUAUACCCGGAGCCAAAUCCAAGACCGCGAGCGCAAACGUCACCGCGAAAAAUGAGCCAUGGGUACUGGCUUCCCAAGUGGACCAAUGCUUCUUCAUUACCGACCCGCCAAAGCCCAGUCGUGUUGUCGUGAGGAGAGGCAAAAGGAAGAUCAUCGGAAUGGAUGGAGUAGCCAAUGAGCAAGACUUCGACAAGUACGGCGACCCGAGGAUCGAACAUGACGACGAUGAUGAAGUAGCAGCAUACACCACAAGAAGAAGCAGGACCACCCUACCUAAAGGACGUCCGUUCCACAGAAGAACUCCAUUUGCGAAAAAGAAGGGCAAGAAGAUUGUGAACAGAUAGCUAGCUAAGAUCGAUUGUAUUUAAAUCGUAGCCUUCAUUUCUCGAUUGUAUUUCAUGGGUACUUUUUGAACUAUCAUGAAUAUUUUUAAAUUUAAUGGACACUCGAUCUCGAUCCCCCUCCAUCUCGAUCGCUAUCCCACCUCGCCAGAUCCGGUCCCCCUCGCCGCCAAGCACCCCCCCAGCCCACCGGCCGCCGCCGCCGACCCCCCGCACCCUCGAUUCCCCUACCCAACCGCCGCCGCCGACCCACCGCACCCCGCGCACCCUCCCCUGCUCCACCAGCAUUACUGUUUGAUGAUAUUUUUAAAAAAAUUAUUAUUGUCUUAUAAAAAAAUAUUACUGUUAUGAUUUAAACAAGUUUGAACAUAUUUAAACACAAAUAAGUAUCAAACAGGUUUUUAAAUGCUAAAAAAAAUUUGUGGAGCCUGGGAGUCGAACCCAGGACCUCCUGGUGUGAGAACUGGCUGCUGACCAGUCGAGCUAGUAGAGGGGACUUGAUGUGGAUCAAUUCUGGUGGUACAUAACCUGUUGGCUCGAGUUGAAAUAAAAAAAAUACUAAUGGCGCACCACGGUGAGGUGCGCCAUUAGUAUGGAUGUACUUAUGGCGCACCGAGGGGUGGUGCGCCAUUAGUAUUGUGCCCGAUCCCUUCCCUCUCCCCCUUCGCCCGAUCCCCCCUUCCCUCUCCCCCUUGCCAGUUCCCUCUCCCUCGAUCCACCGCCGCCGCCGCCGCUGCCCUGACCCACUGCGCCGCAGCCGCCCACGCGCCCCCGCCGCCUCCCUCUCCCCUUCCUCCCCCUCGAGCCCGCGCCGUCCGCCCAAACCUAACCCGACGCCGUCCGCCGCGCCCGCUCCACCGCCGCCGCCCUGCCUCUCCGCCCUCUCCCUCCCUCNNNNNNNNNNNNNNNNNNNNNNNNNNNNNNNNNNNNNNNNNNNNNNNNNNNNNNNNNNNNNNNNNNNNNNNNNNNNNNNNNNNNNNNNNNNNNNNNNNNNNNNNNNNNNNNNNNNNNNNNNNNNNNNNNNNNNNNNNNNNNNNNNNNNNNCGUCGCCCCGCCGCCCCGACACCACCGUCCGUCGCCCCGCCGCCCCGCCGCCCCUCUCGCAGCAAGGUAUGCGGCUGGUUCGUCCCCUGUCAUGGUUCUCUCUUCGUUUAUUUUCCUGAAAUCUCUGCUGUUCAUUGGCCGAUGAUGUCUUACAAGUAAAAUAUCUGGCAAACUUGUGCUGUAAACUGUACAUUGCUGAGGCUGUGGGCAACCUGUUCUUCUCUUUGCCAUACUAGUGCUUUUGUUCAUUGGCCGAUGAUGUCUCUGUUGGUUUACGUCCCCGGCAAAUUAGGUACCCGUGAACCAUUUAUAGGCCCAACUUUCUUACUCUCAAUGACCACAAUGUGCUUAUUUUGUUAGGAUUGUGCAUUUGCGCGAUUUGUGCAGUGCUUAUUUGUUGGCACCUCACCAGCUUUCAAAUUCAGCAUUUGUAACACAGUUCAAUUUGAUCUAAGGGCCUAUCUUGUCUCAUUUCCAACAUGUAAUAAACUUCCCCCGAGGCCAUAGAUGAGAAUACUUCUUUCAGUACAUUUUGCUGAUUUCUCACUGUUGAAUACUUCAUUUCUGUUUGCCUUUGGCCAAAGAUGCAUUCAGUUCUUUCUGCCCUUAGCGGUUUGAUUCAAGUUUGUCAGGUUCUGUUAACUAAAAAGGUUCAGAUUCAGAAACAUUGUUGGACUACUAGGAAGUUGGACUACUAGGAACAUGUUUAGAUUCAGGUUCUGUUAACUAAAAAAGUUCAGGUUCUGUUAACUAAAAAAGUUCAGAUUCAGAAACCUGUAAUUUCUACUUUUAUGCCUCUGUUACUCCAGUCAAAAUUUUAUGUUUGAUGCCCAUGGUAGUUGAGCUCUCACCUCACCUCACGCAACAUGCAUGAUGCCACAAUGUCUAGUAUGUACUGCCAAGCAACUGGCAAAUAAUUAUAACUUAGAAUAAAUAAAUCUGAUGUAAGAUAAGCAUGGCAUGAGCUUUAAUUAAAUAGCAUAAUACACGUUGGUAGUCCAUCUCUCUCAAAAAAAAUACAUGUUGGUAGCAGAAAAAAAUACAUGUUGGUAGCAGAAAUUUUUUUGAGCCCUUAUUAGCUACUCACACUAUUUGCCCCGCAGUUUCUCUGUCAUGGCUACCAAGUGAUUGACGGUGGGCUAGAAAAAUAAAACCACCAAACUAUCAGUAAAAGAUGUGAACCAACAUCUUUCAUUGUUAUGCAUAUCAAACACCAAGGGUUAUUUUCACUUAAAGUUUUAGAAUGGGUGCAUUACAAUUCAGUCUGAUAUCUAAUAAGACACUCUGGGCUGAUAUAAUUAUGGAACAGAACCAACCAUGAUAAAUAAAAGGUGAUGUUGUCUAUGCAUUACCAAAAAUGUAUCUUUGUGAACAAAUAAAUUGGUACCAACAGCAAUGCCAUCUUACUGUAGAAUUAGAAUACAUGGACAUGAUCAGCUCAGCUCCCAAACUGCCAUUCAUCACAUCAAUUUCCCCUUAUGUAACUCCAGUCAAAAUUUUAUGUUGGUCUACCUAGUAGAUGCCCAUGGUUUGAUUUUAUGUUUGUUCCUAUCAAUACAAAUGCUGAGCUAUGUUCCAUUUUUACUGUUCUUUGUGAUAGUUUUUGCAACUUUACUUCCCAUCUUAAGGCAAGCCCCAUUUUUACUGUUCUUUGUUAGCAGAGCUGCUUGUUUCUAAGAACUUUGAUACUAUUUGGAUCAAAGUUAAAUGAGCACAUAGAUGACAAAAAAAAGUUCAGAUUGUAAAAUGUUCAUUUUGCUGCUAGUGCCCAUUUUGAGUAAUUGCUUAGAGGGAUGAUCCUGUGUGAGCUGGUGGAGUGAUUUGUUUUCUACAUAAAGCUCUUUAGUCAGGCUGGUUUUCGUGAAAUACACAUGAAGCUUCACCAGCUCCUGUGGGUGUGGGAUCCAUGUGACAUGUGACAUUGCAUCCAUGUCCACCUGGGAUAAUGAUUUUGCAUGUACCCCGAGAGGCCCUUAAGUUUGCCGGAAUGUCGAUUAACUUCCGUUCCGGCAAAUUCGGGUACUCCAUAUGUCCUAUUUUCAGCAAAGGUCAUGCUGAAAUUUUCCGUGAAUUUUAGCAUGACUUUGCAAAAAAUAGGACAUAUGGGGUACUUGUGACUAAUGCAUGGGCCGGGGUAUCAUAGUAGUUAAUUAAGUAGGAUCAAGUGCCCCGGCGUACUUGUGACUGAUGCAUGGCUUUUAGGGUGCCUCGGUGUUGAUAAAAACCGAAAUGAUGAAAGCUUAGGCUUUUAGGGUGCCUCGGCGUCGAAAAACCCUCAAUGAUAAAAGCUUAGGUCUUAGGAUGCCUCGGUGUCGACAAACCCUAAAUGAUGAGACCAUGUCUUGUUCCUUGACAAUAACCAACUUUUUGACCAAACUUUGUUUCUAUUUAGAGAGAAACAUGGCCCACAACGAUGAGGCCGGGGGUUCGGGCGGCAAGGCAUUCUGGGAGCUGUCCCAGGAGAUGGAGGAACAACCUCACUUGUAUGAGGCCGCCGCCUUCCCCACCGAUCCUGAGACCACUGAUGGUGCCGCCGAGGAUGACCACACUGAUGCCACCACUGAUGGUGCCGCCGAGGAUGCCACCACUGAUGAUGGCAGCGCCCGCACAGAUGGCAGCCAACCGAAGAGGCAACGGAAGGACCGACGCCCGAUCGUGCUCCUCACCCUCAAGGAGGAAGUUACUGAAGUGGACUCCAACGGGUAUCCAACGGCGCCCGAACGAAUAGUCAAGGGGUACUCGCUUCAGCUCGGGUGCAUUGUCCGGAGCACCGUCUCGAUCAACACCGAGAACCUGAGGCAUCCUGACCGAGGGAAUUUGUGCCACCUCCUCUUCACGAAGCUGCACGAAUGAUACAAGUUCCCCGCUGAAUUUGCAAACAGAAGCCUCAAAGGGAAUAAAGUGAACAAUGCUGCCCUCACGAAGAUGAGCAAGGCCCUGUCUACUUGGAAAAGCAAUGUGAAGAAAAUGAUCGAUAAAGGUGAGAGUUAUCAGAAGAUCAAGGAGAAAAAUCCUUCGAUCACCAAAGAUGACUACAAUGACUUCAAGAUCAAUUGCUCGAGCACCGCAAGCUCCCAAUCAAGUGAGUGGGGGAAACAAAUGCGGGAGCUGAACAUAGGGGAACACACACUCGGUCCCGACGGUUACAGAGUGGCGGAGCCUAUAUGGGACAAGGAGGAGGCGGACCGUGCCGAGCAAGGCCUACCGCCCCUCUUCGAGAAAUACAGCGGUAACAAGCAGACCAGGAACUUUGUCAGGGCCCGGUACAAGAAGGACCCGAAAACAAAGGAGCUUACCACGGAUCCGAAGACCAGGCAGCUUGAGCUUGUUCUGGUAAGGAAUACACCCCCGCGUAAUUAGCUCCAUAUGGUUGCAUUCUAAUUAAUGAAGCCAAAUUUCUAAAUGGUUCACAUUCCUUCCGCAGGCGACUGAAAGCAGUAGCGCGGGGUCGACUAAGAGCAACCCUUGGGACACCACUCUAAAUAGGGCGAUGAAUGUAAUGAAGAAGAAGGAUAAGCUCAGUAAGCCGACGUCAGCUGGUCGUGUGGCCGGCAAAGGCUUGUCGACAAAAUGGGGGUCAUACUAUACCGCUGGUGUGCGGAAGGAGAAAAAGACCAGCUCGGAAAGCCAGGCGCGAGAGGAUCAAGAACUCAAGGAACAGGUGACGCGGAUUCCGGAGAUUGUCCAAGAGCAAGUGGAACAAUGACUCGGAGCGACGAUCACCGCCAUUGUGCCUACCUUGAUCUCGGGGUUGAGUGCGUGGAUUGCGGGCGGCCAACAGGGGCCGCCCCCGAUUCCUAGCUUCACGGCCAGCAACUCGCAUAAUGCGAUGGCGGGGCCAUUGGUGCCUCCGGCGGAGGCGGCAUUGGUGUCUCCGACGCCGGCACGGGAGCUUAAUGCACCCGGGUGUACGCCGGCCGGCACCUCUGCAGCAAGCGGCCCCUCCGUCAACUGCACGCCCGCCGUUGGCGGUGCGUCGACAUUAGCCGAGCUCGACGCCAUCAACACGGUAACUAAUUAAGCCUCUCUCGGCCGAGGACUUCAUCUCCUUGCCUUUGACUAGGCAUCCCUGACGCCCUACAUGUUUUCGCAGGGCGCCGCCGACGUUCCGUGCACUCUCCUCCACUUCGUGAACAACGAGUUGGUCGAUGUCGCCAAGGGCAAAAUCGUUCAACCGGCAACCCCUUGUUCCACGGUACCCAGAUGCCACCCAACUUGUUUAGGGUUCAACUGGUUCGGGUGUUGCCAGGCUGCGACGACUUGUUACCUCUGAUUCGACCCGUUGGGGCCGACGAUGAAGACGUGAUGACCCUCAGCGCCUGCCUGAGCUGGCCCCUAGUUUGGCCGAAGAGCCAGAUUCGUUUGGGGGCGGGGGACACCACCCCAAAGACAACACCGCCAGUCGUGCUGGUGCCAAGUCGGCCCCAUGGCAAGACCGCCGUAACGGUGCCGGACAUCCCUAUGCCACUGGAUCCAAACAUGCAUAUGGCACAGGAUCAGAAUGACGACGACAACGACGAUGAUACAUUUGGCAACGUCGAUCAGUACUUUGCCGAUCAUGGGUACGAUGGCGACUUCAUGGGGCCUCCUUCUCAAGAACCAAACCCAACAAAAGACGUGUGCGAUCUAGCUGGUACCGCAGAGAAGCCAAGUUGCAACAGGCGCCGUCUGGCGUUCAGCUCUCAGGAGACGCCUCCAGCUGCCGACUUCACCGAUCCUCAGAUAGGCGAGGUGCGAAAUAUUAUCAGCCCCAACACACUCAAGAAGGCGGUCUGUGAGCAGAACUCGGUCCCAUUACAGGAGAAGAAGAAGGCACGCAAAAGAAAGACUAAGAAGGGUGCGAGCCAGCCGGCACCGAGUACGAUCCGUGCUCAGGACGGGCCACCUUCACCGCAGGAUAUCUCGAGGAGGGUGCAUGUGGCGGGUAGGGCGAUGCUACCGACAAAUAUGCUCAAUGCUGCAACCGGUGCUAUGCGGAGUCUGCAUGACAGUGUUCUUGCUUUGGAGAAGCGGCGUCUCAGAGAGAAGGAUGUGGCAUACCCGGUUUUCGCGGCCAAGGUGCCAAAGGGCAAGGGCUUUGUGGAUAACUCCAUCGGGCGUACGAUCGUCCUGCGUUUUGAUGACAUCCACGCUAUGUUGAACCUUCAUCCGCUGCACUACACCUUCGUUCGGCUAUUUUCGCUGAGUAUGGAGAUGCGGAUCAUUCGCGACAAGACCCCGGACAUCGUGAUAGUCGACCCCUUCUACAUGCGUGCCAAGAUCUUGGGCAGCGCUGGGGACCGGCAAGUCGCGAGUUCUUACCUCGAAGGCAUCAUUCUGGCAAACCAAGAUAAGGAUAACUUCCUCGUGCCUUACUUUCCCGAGUAAGUCCUCCCCUCAACCGGCCCGUAACAUAUGAAUUCUUACAUUUCGAUCGUUUUUCUUUUAACAUUCCGUGUUUUUUGCAGUGACACACGUUGCACGCUCAUCCUCCUAAGCCCCAAAUAUUCCAUGGCCACAUAUUUCGACCCGGACUGUUAGUCGAACGUAGACUACACAAAUGUCAAGAAGGUUCUUGAUGAUGUUCUCCCCGGCUAUGCCAAAUCUGGAGGCACCUUCACCAGGCCUAAUCGUAAGUACGGCAAGCAUGUUUUCUCCCACAAUACGAUGUUCUACUGCGUCAAGCAGCCGCCUGGUGGUCAGAAGGGUGCCUACUACGCCAUCCAUCACAUGCGGGCGAUCGUACGGGACCAUCAUCAACUUCUGCUACCGAGUAAACUCAAAGAUUGGGCAAAGAGCGUGUCGGCAAUCGAGGACGCGGACCUCCGACAAGAAUUCUUUCGCAUCCAGUCGGAGUUUGCGGAAAUCAUCCAUCAAGAUGUCCUUCGUACCUCGGGGCAGUUCUACCUCAACAAUCAACCGUCCAAUAGUGACAUCGACAUAAUGCUACAAAUGCAGGCUGACAACGACCGUUAUUUCAUGACUCCCACGAUAGACGGCGGCUUCAUCCACGCUCCGGUCCCUUGAGUCGAGUCGAAAGCAGUGAUGCUGUGUCUAGUUCUGAAACAUCGAUUGGCUCAUGUUGUAAUUAAACUUUAAUGAACUUGUAGUAUGUCUCUUUGGUUUCGAGAGUCGUUCAACUUAGAUGUAAUCGAUGCUAUUAAUGUCUUGCUUUUCUCUUCCGAUUGUUCUGUUGCAUACUUAUAUAUUGCUUAUGUAUUGUCUGUGAAUUGGUACUAACGUUUCGUUUGGCUAGUGCAUAGCGAUGCCGACGUAUGUCGUGUACAAGGGUAAGGUUCCCGUAGUCUACGAUGACUGGGAGGAGUGUCGGAGACAGGUUCACCGAUUCAGCGGUAACAGUUACAAAGGGUACACCACUAGGGCCGAGGCCGAAUCUAGAUACGCCCGCUAUCUAGCGGGAGAGGGGAGGGAGCGUUGGAGGAACCGGAUGAAGACGAGUUUCAUCGUGAUGAUGCUCAUCGUGAUGACCGCAGCUCUCUUCUAUGUGAUGGUAGUUUAGAUGAUCGAUAUCGACUUGUAAUGUGAAGACAAACUCGCUACUCGCGGUCUCGAGACUUGUAAUAUAAUGUUCUAUCUUUGUUCGGUCUUUUUAAUUCGGAGACUAAUAUGAUGAAUUGUAUUCGGAGACUAAUAUGAUGAAUUGUAUUCAAAGACUAAUCUUCUAUUGUAUUCGAUGAAUCUGUUGUUGAUGUGUGCUGUCUAUAUUUUGUCAAAUUAUACAUUUUGUAACCUGUGCAAAAAACAGAAAAUAAAAAAUAAAAAAAACCUAAUAUUCAUACUAAUGACGCAUCACAUGAUAGUGCGCCAUUAGUAUGACAGUGCAUACUAAUGGCGCAUCACUGGGCAGUGCGCCAUUAGUAUGCCGCGGUUACUAAUGGCGCAUCCAGCGGUGGUGCGCCAUUAGUAUGCCAAAGCACCUGGGUAUACAUGGCCCCUGGGAGGCAUACUAAUGGCGCACCCUUGCCUAUACUAAUGGCGCACGCGCGGUGCGCCAUUAGUAUACCAGAUACUAAUGGCGCACCAGGUGGUGCGCCAUUAGUAAAAAUUACUAAUGGCGUGCUAUUAAUGGCGCACCACAGAUGCGCCAUUAAUGGCCAUUUUAGGUGCGCCAUUAGUAGGGGUUUUUCUAGUAGUGUAAUAAGCGAGAUGACGCAGUUCCUGACCGCCCCGCUACCACUACUGGUUCCAGCGUGGCGUUUGAAUUAUGCCGCGCUAGAUGCCUUUUGUCCAGCGAGGAACAAGUGGGGUCAAGCGUGCUUUGGCAAUUCCCGCCGUCAGAAGACUUCCUUGUAGUCCGGUGUAGAGGUGAGGUUGUAGGGAGAUGCAUCGACUAGGAAGGAGUGGCCACAUGAACGAGCAUAUGUAUGAUGUGAUUAAGUCUCUCGAUCGGGUAUCUGGUGCCUUACGUACGGUGUCUUAUUUUUGUCAAGCUAUGACAUCUUUCAGUUUGAGUGUCUGAUAUUAGGGUUGCAUACGUUUUGUUAUUCAGUUGCCUGUUGUCAACUCUAUGGUUAUAUCACCUCGAUGUGUGAGUCAAUGUGUUUGAACCAAUGUAGAGUUUCAUGUGAAUGUUACAAGUGUGAUUGAUAUCUUCAUGUUAUAACCGCAGUUGCCUUGGUAAGAAAUUGAAAGAGCAAACCGUUAUCGUGUUAGGAAAAAAGUCAUCGCUCAAUAUAAGUUGCUUCUCUAGAACAACCACACCUUUCCCUCAAAAAAAAGAACAACCACACCUUGUGAAAGAAGAUGGCAAACACCCAAUUAUGUCUGGUUAGAUAUGGGCAUGGCUAUGGGUAGCUUAUAGCGACACGGAAGCUAGCAUCGCCUGAAGAAACACCCGGAUGGGCCGGCCUAGAGACAAAUUUCUUCAUUUCUACCCUUAGUUUUGUUUUUCUGCCCUUUUUUCUUUAUAUUUUAUAUUUUUCCCGACAUGUUCACUACUUGAUGCUCAACUGGGAUCUCAUCUGAUGCGGAGCAUCCUAUGGACAUCACCAUGUCAAGAGUCCGUUCGGCAAGUGACACGUGUGACAUCUACUUCUCAUACAUAAAGGUGAAUCUUCUCCUUUACACGUGUUUACUUGACCCCUUCGAGGAUGGUAUACUACUUGACACUUCUCCCGUGUGCAUGCAUAGGUAUUGUCGGAGCUUCAUGGAUGUCGAGGAGGAGUGCAAGCGCCAAGGAAUGACUACACCGUCCGCGAGGGAAGCAUGGAAGAGAAGGAGGAAGAGAACCUGGCUACUCCAGAACGAGCGGUACUACUGCCCACUCCAAGCGGUACUACCGCCGAGGCCACCCAAGCGGCACUACCGCCCAGCAUCCGCCCUUCUACUGCUCAACCCGACAAACUCCAGUGAUCGAGCGGUGUAAGUCCGGUACUACUGCCCCUCCAAGCGGUACUACCGCUCAAGCGGUACUACCACCCAUGAGUCCGGUACUACCGCCCUGCCUCUGCCCAGCCGUGGGCCUUUGGCCUUGUAUCCCUCUCCCACUUACCCCUUCGUGGCUUAGACUAUAAAUAGGCCACCUCCACCUCCUUUCUAGGGUUAGCACAGAUUUAGCUCAUUUUGAGAUAGAGCUUUGCUCAUCCAUACGGAUCUACUCCUCGUGAGAGACCGCGACCUCUUCGGAGAAGAUCCAUCUUGGAUUCAAGACCCCCUCGUGGGAAGAUCCGUCUAGGAUACCAACAAGACCUCCUCUUGGAGAUGAACCUUACCUUGUAUCUUUCCCUUUGUUGUUCAUGUACCCUUGUGGAUCUUGUGUGUUUGAUUGUCUAGUGGAUGUGUGAUUGGACUUGUACUUGAGUGUUUCCCCUUGUGAUUUCUCUCCGUUCUUCCACGUGUUCUUCAUAGGGAUCCGCUCCAAACGUGAAAGAUCGGCCUCUAGGGUUCUAGCCUACAUCAUCUUGGAUCAGAGCAAGGUUGAUCACGGAUUUGGAGCCCCUACCCCUCUUUUUCUAGCCUUCUUUUGCUUGCUUUCGUCCUAAAAUCCCCACAAAAAAUAGCCCCAAUUUUUUUGUGAUUUGUUCGUUUGAUGAUUUUUUGUUGAUUUUGAUCCAUGGAUUUGCUUGGUUUUGAGUGGAUCUAGCAUCUCUCCAAGUUUCCCCACCUUCCAUCCACGAAAUCCAUCCAAUUUUGCCCCUGAAAUCAUCCUUUUCCGCCCCAAAUUCGCCCCGAUUUCGAUCUGUGAAUUUUCCCGACACGAGCGGUACUACCGCCCUCGAAGCGGUACUACCGCCCUCGAAGCGGUACUACCGCUGAGCACCACAAGCGGUACUACCACCCUCCCAAGCUAUGACGCCCGGAUAAUUAAGCUACAGUAAUCCCCUUCUAAUGGUGCCAUGUCAUCACAUUACUGUUGCUAAUCCUCGCUUGAUCCAAAUCUUAGUUCAAACUCAAAUUCAAAUUAAAGACCAAAAUUCAAAUUUCUCAAGCAUGCAAAAUAAAAUGUUCAAAGUGUGGCAAAUAAUCGCUGGAUAUUUGUCAUGUUGCAAACAACCUCUUUUGAAUUCUCAAAAUGCCCCUGGGAAUUAAUUUUUGGUCCAGUAGUAAAUUAAAUGGCAUUUGCAAAAUAAAGAAUUGUUUAUUUAACUCCAAUUGCCUCCAAACUUUAUGUGCCACUCCAAAAUAUUUGUGGCUCUGUCUAAGAUCGCCAAGGAAUUAAAAGGGCACUUCCCAUAUUUUCCCUAAGUAAAUAGUGUGCCCAAAAUAUUCUCUUAACCAUCUCUAUUUUUUUAAAUAAAAAAAGGCGAAGAAGAACUCCCCCGGGCCUCGGGCCACUCCCACUUACCAGCCCACCUAAGCCGGCCCACUCCCCCGCUCCCCUAGCCUAUAGGCCACGGCCGACCGAACCCUAACCCCGCAUGAUCCCCCCACUCCCCACUCCUCUCCCCUCUCGAUCCGAUCUGGAUCGGACCGAAACCGGCGCAAUUGGUCGAUCCAUGUAUAAAGUAAAAAUAACUAGGCCCAAUUGGUCGAUCCAUGACAGUUUUCGUGACGGUACUUCCACGUCUGUCAUGAGGGGGCUACCCUACUUGGCCCCAAAUGGAUCUUGCUAAUUGGUGACGGUUUCCGUGAUAGAUUUCUGGAACGUCACCAGAAAUCCGUCAUUGAUUAACAGAUUUCCGCACAAUCCCCCCACUCCCCACUCCUCUUCCCUCCUGAUCCGAUCUGGAUCGGACCGAAAUCGGCGCCGCGACGCCAACCGCCGUCGCUGGAGGCGUCCCCGACUCCACGCCGGGCCGCCCCGUCACUGGACCUCCUCCCCGUCGCCACUCGUCACUCGCUGGACCGCCUCGUCCCCACCAAUGCCGCCCCCACCCCAACGUCCCCGACGCCUUCGCCGUCGGCACCGCCCCAAUGUCGCCGCCACCCGACGCCGGCGCCCUCGACAUCGCCACCCCGAGCCCACUGCCACCCCUACGCUCCGCUAUGAGCCCCUCGCUGAUUCCCCCUCCUUCCCGUCGUCGUAGGUGGCUGCGCGCGUCGUUGGCCAUCGUGGCCGCGCUCCGGCCGUUCCCCAUCCGUGCGCUGGCCUCGCCUUCCUCGGAUUGCAAACAUUGAACUUUUCCCCUCGGGUUCAUCUAUCUGACAGACGUUCGGGACCAGAAAAACUUUCCCGGAUGUUUCCCCCUUCGCCAGUAUCACCUAGCACCGCGUUAGAACACUUCUAGCCCCGCUUAUUGUCUUGUUAUGCAUAUGUUUGCGUGUAUUUACUGUUUCUUCCCCCUCUUCUUCUCCGGUAGACCUCGAGACCGUUGCUGAUGCCCCUGUGGUCGACUACGUCGACGGCGACCCUCCUUGUCUGAGCAACGAGGCAAGCCCCCCCUUUGAUCAUCCCGAUAUCGCCCAUUCCAUUCUCUAAUGCUUGCACUAGAUUUUCUACUGUAUUUGAUUGCUCCUAUUCUGAUGCAUAGCAUGCUUUUCUACCUGCUGUUGUACCUUACCUGCUUAUCCUAAACUGCUUAGUAUAGGUUGGCUAGUGAUCCAUCAGUGACCCCCACCUUGUCUUUGUUGCCCCUGCUUCAUCAUUGACGACUCGAUCAACGUGAUCGACGACCGGAGCCUGACACCUCACAUCACAUCACGCCCCUUUUUGUUGCUCGACUCUGCAGAGUUACCAUCGAGUGCCGAGGGUGGAACCUCAUACAUCACUCCUUAUGAGAUCUCUGUAGUGUAGCUAUUCGGUCGUGGUCAUCGAGGGUGGUUCCUCCUUCACCAUUCCUAAUACGGCUCUGUCGUGCAACACCUCAAGUGUGAACCUCGAGGGUGGUUCCUCUUACGUUCACCUUGAUGAUUACAUCGAGUGGAAUCCACCGGGGGUGAUUCCUCGGAUUUUCCCCUUUAUGUCUGGACACACAGUUACCUUGACUUCACUUGAGACCGUUUUGAAAGCCGGGCAGGCCCGGAGAGCACCCGUGCGGUGUGACGGUGGCGGCUGGCUGUUUAGCGGUAUCACCCGGGAGGGGGUGAUAGCUCCGGACUUGUCCCGACAGCCGUCACUUCUUUUAAUAAUGCACUAACAGGUUUGGGUAUUUUUUCUAAGUUCACUAACCACGACGCUAGAAUAGUUAUGGGUCUCGAUGUUGCAGUAUCAGCCGAAGCUUUCUCAGACGUCCAGUUCAGCAUUGUGGCCGGGCCGAAUCAUGCCAUCCACUUCACGGGUGGUGCUGGUAUCCCCUUGCGCACAACGACCCAGAGUGCAACGGGCGAUGGGCCCAGACCCCGGAGUGCUUAGGAUGUAGACCGGCAGGGACCUCUCUGCUGAGCCUAGGUAGGGCAGCUACGUGUUGAUCUUCCGAGGCCGGGCAUUGACCCCAGAAAGGUGUGUCCUUCCAGAGUGAUCGAGCGUGUUGGGUAACGUGGUGCCCCCCUGCAGGGAAGAUUAUCUAUUAAUAGCCGUGUCCACGGUAACGGACGUUCAAACUUAUAUCUUGAUCUUAUACAACUACAAAUGGAUACUUGAGAUAUGUGGCUCCGGGAUUGCUUUCUCGCAGGGAGUCGAGGAAGGAUCUCUGGGCGUUGUUGUCACAACAUGCUUGUUAAUUAAACUGCUAUUCUUUACUCUUCUACAUGCUGCAAGAUGCUUGGAGCUACUUGAAGAUGCUAGUCUUCAUGAGGCUAGGCCUUCCCCUCUAUUCUGGCAUUCUGCAGUUCAGUCCACAGAUACAACCCUUCCAUUUGAUACCAAUGCAUACUUAGUAUAGAUCUGAUGCUUGCGAGUACUUUGGAUGAGUACUCACGGUUGCUUUGCUACCCCAUUUCCCCCUUCUUUCUUCUUUCCGGUUGACGCAACCAAAUGGUGGAUCCCUGGAGCCAGAUGCCAGCGCUGAUAGAUGCUACUAUGUGAAGAUCGCCGACGACCAGGAGUAGUUAGGAGGUCCCAAGCAGGAGGCCUUGCCUCUUCGAUCAUUGUUGCUUUUGUGCUAGCCUUCUUAAGGCAUCUUUGUUUAACUUAUGUCUGUACUCAGAUAUUGUUGCUUCCGCUGACUCUUGUGUAUCGAGCUAUGUAUUCAAGCCCUCGAGGCCCCUGGCUUGUAAUAUAAAGCUUGUAUUAUUUUGAUUUGUGUCUAUAGUUGUGUUGUGAUAUCUUCCCGUGAGUCCCUGAUCUUGAUCAUACACAUUUGCGUGCAUGAUUAGUGUACGAUUGAAUCGGGGACGUCACAAGUUGGUAUCAGAGCCGACUGUUUGUAGGAUCCCCCUUUCCAACUCCUUGGCUGAAGUUGAGUCUAGUCUUUGAAAAAAAUUGUUUUACUAACAUGGUUGUGUGGCUUACGGGCCCAUGUCGCCAUUGGGUGGUAUUAGGAUCUUUUACUCCUCGACCUUUACUCUGGGACUCUAAUCGCUCUUCUAUUCGGGUUAAAUGGUCUCGCAAACUAUAACUCUAGGUUCUCGUAAAUACUUUCUCCCGGAGAGCCCCUUCAUUCCAGAUGAUGGCCUGCUUCACCAGAUGAUUUCGAAGAUACCCUUCUGUAAUUUCCUGAGACUUUUGUACUCAUUGCUUUUGCAGUUCCCUACCUCUGAUAUAUCCUUACGGAUAACUUCAUACACUUGUCAUUCAUACAAUCAUUCCUAGUUGCUCUUGUUUUUACAAGAUACAUUGAAUUAUUCUCCGACUUUUAAGAAUCCCUUGCUUACUGCCCUGCAGUUCCUUGCCGCAUGAAUACCCCUACGGAUAAUUACUCGCACUUGCCGAGUAUCCGUUCGUCCAUAGUUGUUCAUGUGUUUCACAACAUUCUUUGGAAAGCUAUUUGAUCUUUUCAAAAAUCCUCAGUAGCCUAUUACUCUUGUUCCUCCUUACCUACUUACAGUAUGGUUACUUCCAUUUGUCUAGCAAUAUUCUUUAAAAUCCUUUGCGAUUGACAUCCUUACCCUAUUGUUUCAACAUGUGUGUGAAUGCACGCAAUCAUCAAUUGUUCCCUGGAAUUGUCCUUCUGGCUCAGACGUUACCCCGGACACGAGCUGGUGUUCGACAAAACAAACCUUGAUUGAUUUUGAAUCUAUGUCUAUACAACUUAAUUGUCUUUGAUCAGAGCCUCUGCUUUUGAUCCCCCAUUUUGAAAAUCAUAAUCCCCUUUGCAUUCGAGCAUAGAAUUAGUCAGUUGUUUCUAUAACCUGACCUCCUUGAAUUCUUUCUUCUUCUGGUUGAGUAUCGAUACUCACAUCAGAUCCAUUGUGGACCUCCAGGUCCUUUGUUGGUUUUUAUCCGACAGCAUCCUUCAUAUUCAGUAACCUUGUGAGCCUUUCCUCGAAUACACAAUGCCUUUGGUAAAUUGUAUCCCCCACUCUCGUCAACCAUACUCUGCUUCCGGGCUUGAGUUAUUUACUCGUGAAGUUUGUGGUAUAUGUUCCUAAUAUGUCCCUAUGGGUUGAAUCUAUGUCUUCCCUAAAUCUGUGUGAACCCUACGACUCAUACUCUACUGGUGUUAUGCCAGAUAAAAUCUCAACAGUACGGCUUCGUUGAAAAUGAGAAGUGAAUGAAAGGUUAUGCAUCGAAGAAGUGGGAGUCGACCUUGAGCCUUGUGUUCAUGCCCAUGGACACGAUGUGGAACUUAACAUGGAAGCUUCUUUUUAUAAUAAUAGCCCCCUAGCGAUAAGUACAUCUUGUAUCCAUGUGUGGUCCAUUGCAAUCGUGGUUCCGACCAUAUUGUUCUUGUUUGAUCCAUUUAUCGGACAAGUUAAAGUACUUGUCUUCUUCAAAUUGUUUCACAUGUUCAACCUCUACAUUGAUAUACCUUCGAGCAUUAUCCUCUGGUAUCUCGAGAAUAUCACGGAACUACAUAACUUCUUAUGAGUUCUUGAUCAACUAUUAUUUCUCACUGAUUCAAAUUUUUCACUAGUUGGGAGUUGUUAGACACUCGAGAAUACAGUUAACUGAUUCAAGUCUACGCUUUCCUUUCCAUUGUUCUGUUUAAUCUUUCUGGUAACCUAUCUUAUCUGAGAACUGAUAAUUCCCUGCUUAUGUAAACACCUCGGUGUACAAGCUCUGUCUGUAAGACCUUGUUACUAUUGUUGAGGACAUUCCGAUAGCUACCGAUGGACGAGAACUUUGCCUAUUGGUCCGCCUCAUCUUAACGAGCAGGAAAAUGGUUCUCUUUGUCCCUCUCCCUUGGUACCAACGUUGUUGCCAACAUAACUGACAAGUUGUCCUCUGACCUGCCUUGCUAUCAUGACCAUGCAAAAUGCUAGCGCCCUUCCUGCUUUUAACCCACAAGGUGGGCCUGAGGGAGUCCUGGACUAGGCGGUGUCCGGACAGCCGGACUAUCAUCGUCCGCCGGACUCCAAGACUACGAAGAUACAAGAUUGAAGACUCCGUCCCGUGUCUGGAUGGGACUUUCCUUGGCGUGGAAGGCAAGCUUGGAAAUACGGAUAUGUAGAUCUCCUACCAUUGUAACCGACUCUGUGUAACCCUAGCCUCCUCCGGUGUCUAUAUAAACCGGAGGGCUUUAGUCCGUAGGACACAACAUACAUUACAACAAUCAUACCAUAGGCUAGCUUUAGGGUUUAGCCUCCUUGAUCUCGUGGUAGAUCCACUCUUGUACUACCCAUAUCAUCAAUAUUAAUCAAGCAGGAUGUAGGGUUUUACCUCCAUCGAGAGGGCCCGAACCUGGGUAAAACAUCGUGUCCCUCGUCUCCGGUUACCAUCCGCCUAGACGCACAGUUCGGGACCCCCUACCUGAGAUCCGCCGAUUUUGACACCGACAUUGGUGCUUUUAUUGAGAGUUCCUCUGUGUCGUCACCAAUAGGCUCGAUGGCAUCUUCAACCAACAACGCUGUCCAGGGUGAGACUUUUCUCCCCGGACAGAUCUUUGUAUUCGGCGGCUUCGCACUGCGGGCUAAUUCGUUUGGCCAUCGGAGCAGAUCGAAAGCUACGCCCCUGGCCGUCAGGUCAGAUUCGGAAGUCUCAACUUCACGGCCGACGUCCGCGGAGACUUGAUCUUCGACGGGCUCGAGCCACAGCCAAGCGCGCCGCACUGUUACGAUGGGCAUGAUCUAGCUCUGUCGCCGAACAGUGCCUUGGUGGCCGCCCACGAAUCCGCUUCGGCCUUUAGUCCGGGGCCGAUCGCCCAGACCGAGGAACGGUGGAUGGACACCGCCUCGGGGGCUUCAACUUCCACGGCGAUGGAGCCGAACACUAAUCUUGUCCCUCGCAAAACUCGUGAUUCCGAGGUGCCGGACUCCUUGCCGGACUCCGAAGCUCCCACGCCCCUACCAACCGAAUCGGAUUGGGCGCCGGUUAUGGAAUUCACCGCCGCGGACAUCUUCCAAUACUCGCCUUUUGGCGACAUCCUGAAUUCGCUAAAGCAUCUCUCGUUAUCAGGAGAGCCCUGGCCGGACUAUGGCCAGGAUGGUUGGGAUACGGACGACGAAGAAAUUCAGAGCCCACCCACCACCCACUUUGUAGCCACUGUCGACGAUCUAACCGACAUGCUAGACUACGACUCCGAAGACAUCAACGCUAUGGACGACAAUGCCAGAGACGAACAGGAACCAGCGCCUACAGGGCACUGGAAGACCACCUCGUCAUAUGACAUAUACAUGGUGGAUACCCCAAAAGACGGGGACGGCGAAGAAACAGCGGAGGCAUAUUCUUUAAAGAAACAGCCCAAGCGCCGGCAUCAGCGGCGCUGCUCUAAAUCCCGCCACGGCAAGAAUGGAGAUUCCAGCACAGGAGAUAAUAAUACCCCAGAAAGUGCCGAAGAUAACCCCCUCCAGCAAGACUCAGCGCAGGAGGAUGCAGAAGCAAGCCCUCACGAGAAGGCGGCAGACAAAGAGGUUGAGGAUUACAACUAUAUGCCUCCCUCCGAAGACGAGGCAAGCCUCAACGAUGACGAAUUCGUCGUGCCCGAGGAUCCCGUCGAACAAGAGCGUUUUAAACGCAGGCUUAUGACCACGGCAAAUAGCCUAAAGAAAAAGCAGCAGCAGCUUCAAGCUGAUCAGGACCUGCUGGCCGAUCGAUGGACCGAGGUCCUCGCGGCCGAAGAGUAUAAACUCGAAUGCCCCUCCAAAAGCUAUCCAGGACGCAAGCUGCUCCCCCGAUUAGAGGAGGAAGCAUACAUACCUCCAUCACCAGCGCACGAUACGGCUGACCGACCACCCCGUGGUCGUGACAGAGAGGCAUCCAGGCCCCCAACCAAGACCGUACCCCGGCAUCGCUCGAAAAGUAUGAAGCCAAGAGGGAACGCGCCGGACUUGCGAGAUAUAUUGGAGGACAAAGCAAGGCAAUCCAGAUCCAUCUACGGAUCACGGGGGUGCCCCACGACCCAUGACGAAUACCGUCGCGCCGGAUACAAUAACCCCGGCCGGGCCGAACACAGCAGACAACGCUCUCUCGAGUUGCAUCGUGAUAUUGCUCAAUAUAGAGGCGCCGCACACCCGCUAUGCUUCACAGACGAAGUAAUGGAUCAUCAAAUCCCUGAAGGGUUUAAACCCGUAAACAUCGAAUCCUACGAUGGCACAACAGACCCUGCGGUUUGGAUCGAAGAUUACCUUCUCCACAUCCAUAUGGCCCGCGGCGACGAUCUACAUACCAUCAAGUACCUCCCACUCAAGCUUAAAGGACCAGCUCGGCAUUGGCUCAACAGCUUGCUCGCAGAGUCAAUUGGGUGUUGGGAAGACCUAGAAGCCGCAUUCCUUGAUAACUUCCAGGGCACGUAUGUGCGACCACCAGACGCCGAUGACCUAAGUCACAUCAUUCAGCAGCCAGACGAAUCGGCCAGACAAUUCUGGACACGGUUCUUGACAAAGAAAAAUCAAAUCGUCGACUGUCCGGAUGCAGAGGCCCUUGCAGCCUUCAAACAUAACACCCGCGACGAAUGGCUAGCCCGGCACCUGGGGCGGGAAAAGCCGAAAUCCAUGGCAGCCCUCACAUCAUUAAUGACCCGCUUUUGCGUGGGAGAGGAUAGCUGGCUAGCUCGCAGCAACAAUCUCCGUAAAAAUUCUGGCAGUCCAGACACCAAGAACAAUAAUGGCAGGUCACGUCGAAACAAAAACAAACGCCGCAUCAACGGCAAUGAUAAGGAGGAUACGGCAGUCAACGCCGGAUUCCGAGGCUCUAAACCCGGUCAACGGAAGAAGCCAUUCAAAAGAACCACUCCGGGUCCGUCUAAUUUGGACCGAAUACUCGACCGCUUAUGCCAGAUACAUGGCACCCCUGAAAAGCCAGCUAAUCACACUAAUAGAGACUGCUGGGUGUUCAAGCAGGCAGGUAAGUUAAUUGCCGAAAACAAUGACAAGGGGCUAAACAGCGAGGACGAGGAGGAGACCCGACCGCCGAACAAUAGAGGACAAAAGGGUUUUCCCCCACAAGUGCGGACGGUGAACAUGAUCUACGCGACCCAUAUACCCAAUUGGGAGAGGAAGCGUGCACUAAGGGACGUCUAUGCGAUGGAGCCAGUCGCCCCGAAGUACAAUCCAUGGUCCUCUUGUCCGAUCACUUUCGAUCGAAGAGACCAUCCGACCAGCAUACGCCAUGGCGGAUUCGCCGCAUUGGUUCUAGACACAAUCGUCGAUGGAUUUCACCUCACGAGAGUCCUGAUGGACGGCGGUAGUAGCCUGAACCUGCUUUAUCAGGACACAGUGUGCAAAAUGGGCAUAGACCCCUCAAGGAUUAAACCUACAAAGACAACCUUUAACAGUGUCAUACCAGGUGUGGAAGCCAACUGUACAGGCUCAGUCACACUGGAAGUGGUCUUCGGAUCCCCGGACAAUUUCCGGAGCGAGGAGUUAAUCUUCGACAUAGUCCCGUUUCGCAGCGGCUAUCACGCUCUGCUCGGACGAAUCGCGUUCGCAAAAUUCAACGCGGUGCCGCAUUGUGCAUACCUCAAGCUCAAGAUGCCAGGCCCUCAUGGAGUCAUCACGGUCAAUGGGAAUACGGAACGCUCCCUCCGAACGGAGGAACAUACAGCGGCUCUCACGGCAGAAGUACAGAGCAGCCUUUUAAGGCAAUUCUCGAGUCCGGCCAUUAAACGGCCGGAUACAUCAAAGCGCGCCCGAAGCAAUACCAACCAAGACCACCUGGCGUGAUCAGAGCACGCGUAGCAAUGCGGCCCCAACCCCCGCCCGCGCGUGAUUGCAAGAAUAACCCUCCGCGUACAUCAUUACGCUUUGGAGAUACCAUGGGCGCAGGGGAAGGGGCACGAUCACAACGGACCCAGAGUGCAGUUCGACCGCACCAGGGGCUCGCAAGUGUGCCCCCUUUUUUUUAUUGUUAUUUUCCCUCUUUGUGUACACAGGACUCCGUUAGCCAGAGGCCCUAUCCGGCGGUGAACCUGCCGAACUCAUGAUGCAAUAACCAGGGAAGAAAGAACGCUGCGACGAACACUCAGGUGGUCUCAAUUACAAGCAUUAAAUUCGAUUAUAUACACCAAGUCCGCAGCUUACCCUUGGAGGGGGACAUGUUUAAUUAGUCCAAAUCCCUUGCUUACCACACUAUUUGUAUCAGUCCGCACUCAUAGCAGACUUUCUUUCAUAAAUAAUGCAGCACCUUUUUGACUGCAAUUACAUUACCUUUUAUAUAUAUAUGCUCAUUACAUGACAUCUUGCACCCGUAUAUUUUGGUACGGCCUAAUACACCAGGGGCUUAUGUUCCCCACAUUAUGGUGUGAUAAGUCCGAACACUUUCGUAAGUGCAGCACCCCGAACUUAUAGCACUAUAUGAAUCGGCUCCGAAUCAUGUCUUGGGUCAAUAGUUGGGUUUGCCCGGCUCCCACGUUUUGGUGCCUUACGUUCCGUUCUGUCGGCUAAGGUGGCACUGGGAGAACCACUGCGAUUGCGCCCCGGUUGAGCCGGGCGAGCACCUCAGUGGAGAAAGCUAAAACUGACCGGCAUGAUAAGGCGAGAGACUGGUCGCUGUUCGAGAGGUUUUUUCGGGUCCUUAAAGACUCACGCCACUUCGAGCGAAGUUCCGGACCAUGUCUGACGAAGGCGUGGAUAGCGCCCCGGAUUCGGCCUUUCGGAUACCAGGGGCUUCGCCGAAAUUUAAAAUUAUAGAAUUCUAUGGCUAAGUGAGAGUGUUCAAGCAUUAUAAGUCCGGUCGCCUUGUUCGUUGUGUUGAGCACCUCCCUAGAUGGACCCAAAAAUGGGAAUAAGAGUGCUCAAGUUUAUCCCGAACACCCCAGCACUCGUGGCUCGGGGGCUGAAGCCAAUGACUUUCCAUCUCUCAGAUUUUAUAAACGGCCGCACAGAAGGUAAUAUUUUAAAUUAAAACAAGCGUUGCUCAUGGCGCAUCUGAACGAAGUUUUCAGCGCACAGGAUAAUACAUAGCGAGUUCACUCAAAGAUUACAUUUCUAGGGCACUCAUCCGCAAUAUCGCGGGCUCCCUUCAGGACAGUUUUAUAAUACAUUUCAGGCGUGCGAUACUCCUUGCCCGGCGGCGGUGGGUCUGUGAGAAGCUUCUCCGCAUCCAACCUGCCCCAAUGCACCUUUGUGCGGGCAAGGGCCCGACGAGCACCUUCAAUACAGGCGGAGCGCUUGAUGACCUCCACCCAGGGGCAUGCAUCCACCAGCCGCCGCACGAGGCCGAAGUAGCUACCAAGCAUGACCUGUUCAGGCCACAGCCGGACUAUAAGGCCCUUCAUGGCCUCUUCAGCUACCUUGUGGAGUUCGACCAGCUGCUUCAGCUGGUCGCUUGGGGGCACCGGAUGGCCUGCCUCAGCGUACUAAGACCAGAAGACCUUCUCCGUUGAGCUCCCCUCCUCGCCACGAUAGAAUGCGGCGGCAUCGGAGGCACUACACGGCAGAUCUGCAAACACCCCUGGAGAGCUCCGAAUGCGGGUAAUUGUCAGGUAGUUUACAUUAACAUGCUUGCUUUGCAUGAAAAAUGCCUUACCCGCCGCUAUCUUCUUUACAUCUUCAACCUCCUGAAGGGCCUUACGGGCCUCGGCCUUGGCGGACUUGGCACUUUCGAGAGCCGAGGCAAGCUCGGACUCUCGAGUCUUGGAGCCUCCUGCUUUUCUCGCUCCGCCCGUUCCGCGACCGCACUGCGUUCAGCCGCGGACACAGCCUCCUUCAGGGCUGCCACCUCGUUCGUGGCCCCUGCAAUACCCAUAUUAUCCUUGUUAAUUUUAUUGCAACCAAAAUCCUUUUCCGUAAGGUGACUAUUCAAAGCGGUGUUACUCACCUUCUUUGUCCUCGAGCUGCUUCUUGGCAGUGCCGAGCUCUUGCUCGGACCGCUCGAGAUCCUGCUUCAACACAUCGACCUCCGCCGUCAGUGCGGCAGAGGUCAGUAGCGCAGCCUGCAAACCCAUAUUGACAUAUUUUAAGCAACCCUGCGUAUAUCUUGUUAGAUCCUCAGUCCGGCUUUUCUUUCCGAACACCGAACUGAGCAUCAAGGGCUACUGUCUAUGCGGUAUUACAUUACAUAAUUUUAACUUCUUACCUCAAAGCCUGUUAGAAGGCUGCUGCAGGCUUCGGUCAGCCCGCUCUUGGCGAGCUAAACCUUUUGAAUCACCGCACUCAUGUUAGUGCGAUGUUUUUCCUCGAUGGAAGCGCCUUCAAGCGCCUCCAACAAGUUAUCCGGCGCCUCCGGUUGGACGGAGGUCGCCGGUGUCAAGGUCUUGCCCUUCUUUCGAAGGGGCCGCCCGCCGGACUCUAGAACCACUGCGGGUUCCGAUGUAGAGUCCGGCACAAAGUCUGGGAGGCAGCCUGACGACGCCUCCGGAGCCUCCUCCUGAUGGGUCCCUCUCUGGGAUCCCACCUCGGCGUCCCCGUCGGCGCGGGGGGUAGAGGCGGUCGGAAGUGAAUCCACAUCUAACGGGGCCAACGACCCGCUCGAUGAAGCGGGGAGAUCAUCAUCGGCCGGACUACGGACAGAACGCGGCAUUAGAAGGACACUACGCGACACGAAAGAAAUUGCAUAUCAUGGAUCCGGAUACUUACGAUCUUGUCGGACGCCUGGCCCUUGGAGGCCACUCAUCCUCGCCAACGGUGGUGUUGGCGAAACUGUCCGGGGGGAUAGUCCUCCCCCUCUUGGACCCUUCGGCCUCCCCUAUUGGGAAAGCCUUCCACUUCUUCUCUCCCUCCUCCGAGAGAGAGUCCUCUUCCUCCUCCUCGUCUUUGGGGGAGGAGUCCGCCUCGUCGUCGGACGCCUAAUUGCGGGAACUCUUUCGAGUCCCCGCGGCCACCUUCUUGGCCUUCUUCUCCGGCACCACGUGCGGUGCCGGAACCAGCAGCCCUGCUAAACGGGCGUUCUCUGGGUCUUCAGGCAUGGGAGCCGGGCUGAUGAGCUGCUUGGCCUUCUCCAUCCAUUCCUAUCAAAGGAAAAGAGAGAUUGAAACCCUCUUAGAAUCAGUUUAAUUACCACAAGUGUCCCGUAACGUGGUUGAAUCACUUACCUCGUCAGCCGGAUGCUGCGAGCGAAAUCCGUGAUCUUCCGUCGCGGAUGCGGGGGCUUCGGCGCCCUUAAACAGCACCCUCCAGGCGCCUUCGUAUGUCGUAUCGAAGAGCCCGCUCAGCGCCUGGUGCUGUUCCGGAUUGAACUCCCACAGAUUGAAUACCCGUUCUUGGCAUGGGAGAAUCCGGCGGAUGAGCAUGACUUGGACCACGUCGACGAGCCUGAGCUUAUUGCUCACCAGCUUCUGGAUGCAGGCUCGGAGUCCCGUCACCUCCUUCGGAUUUCCCCACAGCAAGCCCUUCUCUUUCCAGGAGGUGAACUGCGUGGGGACGCCAGAUCUAAACUCGGGGGCCGCCGCCCAUGUGGGCUUGCGCAGCUCGGUGAUGUAGAACCAACCCGAUUGCCACCCCUUGACGGAGUCCACGAAGGCCCCUUCGAGCCAAAGGACGUUGGGCAACUUACCCAACAUGGCGCCUCCGCAUUCCGCUUGCGUGCCCUUCACAACCUUCGGCCUCCCCUAUUGGGGAAGCCUUCCUCUUCUUCUCUCCCUCCUCCGGGAGAGAGUCCUCUUCCUCCUCCUCGUCUUCGGGGGAGGAGUCCGCCUCGUCGUCAGACGCCUGAUUGCGGGAACUCUUUCGAGUCCCCGCGGCCACCUUCUUGGACUUCUUCUCCGGCACCACGUGCGGUGCCGGAACCAGCAGCCCUGCUAAACGGGCGUUCUCUGGGUCUUCAGGCAUGGGAGCCGGGCUGAUGAGCUGCUUGGCCUUCUCCAUCCAUUCCUGUCAAAGGAAAAGAGAGAUUGAAACCCUCUUAGAAUCAGUUUAAUUACCACAAGUGUCCCAUAACGGGGUUGAAUCACUUACCUCGUCAACCGGAUGCUGCGAGCGAAAUCCGUGAUCUUCCGUCGCGGAUGCGGGUGCUUCGGCGCCCUUAAACAGCACCCUCCAGGCGCCUUCGUAUGUCGUAUCGAAGAGCCCGCUCAGCGCCUGGUGCUGUUCCGGAUUGAACUCCCACAGAUUGAAUGCCCGUUCUUGGCAUGGGAGAAUCCGGCGGAUGAGCAUGACUUGGACCACGUCGACGAGCCUGAGCUUAUUGCUCACCAGCUUCUGGAUGCAGGCUCGGAGUCCCGUCACCUCCUUCGGAUUGCCCCACAGCAAGCCCUUCUCUUUCCAGGAGGUGAACUGCGUGGGGACGCCAGAUCUAAACUCGGGGGCCGCCGCCCAUGUGGGCUUGCGCAGCUCGGUGAUGUAGAACCAACCCGAUUGCCACCCCUUGACGGAGUCCACGAAGGCCCCUUCGAGCCAAAGGACGUUGGGCAACUUACCCAACAUGGCGCCUCCGCAUUCCGCUUGCGUGCCCUUCACAACCUUCGGCUUGACGUUGAAGGUCUUGAGCCACAGGCCGAAGUGGGGCCGGAUGCAGAGGAAGGCCUUGCACACGACGAUAAACGCCGAGAUGUUGAGGAUGAAGUUCGGCGCCAGAUCGUGGAAAUCCAGGCCGUAGUAAAACAUGAUCCCCCGGACGAAUGGGUGGAGUGGAAAGCCCAGUCCGCGGAGGAAGUGGGGAAGGAAGACGACCCUCUCAUGGGGCCCAGGGGUAGGGAUGAGCUGCCCCUCGUCGGGCAGCCGAUGCGCGAUAUCGCCGGAAAGGUAUCCGGCGCUGCGAAGCUUGGUGAUAUGCUCCUCCUUAACGGUGGAGUCCAACCAUUUGCCUCCCGCUCCGGACAUAUUCGGAGAAGGUCGGGGCGAGAUGCGCGAGCUUGGGCGUUGGAGCUUGAGUGCACGGAGAUGGAUAAGCAAAGGAGGAAGAAGGCGUAGGUGAGAAGGUAAAUCCUUAUCCCUUAUAUAUAGGCGGACGAAAACUAUGCGUCCCCACCGGCCUGAUAAAACUCGCUUAUCUCCCAAGCGCCACCAUCAAUGGCGCGGUUGGGUUACCCACGUCCGUAUUGAUGGGAAUCCCGGAAUAAGGGGAACACAAUCUCUGCUUCGACAAGACGUGCCAAGGAAACCGCUUCGCUAAACGUGCUGAGGUGGUAUAGUAAAAAACGAUUCAAACAAAGGCUUGGUAGCGGUGUGAUGUCACGCCGCAUAAUACGUCAGCAGAUUGGACUGGUGUACAUUUUAUUCUCUCUACGGUGGAAUGUGGAAUUUAUUUUGCAGAGCCGGACACUAUCCUGGUGUUCAUGAUCUUCUCUGGAUUAUUCAAGGGAGGAACCCGCCUUGCAAUGCCGAACAUUAUGCGCGCCGGACUUAUCGUCAUUGAAGCCUGGUUCAGGGGCUACUGAGGGAGUCCUGGACUAGGGGGUGUCCGGACAGCCGGACUAUCAUCGUCCGCCGGACUCCAAGACUACGAAGAUACAAGAUUGAAGACUCCGUCCCGUGUCCAGAUGAGAUUUUCCUUGGCGUGGAAGGCAAGCUUGGCAAUACGGAUAUGUAGAUCUCCUACCAUUGUAACCGACUCUGUGUAACCCUAGCCUCCUCCGGUGUCUAUAUAAACCGGAGGGCUUUAGUCCGUAGGACACAACAUACAUUACAACAAUCAUACCAUAGGCUAGCUUUAGGGUUUAGCCUCCUUGAUCUCGUGGUAGAUCCACUCUUGUACUACCCAUAUCAUCAAUAUUAAUCAAGCAGGACGUAGGGUUUUACCUCCAUCGAGAGGGCCCGAACCUAGGUAAAACAUCGUGUCCCUCGUCUCCUGUUACCAUCCGCCUAGAUGCACAGUUCGGGACCCCCUACCCGAGAUCCGCCGGUUUUGACACCGACAGGGCCCAUAACCCACAGUUCCACAGGAUCGAAACCUGACUCAUGUACAUCCCUGUUUUUCAAAGUUGUUCCUCGCGCUUGGAUUCGUAUGUAAUUCACGAGCCACCUUCCUUGUGAUCUGUUCUGGUAUCAGAUGCAAUACUUAUUCCCAUUGCUCUAAACCCCUUUCACCUUCUUACCUUGCUCUCGAUGACUAUCCUGAAUUCCAACUCAAGAGAUGCCUCUAUGCCAUGUUGAGGUACCUAUCUUGUGUUGAGCUCCAUCCCUCCCGAGUCUUUCCCCCUUACUCACCCCUUAAAUCUCGAGACGAUAUUUCUUGUAGUGGAGGAGAAUUGUGACGCCCAAAUAAUUAAGCUACAGUAAUCCCCUUUUAAUGGUUCCAUGUCAUCACAUUACUAUUGCUAAUCCUCGCUUGAUCCAAAUCUUAGUUCAAACUAAUAUUCAAAUUAAAGACCAAAAUUCAAAUUUCUCAAGCAUGCAUAAUAAAAUGUUCAAAGUGUGGCAAAUAAUCCCUGGAUAUUUGUCAUGUUGGAAACAACCUCCUUAGAAUUUUCAAAAUGCCCCUGGGAGUUAAUUUUUGGUCAAGUAGUAAAUUAAAUGGCAUUUGCAAAACAAAUAAUUAUUUAUUUAACUCCAAUUGCCUCCUGUCGUGGGAAACGAACACCUAUGGGGCAGGGCCCCUUUUCGGUCUGGCAAGGGAGCGGAGGGCACACGAAGAGCAGAUCGAGGCGAAGCACGCGGGGGAAUUUUACCCAGCUUCGGAGCUCUCCGGAGAGAUAAAACUCCUACUGCUGCUUUGUGUUUCUAUUCUGUUCUUGCUCAAGAGUGUGGGUGUGUUGUAGUUUCGAAUGAGUCGAACCCCUUCUACGUGCGCAUGGGCCUCCUUUUUAUAGUCUAAAGGGGUCACCGACAGGUGGCAGCAUAGAGAGAGGGGUAAAAAAGUAAAAACGCGGGUUGGUACAACCGCUAUCAACAGUGCCCCCUACCUAACUCUGACAGCAGGGGACAAGGGCAUUUAAUGCCCAUCCGGUCGCCCAAACAGUGCAGGAAGUGACCGUUAGGGGCGCCACCAAUCGCCACGAUGGCCUCCUAGUCAUCUUCACUUGCCACCUCGCACCGCUUGGCUGCACAGCUACCCGCCACGUGCACCGGGAGCGAUCCUGCGGCGACACGUCAUCGGAUGCGCUGGAGCAUGGGCGCAGAGUUGUGGCUUUGCCGCGGCAAGCGCCUUGCCGCGGUCACUAUCUUGUUGCACCCGCAAGCUUGCCGCUCGCCGGGUCUUGGUUGGCCUUCCCGGCAAGAUCCUCCUGCCGGGGUCUUGUCCUUCCCGGCAAGCUUCUCUUGCCGGGGCUUCGUCUUCACAGUUAACACUUUGUUCUUGAAUGGCAGUAAAUAGGAAUGACGAAGGAUCUUGGCGGACGCCCGGCAAGCCUUGCCGCAGGACGCUGCGCCUGCCCGUGCACAAGUUCGGGGUACUAAGGUACCCCUACUUUAGUACACCGACUGGAGCCCCCGGGCCUGGGCCAUACACGGUGCUGAGCGCUGUUGGGCCAGGCCCAAAACAGGACACGGGCACGCGCGGCCUGGGUCCUAACUAAAUCCACUCCGUAUCCACCGCGUCCUCCCGUAACGGCACGCGUCAAUCGCGGCGUCGUGGGAGAGAUCGUGGGUGGAAGACGUUCGCGCGUAUCCACAGCCUGAUGGAGGGGUUUACCCUCCAUUUUAAGUUAAUGGAGGGCGAUCUCCUCUCCGUCAAGGUCUUCGGGUGCUUCGACACUCGGGCGAAGUGCUGCGUGGACAGCUCCUCCGAUAGCAAAGGCUCCCCCUCGAGCGAGAGCGACAAGGAGGAGAGCAACAGCGAUGAUGAGGGUAGCGGGCGGCGGGAUGGCGGGCCCGACUAGGUGUCGGGCGCCGCUUCGUGCGUCACCGGUGACCCCAUCAUCCGUGUCGCCGGCUCCUUGAACUCCCCGGGGUCGUCUCCUUGGGCGGCUGGCGUAGGGAGGCUGCGGAAGGGGAAGAGGGCUGGCGACAAGGCCGUCAAAUCGGAGUACGAGGGCGUAGUGCCCUCGACAGCGUGCUGACGUCCUGCCGCCCCAUCUUCGAGCCCCGCUUCCAGCGCCGCCAUCACCGUCCGGCCUUCGGACGGCCCCCGGGAUGUUCUCUUGGUGUCUUCGCCUAGGCGCCUCUUUUGCCCUUUUCGCCUCCUUGACCUACAUCCUGAAGAGAGGGACAGGAAAGGGAUUACGGGCAUCUUAUCUUUUUAAUUUGUAAGCCUUCGGGCCCUAGUCGCAUCUAAAACUUGUAACCCUCUCUUUCAUGUUUUUCAUCCUCUAUGGACUGUACCUGAGUGUGAUGUUUUUUUAAUGAAAAAGGGAUGCUUGCCGGGUUAUUUGUCUCAUGGGUUGAACCCACGCCAAGGAGCAAAUCCUUGGUAUCCCUCGGACAGGCAUUUCAUCUCCCGCCAACAGGCCCUGCCGCCUUCCCACGUCGCUCGACCUUUCUCACGCCUUUGACGGAGGCGGGAACGAGGUGGGUGCGGCCUCCUCAUUUCAUCCCUUUGCUGCUGUGACUACGACCAAACUUGGCCCCGGGAACGAGCCCCAGGGCCUAGAGUUGAGGGAGCACGGCAGUUUUCGGGAAGAAACGCGGUUUCGCAUUCCCCAGUCCAUAAGAGGAUGCAUGAUGAGGGACGAAAGACUUAUCUGAUAUCGCAGCCCCCGGCAACUCUGGCUUGCCGUGGAUGAAUCUUGGUACUCGCAGCCCCCAGCAACACUGGCUUGCCGGGGCCCAGGUGCCGGCGCGCCCUUCUUCUCCUUUCCUUGUCGCUGUUAUUUCAGUUAUGAGAACAAUUUAGUCAGUGCCGCAAUAAGUUACUCUUGUAAUAUAACUUUAUUCUGGGCAAUGCUUGUUAUGUUACAUCCUUUAUUUGAUUCCAUUCCUUGUAUGUUUGUACCCUUACGCUUUUACGGAACUUGCCGGUGCAAACACGCUUGCCACGAGCGCUGAGUGCAAAACAUCAGCAGCCUUCUAGCGGUGUUGCCUCCGGCAAGAAACCUUGUCGGGGCUAGUCGCAGCACACUUUCAUUGUUGAGCGGACUCAAAACAAAGUAAGGGUGCAACUUAACCACGAGCCGGUUCCUCUGCGCACAGGUUUUCCAUACAAGGCAUGGUCGUUCAAGGAAUAUAACUUAAAAAUUUAAAACUGACUGUGCUUAAACUUCGGCAACUUAGCUUUUUUGUUGUUUGUGUCCNNNNNNNNNNNNNNNNNNNNNNNNNNNNNNNNNNNNNNNNNNNNNNNNNNNNNNNNNNNNNNNNNNNNNNNNNNNNNNNNNNNNNNNNNNNNNNNNNNNNNNNNNNNNNNNNNNNNNNNNNNNNNNNNNNNNNNNNNNNNNNNNNNNNNNNNNNNNNNNNNNNNNNNNNNNNNNNNNNNNNNNNNNNNNNNNNNNNNNNNNNNNNNNNNNNNNNNNNNNNNNNNNNNNNNNNNNNNNNNNNNNNNNNNNNNNNNNNNNNNNNNNNNNNNNNNNNNNNNNNNNNNNNNNNNNNNNNNNNNUGUGGGCGCAGGAAUCUUCUCUUUGAGAAAAAGGAAGAAGAGAAAAUAAAGUUAUGGAGCCUUAAGGCUUGUUAUUGCUUACCGGGGGCAAGUUCUGCACAAAGUGUCAGUGUAUACAUGCUAAAAAGAAAAAGGCAUGAAUUUUGACAAUAUGUACUAAACAUAUGAUCUUUAUUUAUGCACGGGAUCUGCGCCCGGCUUUGUACAAAGGGUUACAUGCAACAACGGCAAGGCUUGUACAAAAGGUGGUUGCCAGGACAGCAGGUUCCGGCAACCGCGCCUUAUGGGUAAAACUUACGAAGAUGAUCUAUGUUCUAGGAGUUGCUCACCGGAAUGCCAUCUUCGGUCUCAAGGCGGACAGCGCCAGGCCUAGUGACUCGCUUUACCCGAUAAGGGCCUUCCCACUUCGGCGUCAACUUGUUGGAAUUCUUGGCAGAUUGAACGCGCCGAAGAACAAGGUCACCUUCCUCGAAGCUUCUGGCAUUAACUUCGCGGCUAUGGUAGCGGCGCAAAGCUUGCUGGUAGCGAGCAGCUCGUACAGCAGCCUGAAGACGAUCCUCCUCGAGGAGCAGCGCGUCAUCUUGCCGCAGCUGCUCUUGCUCAAGCUCAUCAUAAGCGAGCACUCGAGGCGAUCCGUAUACGAGUUCUGUGGGGAGAACUGCCUCUGCUCCAUAGACAAGAGCAAAAGGUGUCUGGCCAGUGGCUCGAUUUGGCGUCGUCCUGAUCGACCAAAGAACCACCUGUAGCUCCUCGAUCCAAUUUCUUCCGCACUUGUGCAGCCUGUCGAAAGUUCUGGUCUUGAGCCCACGCAGCACUUCAGCGUUUGCCCUCUCCGCUUGACCGUUGCUUCUCGGGUGAGCAACAGAAGCGAAGCAGAUCUUGGCGCCAAGAUCUUGGACGUACUGCAUGAAGGUGCAGCUCGUGAAUUGUGUGUUGUUGUCGGUGAUGAUCCUAUUAGGGACUCCGGAACGGCAAACAAUUGACCUGAAGAACUUGACUGUUGACUGUGCUGUCACCUUCCUCACUGGCUCCACCUCCGGCCACUUCGUGAACUUGUCGAUGGCCACGUACAAGUACUCGAAGCCCCCGACAGCUCGGGGAAAAGGGCCAAGGAUAUCAAGCCCCCAGACUGAAAAUGGCCAGGAUAAAGGGAUUGUUUGGAGAGCUUGAGCUGGUUGAUGAAUCUGUUUGGAGUGGAACUGGCACGCUUCACACUUGGUUACUUGUGCAGUCGCAUCCUGGAGGGCUGUUGGCCAAAAGCAACCUUGCCGGAAGGCUUUACUGGCAAGUGCUCUUGCGCCAAUGUGGUGGCCACAUAUGCCUCCAUGUAUCUCCGCCAACAGCUCUUGUCCUUCUUCCCGGGAAAUGCACUUCAAUUUCACUCCGUUGAAUCUUCUUCUGUACAGUAUGUCAUCGACAAACUGAUACAUACUUGAUUGUCGGGCUACUUUCUCUGCUUCUUCUUGCUCUUCGGGAAGUUCUCCUGUUUGAAGGAAAUGGACGAUCUGCUGUGCCCAUGCCGGAGCUUGUGGCUCGACGACAAGGACUAAAGGCGCAAAUGCUGCUGCGGGAACAUCCGCUUCUACGGCAAGAAUAUGAGAUCCUGCCGGAGCGUGAUGCUCCCCGGCAAGCGUGCCGGGGCACAGCUUGUCGGGAGCGUCUGCUUCAACGAAACAAACCCUAGGGCUUGUCGGAGCAGACUGCUCCUCAGCACUUUCUAUGUUGAUCCUGGGGACCUUCUUGGCGGCGGCUUCGGGGAGCUCUGCCGGAAAGUAGUCGCCAGUAACCAACUUUCUCUUCUUGCUCUGUCCAGUUGAUGGUGUUACAGAUGGCUGAGUCAGCUUGAGCACAAAAAUACCUGGUUCCACAGGUAACUUGAGUGCGGUGCACUUUGACAGGCCGUCUGCAAUGUCAUUCUGAGCUCUUGGAACAUGUUCCAUCUGCAGGCCGUCAAAAUGCUCUUCCAGCUUCCUCACUUCAUCAAUGUAGGCCUCCAUCAGCGGACUCUGAUAAUCUGUGUUAACUUGGCGGACGACAAGCUGUGAGUCACCCCUGACAAUAAGCUUCUUGAUCCCAAGUUCUGUCGUGAUCCUGAGUCCGGCAAGCAGGCCCUCAUAUUCUGCAGUAUUGUUUGUUGCUUGCUCCUUGGGAAAGUGCAUUUGGAUCAUGUACUUGAGGUGCUCUCCGGUGGGUGCGACAAGUAACACACCCGCACCGGCGCCUUGCAGCGAGAAAGCACCAUCAAAGUACAUGAUCCAUUCCCUGUUUGCUUCCUUGACGGGGAUCCUCGUCUCCGGAGUUUCUUCAUCUGGUGUUGGCGUCCACUCCACUAUGAAUUCUGCCAAUGCUCGGCUCUGGAUAGUUGAAGUACUUUCAAACUUGAGGCCAAAGCUUGACAGUUCCAGUGCCCACUCGACAAUCCUGCCUGUUGCUUCUGGAUUUUGCAAUAUCCUCUUCAACGGAAAGCGAGUGACAACUGUGAUCUGAUGUGCUUGAAAAUAAUGGCGCAGCUUCCUCGAGGCCAUGAGAAGGCCGAAAAGCAACUUUUGCACUCCAGAGUAUCUUGAUCUAGCCACCUGCAGAAGGGAGCUGACAAAAUAAACUGGGUGCUGCACCAUCUUCUUUUGUUUCUCUGCCUGCGGCUGCACAGACUCAUCCUUGUCGGGACCAGAGCUUGACGGAGAAGCCCCCUGCUUGUCGCUGGACUCGCUUGCCGCGGCCGCUGGCUCAUCAUCUGCCUCCCUCUCUGCUACUAACGCAGCACUAACCACUUGAUUGGUUGCUGCUAGAUACAGCAGCAACUUCUCUUGCGGCUUAGGUGCGACAAGUACUGGAGUGGAGGAUAGGUAUCUCUUCAAGUCCUGUAGCGCAGCCUCCGCUUCUGGAGUCCAUUUCAUUGGACCUGCCUUUUUCAAAAUUUUGAAAAACGGCAGGGCGCGCUCAGCAGACUUAGAGAUGAACCUACUGAGAGCAGCAACGCAGCCGGCAAGCCUUCGCACAUCCUUGAGGCGCUUCGGGGCUUCAAUCUGCUCGAUGGCCUUGAUCUUGUCGGGGUUGGCUUCGAUCCCCCUCUGGGACACGAAGAACCCGAGAAGCUUGCCGGAAGGAACUCCAAACACGCACUUCUCAGGGUUCAACUUGAGAUUGAUCUUGCGCAGAUUUGCAAAAGUCUCAUCCAAAUCUUGGAUCAAAGUUUCUCUAUCUUUGCUCUUGACCACUAUAUCAUCCAUGUAUGCUUCUACAUUCCUGUGCAGCUGUGGCUCAAAAGCAUGACUGACUAGUCUUGCAAACGUUGAACCAGCAUUCUUUAGUCUGAAAGGCAUUCAUACAAAGCAGUACGUGCCACAUGGAGUAAUGAAUGCGGUGUUCUCUUCAUCCUCUUUUGCCAUGAAAAUCUGAUGGUAUCCUGAGUAUGCAUCAAGAAAUGAAAGCAGAUCACAUCCUGCCGUGGAGUCGACAAUCCGGUCAAUGCGCGGCAAGGGAAAUGGAUCUUUGGGACAAGCUUUAUUAACAUCCGUGAAGUCAAUACAAAGCCUCCACUUCCCAUUCACCUUGCGCACAAUUACUGGAUUGGCUAACCACGUUGGAUGGAGUACUCCUCGGACGAGGCCUGUUGCUUCCAACUUCUUGAUCUCUUCUGCUAUGAACUCUUGGCGUUCCGCCGCUUGCUUCUUGACUCUCUACUUGACGGGCCGCGCGUGAGGACAGACGGCAAGGUGGUGCUCAAUUACUUUCCUGGGAACACCGGGGAUGUCAGAUGGUUGCCAUGCAAACACAUUGACAUUCGCCCGCAGGAAAGCAACGAGCGCGCUUUCCUAUUUAGGGUCAAGCGUGGCACUGAUGGUGAAGGUACCACUAGUGCCGUCCUCCUUGGCGGCCACUUUCUUGGUAUCAGGUGUCGCUAUCUUUGCCCUCUUGCACUUGCCGGUGGAGCUCGAUGGUGCGUCCUCGACGGUAGCACAGCACUCCGAAGAGGUGCGCUUGCCGGAGUGGGCAUCAGAGCUACUCUUGCCGGACUUGGUCUUCUUCUUCUUCCCCCCGGGAGCUUCAGCGGCAAGUGGUUUGUGCUCUGCUGCGGCUGCUGCUUCCUGGUAGAUCUUGUCGGUGCAGAUAAGCGCAUCCUUCUUGUCGCCUUGGACAGAAAUGACGCUUAUCGGACCGGGCAUCUUGACCACGUUGUAAGCAUAAUGAGAGGCUGCCAUGAACUUGGAAAGCGCUGGACGGCCGAGUAUCCCAUUGUAGGGCAACGGGAAAUCAGCAACAUCAAAUGUGACUCUCUCUGUCCUGAAGUUCAGUUUGCUGCCAAAUGUCACUGGUAGUGUAAUCUUCCCCUUGGGCUUGCUCCUUCCCGGGUUGAUUCCUUGAAAGGUACCAGUUUCUUCGAGCUCGCUGUCGGGGAUCUGGAGCUUGUUGAGCACCGCGGAAGAGAUCAGAUUUAGGCCGGCCCCACCGUCAACCAACAUCUUCGUGACCUUGAGGUUGCGGAUGGUUGGCGAAACCAACAUCGGCAAGCACCCGACCGCAGUGAUGCGAUCAGGGUGAUCCUCAACAUCAAAGACGAUGGGCGUACUGGACCACUUCAGGGGCUUGCGCGAUUCGACUGAUGGUUCAGCUGCAUUUACCUCCCGCACCCACUGCUUGAGUUGGCGGUGCGAGGUGUGCAGAGAAGCACCGCCGUCAACGCACAAAACCUCUGUUGCCUUCUGAAACUCUUGCUCGUCGGUCUCAUCCUCGUCCAUCUCAUCAUCCUCAUCUUCAUCUUCGUCCUUGUCACGGCCACGGGGAGGUCUGUCUCCUUGCCGCUGCUUGGCCUUGCCGCGGCGCCCUCCCCGGGCGGGACGCUUCUUGCCGGAUCCUCCGCCACCUUCCUGGGCCUUCUCCUUGUCGCGACGCUCGUAUUCAGCUUUCUGUAGUUCUGCCAUUUGCUCAACCUUCUUGCAUGCUUGGAGGUCAUGGCCCUUGGUGCGAUGGAUCUUGCAGUACUGCUUGCCGGAACAAUCCUGCUUGUCGGCGGCCACCACAGCCUCGCCGGAGUCACCAGCUUUGGCCUUGUCGGCGCCGCCUCCGUUGCCGGACUGCUCAACAACUAGCACAUCCUUAGCCUUUCUCUUUCUAUUAUUCCGCCUCCGGUUCUUCUUUGCCGGAGGGACGUCCUCAUUGUCCGAUCCUUCUGCUCCUGCAUUCUCUCCGGGAAGUUUCCUCCCCUCUUCAGCUCGUGCACACUUGUCAGCCAGAGCAUAUAGCUCGCUGACAUCUCUAAUCUUGCACAUCGCCAUCUCCUCCCUCAUCCUGCGGUUACGCACGUUCUGAUGGAAUGCGCUGAUAACCGCGGCAGGGUGGACGUCUGGGAUGUUGCGCUGCACCUGGCUGAAUCUCUGUAUGUACUUGCGCAGGGGUUCUCCUUCUUUCUGGGCGAGCAGAUGAAGAUUGCUCUCCUGACCAUGGGGUUUGUGGCCGCCUGUGAAGGCGCCGACAAACUGAUGGCACAGGUCCGCCCACGAAGAGAUGGAGUUGUCCGGCAAGUGCAUGAGCCAAGAUCUGACGUUGGGCUUGAGCACCAGCGGGAAGUAGUUGGCGAGGAUCUUCUCGUCGCGCCCCCCGGCAGCCUGCACCGCGAUGGUGUAGACGCUGAGGAACUCUGAUGGAUGUAUCCUGCCAUCGUACUUCUCGGGUAUGUCCGGCUUGAAGUUCUUGGUACUGGGCCACUGGACUUGCCGCAGCUCACGGGUGAACGCAGGGUAACCUGCCGCGUACGGCAAGUCGCCUGGUUCCCCUGGCGCAUGCAUAUCGACAGUGGGCCCAGCGCACUGGUCAGAUUAAUGUCGCGCUUCUCUUCUGCGCUCGAUGCGAGUACGAGCGUCUCUGUGUCGUCGUUCUUGGAGAACUUGGCGUUGAUCGCGGCGAGCUCGCGGGUCCGACGACGCGGUGGAGUCGGUGUCGAGGUUGGAACGGCGAGUUGGCGAUCAUGGCCUUCGGGGCGGGGAGUGCACGGUGGUGGCACCCCCAGCGGUCUUGUCGGUGUCGGCUUGCGCCCGGGCGUCUUGCCGGGGCUUUCGAUGUGCUCGGUUGCCGGGGCUUGUCGCCGUUGGCGAAGCCGAUGAGGCUUUGGAUGGUGAUCCUCCAGUCGUCGAUCUUGUCUGGCGCUGGAGGGUAAUCUAGAAGCAGCUGGGCUCGGGCCAGCGCUUCCUCUGGAGUCUUGGGCGGCGGUGGCGAGCGACGCGAGGUGCGGGAUAUGCUCAAACUUCUAACAGUGUUAGAAGGAGCAACAUCUCGCCCAGGCGACCGUACUUCGCUCGUGCCAGCGUGUUGACGUGUAUGUUGGCCUUGAGCGUCCCGCGAUCCGCCGGCUUGGCCUUGUUCCAACACGAGCACGGUGCUAGGAGUACCGUGGCAUUGCCGAUCUUGCACCUCCUGGGAGGGGUACGGUGGAUGUACAGACGCUGAAGCUUGCGGGGCCUUGUCCUCGGACCUGGUGACGAUGUGAGUCCCCCCGUCGGCGCCCGCUCCUCCGCCGGCGUCCACCCCACCACCCGUUUGCUCCGGUGGCGGUAGGAUAGUCGCAAACGGAGUGGCCACCUCCGAAGCCUUCUUCUUCGGUGGCAUGUCGAUGAAGAUGUUGAUGUAGCGCGCAGAUGCCGGAUCAGGUACGCACAACCUCGACGCCCACCUACCUGGCGCGCCAAAGAUGUCGUGGGAAACGAACACCUAUGGGGCAGGGCCCCUUUUCGGUCCAGCAAGGGAGCGGAGGGCGCACGAAGAGCAGAUCGAGGCGGAGCACGCGGGGGAAUUUUACCCAGCUUCGGAGCUCUCCGGAGAGAUAAAACUCCUACUGCUGCUUUGUGUUUCUAUUCUGUUCUUGCUCAAGAGCGUGGGUGUGUUGUAGUUUUGAAUGUGUCGAACCCCUUCUACGUGUGCAUGGGCCUCCUUUUUAUAGUCUAAAGGGGUCAGCGACAGGUGGCAGCGUAGAGAGAGGGGUAAAAAAGUAAAAACGCGGGUUGGUACAACCGCUAUCAACAGUGGCCCCUACCUAACUCUGACGGCAGGGGACAAGGGCAUUUAAUGCCCGUCCGGUCGCCCAAACAGUGCAGGAAGCGACCGUUAGGGGCGCCACCGAUCGCCAUGAUGGCCUCCUAGUCAUCUUCACUUGCCACCUCGCACCGCUUGGCUGCACAGCUACCCGCCACGUGCACCGGGAGCGAUCCUGCGGCGACACGUCGUCGGAUGCGCUGGAGCGUGGGCGCAGAGUUGUGGCUUCGCUGUAGCAAGCGCCUUGCCGCGGUCACUAUCUUGUCGCACCCGCAAGCUUGCCGCUCGCCGGGUCUUGGUUGGCCUUCCCGGCAAGCUCCUCUUGCCGGGGUCUUGUCCUUCCCGGCAAGCUUCUCUUGUCGGGGCUUCGUCUUCACAGUUAACACUUUGUUCUUGAAUGGCAGUAAAUAGGAAUGACGAAGGAUCUUGGCGGACGCCCGGCAAGCCUUGCCGCAGGACGCUGCGACUGCCCGUGCACAAGUUCGGGGUACUAAGGUACCCCUACUUUAGUACACCGACACCUCCAAACUUUAUGUGGCACUGCAAAAUAUUUGUGGCUCUGUCUAAGAUUGCCAAGGAAUUAAAAGGGGAACUUAACAUAUUUUUCCUAAGUAAAUAGUGUGCCCAAAAUAUUCUCUUAACCAUCUCUGUUUUUUUUAAUAAAAAAAGGCGAAUAAGAACUCGCCCGGGCCUCGGCCUACUCCCACUUACCAGCCCACCUAAGCCGGCCCACUCCCCCGCUCCCAUGGCCUAUAGGCCAUGCUCAACCGAACCCUAACCCCGCACGAUCCCCCCACUCCCCACUUCUCUCCCCUCCCGAUCCAAUCUGGAUCGGACCGAAACUGGCGCCCCGACGCCAACCGCCGUCGCUGGAGGCAUCCCCGACUCCACGCUGGGCCACCCCAUCACCUGACCUCCUCCCCGUCGUCGCUCGUCACUCGCUGGACCGCCUCGUCCCCACCAACGCCGCCCCGAGCCCAACGUCCCUGUCGUCGUCGCCGUCGGCAUCGCCCCGAUGUCGCCACCACCCGACGCCGGCGCCCUCGACAUCGCCACCCCGAGCCCACUGCCACCCCUACGCUCCACUGUGAGCCCCUCGCCGAUUCCCCCUCCUUCCUGUCAUCGUAGGUGGCCGCAUGCGCUGUUGGCCACCGUGGCCGCGCUCCGGCCGUUCCCCAUCCGUGUGCUAGCCUCGCCUUCCCCGGCUGCGGCCACCAGCCUCCUCGUCGCGCUCCCGCCUUCGCCCACACCUGCCCCUGUACGCCCAGCCGCUGCUGCUCGCCGGAUCCGCAUGUUCGCCCCCUAGCUUCGUCUCCGGCCGUCGAGUCCGCACCCGAUGCCGGCGCCCCAGCGCGUCCAUGCGCCCGUACGGGCGGGCGCCCACGCCCAUGCCCCUCCGCCCGUUAGCCCGCCCCGCUAAGGCCUGGGCACCUAACCAAGGGGCCCCACGCCCCUGUGUAAUAAAAAAGAUUUAAAAAAAAUAAAUAUAAAUAUAAUUAGUUAAUUAGUUAAUUAAUUGUAUAGUUAAUUAACUAACUUAAUUAACCUUGCUUAGUUAGCCUAAUGAACUAGUUUAGUUAAUUUAAAUCUGUUAGAUAGGUCUAUGAGAGAACGACCCCACAUGUCAGUUUAACCAGUCAACACUCUUUUGACUGCUGACAUCAUGAUGACGUCAGGCUGACAUCAUAAUUCCAAUUUUGAAUUAAUAAUAAUUUCAGAAUAUUAUUAAAACUUUGAAAAAUCAUAGAAAAUAAACCGUAUCUCGGAUGGAAGUUGCUUGGAACGACGAGACAAAUCCGAAUGCGCAGUUCGUUCAUCUGUCACGCGUCCCUAGCAUAGCAAACGUUGAACUUUUCCCCUCCGGUUCAUCUGUCUGAUAGACGUCCGGAACCGGGAAAACUUUCCCGGAUGUUUCCCCCUUCGCCAGUAUCACCUAGCACCUCGUUAGAACACUUCUAGCCCCGCUUAUUGUCUUGUUAUGCAUAUGUUUGCGUGUAUUUACUGUUUCUUCCCCCUCUUCUUCUCCGGUAGACCUCGAGACCGCUGAUGAUGCCCCUGUGAUCGACUACGUCGACGACGACCCUCCUUGUUUGAGCAACCAGGCAAGCCCACCCUUUGAUCAUCCCGAUAUCGCCCAUUCCAUUCUCUCAUGCUUGCACUAGAUUUUGCUACUGUAUUUGACUGCUCCUAUUCUGAUGCAUAGCCUGCUUUUGUACCUGCUAUUGUAACUUACCUGCUUAUCCUAAAUUUCUUAGUACAGGUUGGCUAGUGAUCCAUCAGUGACCCCCACCUUGUCUUUGUUGCCCCUGCUUCAUCAUCGACGACUCGAUCAACGUGAUCGACGACCGGAGCCUGACACCUCACAUCACAUCACGCCCCUUUUUCUUGCUCGACUCUGCAGAGUUACCAUCGAGUGCCGAGGGUGGAACCUCAUACAUCGCUCCUGAUGAGAUCUCUGUAGUGUAGCUAUUCGGUCGUGGUCAUCGAGGGUGGUUCCUCCUUCACCAUUCCUAAUACGGCUCUGUCGUGCAACACCUCAAGUGUGAACCUCGAGGGUGGUUCCUCUUACGUUCACCUUGAUGAUUACAUCAACUGGAAUCCACCGGGGGUGAUUCCUCGGAUUUUCCCCUUGAUGUCUGGACACAUAGUUACCUUGAUACUUGAGACCGUUGUGAAAGCCGGGCGAGCCCGGAGAGCACCCGUGCGAUGUGACGGUGGCGGCUGGCUGUUUAGCGGUAUCACCCGGGAGGGGUGAUAGCUCCGGACUUGUCCCGACAUCCGUCACUUCUUUUAAUAAUGCACUAACACGUUUGUGUAUUUGUUCUGAGUUGGCCUCUGGCCUUUACGCACUAACCACCACGCGAGAAUAGUUAUGGGCCUCGACGUUGCAGUAUCUUUCGAAGCUUUGUCAGACGUCCAGUUCAGCAUUGUGGCCGGGCCGGAUCGUGCCAUCCACUUCACCGGUGGUGCUGGUAUCCCCUUGUGCACAACGACCCGGAGUGCAAUGGGCGAUGGGCCCAGACCCCGGAGUGCUUAGGAUGUAGACCGGCGGGGACCUCUCUACUGAGCCUAGGUAGGGCUGCGACGUGUUGAUCUUCCGAGGCUGGGCAUUGACCCCAGAAAGGUGUGUCCGGCCAGAGUGAUCGAGCGUGUUGGGUAACGUGGUGCGCCCCUGCAGGGAAGAUUAUCUAUUAAUAGCCGUGUCCAUGGUAACGUACCUUCAGACUUAUAUCUUGAUCUUAUACAACUACAAAUGGAUACUUGAGAUAUGUGGCUCCGGGAUUGCUUUCUCGCAGGGAGUCGAGGAAGGAUCUCUGGGCGUUGUUGUUAAAACAUGCUUGUUAAUUAAACUGCUAUUCUUUACUCUUCUACAUGCUGCAAGAUGCUUGGAGCUGCUUGAAGAUGCUAGUCUUUGUUUGGCUAGGCCUUCCCCUCUAUUCUGGCAUUCUGCAAUUCAGUCCACAGAUACAACCCUUCCAUUUGAUACCAAUGCAUACUUAGUAUAGAUCUGAUGCUUGCGAGUACUUUGGAUGUGUACUCGCGGUUGCUUUGCUACCCCUUUUCCCCCUUCUUUCUUCUUUCCGGUUGACGCAACCAUAUGGUGGAUCCUUGGAGCCAGAUGCCACCGCCGAUGGAUGCUAGUACGUGAAGAUCGCCGACGACCAGGAGUAGUUAGGAGGUCCUAGGCAGGAGGCCUUGCCUCUUCGAUCGUUGUUGCUUUUGUGCUAGCCUUCUUAAGGCAUCCUUAUUUAACUUAUGUCUGUACUCAGCUAUUGUUGCUUCCGCUAACUCUUGUGUAUCGAGCUAUGUAUUCGAGCUCUCGAGGCCCCUGGCUUGUAAUAUAAAGCUUGUAUUAUUUUGAUUUGUGUCUAGAGUUGUGUUGUGAUAUCUUCCCGUGAGUCCCUGAUCUUGAUCGUACAUAUUGGCGUGCAUGAUUAGUGUACGAUUGAAUCAGGGGCGUCACACAAGCGGUACUACUGCCCCACCCAGUUUCAGCAUUUCGAGUUUCACCGUUUUGCCCAUAACUUCCACAUCCGGAGUCCGAUUUUUGCAUUUUUUAGCUCGUUGAGUAGCUAUUGACAUCCCCCAUCCAUCUAUAUAGGUUCCAACACCAUUUGACUCCAUCAAAUUUUCCAAAAUUUGGAAAGUUUGCCUAGGCCGUCCACCAUAUCAUCUGCAUAGCCACCACCGACCACCGCAACCUAACCCAUUUUGUUCCCCUUAGCAUUUGAGGUUGUUUGAGUUGUGGCUUGUGUCUCCUAAGGUGUUUCGGCUACUUAGGGAUGGUAACUUCAACUCCAACACGUGUAUAGCCCAUCAUUCCACUUCCGCAUUGCCGAGUGCAAACCACCACCUCUUUCCACUACCACCAUUUGACAUUUACCUUUGUAGAUUUUGAGUUUGCGAUUUUUCCGUUUCCUAGGGUGUUUUGGCUAACUAGGAAUGGGUCGACAUCAGCAACAUCGCCUCUCAUCAUCGCCAAGGACGGUAACCUCGAUGACACCAUUGUAUAUUCCCUUGCCAUUGCAUUGAUAACCCCUAGCCCAUUUUGCGUCACUUGCCUAUCGAGACUAGCCGUUUGAGUAUUGCCGGCAACGUGACUUGUGCACAUUAGUGAUCAUACUUCCCAUAGCAUCAUACCAUAUCAUCGUGGUGCAUAUAUUGGUAGCAUAUCUUGCGUCACAAGUUUGUUGCCGCAUAUACACAAUUGCUAUCUUGGUUUGUGCAUUAUGCAGAAGUGGCCAUACAAAAAAGAGAAAUAAAGCUUUUAAGCAAAAGAAAGAGAGAAAAGAAGCUUGUAAGCAAGUGCCAUAGCAUCAUACCAUAUUGCACAUAAGAUUGUCAUAUCCGAUCAUCUUGGAUCAUCUUGAGAGAACAUCGGGAACCAUACAUACAUAGCAUACUUGGGAUAGAAAGUAUAUCCAUUUGGCAUCUUGUAGGUUGUGCACAAGUGUCCUAUCCGCCUAUUGAGCAAUCGUGCUAGCGUCUCUCUUGAGUUGUGCAACACGAGCGUUUUCUGUGGAUUCCACAUUUUGUGCUCAUUGCUUGGUUGCACGACCCCAUUUAUCUAUCCGUGUGUGUGUUUCCGUGUGUCAUUCUUUGCUAUUGGUCUACUUGUUUCACUUGCAAAUUUGUGAAUCUCUUUCAACAUUAUUGACUCUUGCUAACAUUUUGCAUCAAAUUUUUGUGCCACUAUCCUCACCGAGCUCCACCAUAAGCUUUACUUGAUAGGUGUGAGUGAACAAGUCCGGUACCAAUUCCACUAUUCUUUCAUUUCACAUUGAGUUAAACGGGAUACAUCCUCAACUUUGGGAAAGGUAACUUCCUAUUGUUUAUCUCAUUUCCUACUGGCAUUUCACCUUCGGUCUACAACAACAACGACGAGUUCGAUGCCACGAACAACUCCAACGACGCCAAGAUGCAAGCUCAAAUGGAGGAGAUCAAAGCCCUCAUCAAGUCCUACAAGCAAUCUUCCUCAUCUUCGAGAAGACACUCACGUGCACAUGUUUCCGAGCUACCAUCUCCGGUAAGAUCACAUCAGCAUCGACACCAUCACCAACAAGAACGUGAAGGUCAAGAGCUCAACACCAACUACCGCUCAACGACUUCACCAUCUCCCUUGGCAUCUUCGCCAAGCGACUUCAAGGCAUCUUUGAGUACGGAUAUACGGCAUCUUCGCCAACAAGAACCUCAAGGCUACGCUCAAGAGAAGCUCCCCAAGCUCAAGUCCACGACUUCCAUGAGCUACUACGACCUCGACACCGACCACAAGAUUCCUUUCUAUGGAACUCAAGAACCCGAGGAGUACCUCGAGUGGGAGCGUUUGAUGGACGACUACCUCAAGCUACAUCAAGUCCCUUCCGAAGAUCAAGUGAAGUGCGCCACAAGAAACUUCCACGACUACGCCUCGACAUGGUGGCUUCACACACCUUCGGAGAGCUACGAGAUGAGUUAGCCCAAGACGAAGAGAGCUUUGCAGCGAGAGCUCGUGCCUCCAACCUACAUGGAACAACUUCGACGCCAAUUGGAGAACACCAUCCAAGGAUCCAAGUCCAUCGACGCGUACUUCAAGGAGAUGAAGAAUGCCUUGCGACGAGACGGCGUGGAUGACCCCAUUUCGAUGAAGUUCCACUUCAUGAUGCGAUUGAACAACGACAUCUCCAAGACUAUCUUCCUCGAGAACUACAAGUCCCUGGACAACUACUACAUUGGUGCUCUCAAGGCGGAACAAGAACUCAUGAAAGCCAAGGCUUCUCCACCCCAAGCACACUUCGCGGCGACCAAGCUGUACGACAAGCAUGAGGCUAGUACCACCAUGAUGUCCAAGCCCGACGAGCUCCAAGACAAUGCUCCCAAGUUCGACUUCACCGCCAUCCCUCUUUGUGGCAUUGAUGACGCCGAGUCUACCUUGACUCUUUUUCAAGACGGUGCGGCGACGAGUACGACUACGGAGACCUUCAAGGACCAAGCUUUGGAGGCGAGCGACAAGGUGGCGAGCAAGGAUGGUGUUUCCAUCUUUGGAGGCGAGAGUGAUGAUGUGCCAUCUUCGUCCUUCAUCCACGGCGACGAUGACGAGAUGAUCGAGCAUGGGAUUUUCCCUUCGGUCAUGGAGGAGAGUGAUGAUGUGCCAUCUUCGGCCUUCAUCCACGGAGACGACGACGAGAUGGUUGAGCAUGGGAUUCUCCCUUCGACCACGGUGACGUAUGAUGACUUGAGUGACUUUUGCCACCAUAUUGAGAGUGAGAGUGACUUCACCACUAGCCCCAUAUAUGACGAGUUGCCCCAAUUCCUAUGUGAGGAGAGCCACAACCCCCACCACUUGAGUGAGAUGAGUGACUCCACCAUAUGCGACUUUGAGUGCACCUAUUUUGAGGGAGUGAGUGAACCACCACAUAGAGAGAGUGUGAUAGUUGAUAGGUCUCGUGAGGCCAUUUGCAUUUCUAACAACUUGACCUCUACCUCUAUUGUGUCUUCUCAUUUGGUGCUAGGUCCCAUUUAUGAUGACGCGCCGAUCCUCGACGACUUCGUCCUCCCUUUGGACAAGACGAUGGCCAUGGUGGAAUAUGAUGCACCCCCCACAUGGUUCCAUCAAGAUGAAGAUGACCACCAUUUGGUCUUUCCCACCUCACCUACACCACUUGAGUGGAAUGAAAAAGGUAACAUAGGUGAAGGUGAUGCUCUAGUCCCACUAGUGGACAUUCUUGACAUUGAUUGCUUGCAUGAUGUUGAUCCACCUAGUACCAUGCUUCAUGCUAGUAUGAUUUCCCCAUGUGAUGAUUUGGCCAUUUAUGAUGAGUAUGAUGAUUCUCAUGUGGAGUCUCUUAGUUGUGAUGUCAUGUUACAUAGGAUUUCUUGUGACAAUUCUUUAGGUCACAUCAUGUUUGAUAAUCCGCUUGACUUGUCGUAUGCUAUGCAUGACAUUCACCAUAUGUCAUAUUUGCAAUCUCAUUGUAGUGACUAUGCAUAUGCCAUUCAAAUUAACCCAAUUUGCACUUAUGGCAUAGAUGACAAGCCCAUGGUUAUUGGGAUUUGUUUUUCUUGUGAUGAUAUUGAUAUGGUCCCUUUGCAUCAUUUAUCUCAUAUGCCAUGUCAUGCCCACCUAGCUUCGGAUAUGCAUUGUUUUGGAUGUUGUCCAUUUUCUCCAUAUGAUGUUUCCAAUCUUGCUCAUGAGGAGACCCCCAUAGUUCCCUCAUACAUGUUAGGAGAUUUUGAUCCAUCCCAUCCAUUGCAUGAUCCCAACAAUUGUGUGCACCAUAUGCUCCCCAUGAAUAAACAUGCUAUUGAUGUGCCAUAUACUUGCAUUCUCAAUUUGUGUCCCCAUCGUGUCAUACAUAAUAACUAUUCUUUCAUGAUGGAUGACAUGUUCUUAUACCAUGCAUCAAAUUUCGUUGAGCGAUGCUUAUCUUGUGCUAACUCACACGUGCACAUACACAUCAUGAUGGAUGAUGUGUACAUUUACCACACACACAAUUUAUUUGGUUUGUGUCUCUUUUGUGUAGGUACCCAGGAAUACUUGUCAACCUCGCAAUCCCACGAGUUGACAAAACGAGCUCUAGAGAGCAACGAUGAUUUGGGAUCCCAUGGAUUGUCUUUCCCACCGCUCUCUUCGCGCAAAGACUUAGCGCAUUUCUUCUACAUGGCCCUCACUUGGCUAUGGGUUGUUUUCCAUUACAUAUUAUAUGCCCAUCUUGCCAUGUUCACUUUGCAUGAUAUGCCCAUUCCCAUGCAUUUGUGACCCAUACUUUGCUUUACACAUGAUGAUUGACUCUCAUACUUUUAUGUGUAUUUGCAAGCUUGGUGGAGAUAUUGCUUGUUGUUUCCCUAUUCCAUUUUUGACCCACCCCUAUGAUGAUACUAUGAUCUUGCUUUGUGUUCGUGCUUGUGAUAUGUCAUGUGCAUUGUCUAUCCCUAUUAUUUGCUCACAUGACAUGAUUGCCAUGAUUUACUCUGGUGUGUUGCAUCUUCGCUCCACUAGUUUGCACCACAUGAUUGAUAUGCUUGCUUGUAUUGCAUCCCCCAUGAUUCAUACUUGCUCAUUUCAUGCGAUUGAUGACAACCAUUUCCAUACUUUGCACGUGAUUGCUAUAGCUUCUUGUCACAUAUCUACAUAUGUUGCCUCUCUCAUGCUAGAUCACUUGCCAUGUAUUUAGUGCAACAAUGCUCUUAUUCUUGCUCAUGAGAUUGCCCCCAUAGCAUUCUCACAUAUGAUUGGAGUUGACAUAAUUCUUGUGAAGCAUGCUUGCCUUCCUUCUUUGCACCAUAUGCCUAGUGCCAUGAAUAUUGCCAUUGUUGCAUCAUAUUGUUCAUGCACUUGUGCUACUAAAGGUUAUGUGCAAGAGAUGAGAACCAUCAUGAUGGAUGAUGUGUUUCUCUACCAUGCGCAUAUACUCUUUGUUUUGUUGUGUGCAUGUGUAGGAUACUUGGACUUCGUCUCGACUUCCACUUCAUGUGAGUUGACCAUUCAAGCUCUUAAGAGCGAGCCUCACACAUUCUACCACUACUCGCUUCUACACCGCAUUUGCUUGCGCUUCGGCAUUGUGAAGAAUGCACAAGGACAUGCCUUCAAGGUGACAUCUUUCUUGAGCAUGGAUAUUGCGGAUCAUACUACUUGUGUAGCUUGCACUGUGAGACUUAUUGGUCAUCUUGGACCACUUGAUUGCGCACUUGCUAGAGAUCUUGCUUUGACUUGCCAUUUUCACAUUCCCAUGCAUCAUGAUAUAUAUGCCUUGUGUGUUGCAUCCAAUUCUUGGAUUACUAUCACAACCUAGCUAGUCCAUGCAUUAGAGUGUUGCAUCAUGUCUACCUUUUAUCAGAAACUUGAAUUGGGGAAGACAGAACCCCCCAGAACCCCUCUGAAUUCAACUAGUGCUUACUAAAAAUAUUUUCAAUGAACCUGAAAUGCCCUUCUAAAAAGUUCACCCUCUUUGUCUUGGGUUAGAACCUCUGGCAAAAUUGGUGCACAAUUUUCUAGGUCAACAAAAGGCCAUUGAAUUAAAUCAUAUCUACUUUGAGUUUGGGCAUUUAAACUAUAUAAAAUAUUUCAAAUGCUCAAAUAACUCCAAACUAAAAUGUUCCAUACUGGAUAUAUUCCAACUAGGGACCAUGUGCAGUUUGGUGAUUUUUGGAGUUGCCUAAGUAUUUUUAGAAAUGCAACAAACUUACAGAAACAAUUAAAAACAGAAACAAAUGGGAAAAACCCUUACCUGGCCGAACCAAGCCCCAGCCCAGCUGGCCGGCCCAGCACUGUGCUGGCCCAUGCCAGCCAGCUGCUUCGCCGUCGCCACGCAGGCACAGAGCUGACGCCGGCAAGCGUGAGCUCGCAACGGCGCCAGCUGCUUGCCGCCCGCGCCCCCGAGCACCUGGGUGAGCUCCACGUCGCCGCCCCGACCCCGUGGACACCUCAUUCGCCCCCUGCCUCUCUCCCUCGCUCUCCCGCACCAUGGCCGACGCACCCGCCGCCGCACCCCCGACGUAGUCGCGCCCUCCGUCGUCCUCGUGCUGCACCACCGUGUCCCUUCGCUCCGCCGUCAUCGACUACAUCGAGUAGGCCGAGCCCCGAGCGCUCGCUGGCCCUGUUUCAUCUUCUUCGAGCUCGUCUUCACCGAGCACCGCCACAGAUCCCCUUCGCCGUCGCCGCCGUACCAGCUCGUCCCCGACCUUGCCGACCACUCCGUUGUGACCGCCGUGAGCUCAGCCACCUCCCCAUCCUCCCCGUUUGCCUUCUCGUGCACCGUAGCAACCGCAUGGAGCUUCAUCGCACGCACCACCGACGAGCUCGUCGCCGACGUGCCUCCGGCCAUCCACCGUCCACACCACGGUGUCUAACAUGCUCACCGCAUCGUGUAGAGUCUAACGCCCCACUCCACGCGCCUCGCCGUGCCCCGUAGCCAUGGGUCCAUUUUCAUCCGACUCCGGCGACCGCCGUGGUCGUCGCCGGCGACGUUCCUGGCCACCUCGACCUCAACCACCACCACCAAACGCCGCGACUUGUUCCCGGCUACACGUAGAUGGUCUCCGUCGUCCAUUUGGUCGCCAGAACAUGCUAACCCACUUCCUCCGCCGCGUCUGGCCUCGCCGGCGGCUAGACACCGGCAUGUUUGACCCGUUGACAUUCACUGGGUGGGCCAGGUUGACUCCCCUGAGUCUAUGACAAGUGCCCCCCCCUCUGCUAAUUAACCUAGUUUAGCUCUUACUAAAAUCAGUUAGUUUAAAUAAGUGCUGACAUGCGGGACCCACUGGUCAGUUUGACCUGAACGACCCCUUUGACCACUGACGUCACCCUGAUGCACUGCUGACGCAAUAACCAAUUUCUGGAUUUAUUGUUAUAUAGGAAAUUCCAGAAAUUGUUGCAAACUUCAAAAAUUCAUAGAAAUUAAUCUGUAACUCCAAAUGCAAAGAUUUAUAUAUGAAUUUUGAUCAGAAAAAUUCAAUCUAUCCAUUGGUAAUGGUUUCAUGCAUGUCAGAACAAGUUAACCUUGCUGUUUAAUCAAAACAAGUUAAUGCACUAAUAUGACUAUGUUAAAUGAACUACCAUUUGCAUCUUUGAUUCAAAUGAGUUCAUACCUUUCUGUUCUAGCUUGCAUUAGGCCAGGACACAUUCAUGUUGCCAUGUCAUAGCAUGCAUCAUAUUGUUGUAUAUCGUCAUGUGUUGUUCAUGUUCGGUGUGUUUUCGUGAUAGGUUCUGCCUCCGAGGAUAACCCCGAAUAUCCGUCUGAAGGGCUGUAUCCUACUACCACUACAUCAGGCAAGCAACCCAUUGAUCAUUCCGAUACAAACCCAUGUUCUUGCCUCUGCUCUUGUUUACUGCAUUAAGACAAUGCGAUUCAAACUUUUGUGUGUUGUGGUAGUUGAACCCACUUCCUUUGCAUGACCUGUCAUUGCCACAGUAACUAGAUGAAACUCAGUAGCAUGUGUAGGAGUUGAUUGAGCCAUAUCUGUGUUACCUACCAUGCUAUGCUUGCUAUGCUUAGAGUUGUGUCAGGUCUGGCUCAUUGGGAUGAUGAACUAGAGUGAAAGGUUGUGUCGGUAAUGAAGUGUUGAACACGAUUUGGUAAAGGUAUCGAUGAGAGGCCAUGUAGGAGUACAUGGUGGGUUGUUUCAUUGAGGCCGUCCUUAAGCACUGAGAUCUGUGUGUGUGAUUUAAGAUUCAGCUACUACCACGCAUUGGGCCCGAAACCAAUGGACCCUCUCGACUUAUUAACCACUCUUGUCCUCUGUCCGGGAGUUGCAAGUAGUUUUUGGUGUUUGUAGCAUGAUGGGGGCCGCACGCAGUGCUGACCUUAGGGGUGGGUUGGGUUGCGGUAGGCAUGUGGCACGGUGUAUCGAUUCGCCCGUUUGGUGUCUCGGGAACCAUGUUCACAUCAUUCGGGGCCGUUAGUGGAAACCUCGGCCGGACUCCCUGCGGAUGGAACCCGAAUAGGCGAUAAACCUGGACUAGGGACUCGUGUGUUUAGUCAGGCCGUGGCCGACACCCUCGCUGGGCUUCCGCUUGAGGCUUGCCGAGUACACGUCAUGUAGCGGUGAUAAGUGGUGAGAGCGUGUGUGAAGAAGUACACCCCUGCAGGGUAUAAAACUAUUCGAAUAGCCGCGUCCGCGGUAAAGGACUACUUGGUCACCUAUGCAGUUCAUAGACAAGUAAAUGGAUACUUCUAAAAGCCUCAAGUUAAGUGUGAGUACCGAGGAUGGCCCUCUCGUAGGUUGACAAGAGAGGAUCCUCGGUGGAGUAUUGUGUUGGUGAGUAGUGGACUCGUGUGCGACAAAUGUUUUGCAAGUUGUGUCUAUCGUAGAAUAGCUUAGCCAAGAGUCAAAGCUGGCUUGCUGCAAUAACUCCACUACCUUCUUGAGAAUGUGCAUGUAUGAUAGGAUUCUGUUGUAAGACUUGCUGAGUACCUCUGUACUCAUGUUUGCUUAAAUGUUUUCAGACGACAACACCAACCCCUCCGAUGGGUUCUACGUAGACCUCGACGUUGACGAGUGACUAACCACCCAAGUGGUGAUCCGAGACUUGUGAAGGGCCGAUGUAGAUAGAAAGGCUUCGUCAAGCCCUCUUUCUUUCUAGUGUCUGUACUCAGACUAGUUGCUUCCGCAUGUGCUUGUAUGCUUGUAUGACUUGAGUCUCAGGUCAUGUGACCCCUAUCUGUAUGAACAUGUUAUGUAUGGCUCCUUGGAGCCACUUAAAUAAAGUACUUUGAGUUGUAGAGUUUUGUUGUGAUGCCAUGUUGUAUGUACUCAUAUCGGGCAUAUUGUGUGUAUGUUUGAAAUGCUUGGUAUGAGUGGGAUCCGACAAUCUAGUUGUUUAUCCUUGGCAGCCUCUCAUAUGGGGAAAUGUAGUCUAGUGCUUCCUGAGCGAUAGUAGUCCGCUACAGCCCGGUUCACCGGAGUCCUGCUAGCCCAGUACUACAGCUCUGGACACUUGACUGGACAGCAUGUGUUUCACUUCGUUCCUGUGUCUGUCCCUUUGCGGAAAUGUCACGCGGUGGCAUUCGGAGUCCUGCCUAGCCUGCUACAGCCCGGGUUACUGUUGGGAAACGUAGUAAUUUCAAAAUUUUCCUACGCACACACAAGAUCAUGGUGAUGGCAUAGCAACGAGAGGGGAGAGUGUUCGUCCACGUACCCUCGUAGACCGUAAGCGGAAGCGUUAGCACAACGCGGUUGAUGUAGUCGUACGUCUUCACGAUCCGACUAAUCCAAGCACUGAACGUACGUGGCCUCCGAGUUCAGCACACGUUCAGCUCGAUGAUGAUCUCCGGCCUCCAAUCCAGCGAAGCUCCGGAGAUGAGUUCCGUCAGCACGACAGCAUGGUGACGAUGAUGAUGUUCUACCUGCGCAGGGCUUCGCCUAAAAUCCGCGACGAUAUGACUGAGGUGGAAUAUGGUGGAGGGGGGCACCGCACACGGCUAAGGAACGAUCCAUAGAUCAACUUGUGUGUCUAUGGGGUGCCCCCCCCCCCCCGCCCCUGUAUAUAAAGGAGAAAGGGGGAGGCCGGCCGGCCCCUUGGGCGCGCCAAGGGAGGAGGAAUNNNNNNNNNNNNNNNNNNNNNNNNNNNNNNNNNNNNNNNNNNNNNNNNNNNNNNNNNNNNNNNNNNNNNNNNNNNNNNNNNNNNNNNNNNNNNNNNNNNNNNNNNNNNNNNNNNNNNNNNNNNNNNNNNNNNNNNNNNNNNNNNNNNNNNNNNNNNNNNNNNNNNNNNNNNNNNNNNNNNNNNNNNNNNNNNNNNNNNNNNNNNNNNNNNNNNNNNNNNNNNNNNNNNNNNNNNNNNNNNNNNNNNNNNNNNNNNNNNNNNNNNNNNNNNNNNNNNNNNNNNNNNNNNNNNNNNNNNNNNNNNNNNNNNNNNNNNNNNNNNNNNNNNNNNNNNNNNNNNNNNNNNNNNNNNNNNNNNNUCCGGUUUUCUCCGAAAUCACCCGGAACAAUUUCGGUGUCCGAAUAUAGUCGUCCAAUAUAUCAAUCUUUAUGACUCGACCAUUUCGAGAUUCCUCGUCAUGUCCGUGAUGACAUCCGGGACUCCGAACAAACUUCGGUACAUCAAAACUUAUAAACUCAUAAUAAAACUGUCAUCGUAACGUUAAGCGUGCGGACCCUACGGGUUCGAGAACUAUGUAGACAUGACCUAGAACCAUUCUUGGUCAAUAACCAAUAGCGGGACCUAGAUGCCCAUAUUGGUUCCUACAUAUUCUACGAAGAUCUUUAUCGGUCAAACCGCAUAACAACAUACGUUGUUCCCUUUGUCAUCGAUAUGUUACUUGCCCGAGAUUUGAUCGUCGGUAUCCAAUACCUAGUGCAAUCUCGUUACUGGCAAGUCUCUUUACUCGUUCCGUAAUACAUCAUCUCAUAACUAACUUAUUAGUUACAAUGCUUGCAAGGCUUAGGUGAUGAGUAUUACCAAGAGGACCCAGAGAUACCUCUCCGACAAUCGGAGUGACAAAACCUAAUCCCGAAUUAUGCCAACUCAACAUGUACCUUCGGAAACACCUAUAGAGCACCUUUAUAAUCACCCAGUUACGUUGUGACGUUUGGUAGCACACAAAGUGUUCUUCCGGUAAACGGGAGUUGCACAAUCUCAUAGUUGCAGGAACUUGUAUAAGUCAUGAAGAAAGCAAUAGCAGUAUACUAAACGAUCAAGUGCUAGGCUAACGGAAUGGGUCAUGUCAAUCACAUCAUUCUCCUAAUGAUGUGAUCCCGUCAAUCAAAUGACAACUCUUUUGUCCAUGGUUAGGAAACAUAACCAUCUUUGAUAAACGAGCUAGUCAAGUAGAGGCAUACUAGUGACACUAUGUUUGUCUAUGUAUUCACACAUGUAUCAUGUUUCCGGUUAAUAUAAUUCUAGCAUGAAUAAUAAACAUUUAUCAUGAUAUGAGGAAAUAAAUAAUAACUUUAUUAUUGCCUCUAUGGCAUAUUUCCUUCAGUCUCCCACUUGCACUAGAGUCAAUAAUCUAGAUUACAUGGUAAUGAUUUUGACACCCAUGGAGUCUUGGUGCUGAUCAUGUUUUGCUCGUGAGAGAGGCUUAGUCAACGGGUCUGCAACAUUCAGAUCCGUAUGUAUCUUGCAAAUCUCUAUGUCUCCCACUUGGACUUGGUCCCGAAUGGAAUUGAAGCGUCUCUUGAUGUGUUUGGUCCUCUUGUGAAAUUUGGAUUCCUUUGCCAAGGCAAUUGCACCAGUAUUGUCACAGAAGAUGUUCAUUGGUCCCGAUGCACUAGGUAUGACACCUAGAUCGGAAAUGAGAUCCUUCAUCCAGACUCCUUCAUUUGCUGCUUCUGAAGCAGCUAUGUACUCCGCUUCACAUGUAGAUCCCGCCACGAUGCUUUGUUUAGAACUGCACCAACUUACAGCUCCACCGUUUAAUAAAAACACGUAUCUGGUUUGCGAUUUAGAAUCGUCCGGAUCAGUGUCAAAGCUUGCAUCGACGUAACCGUUUACGACUAGCUCUUUGUCACCUCCAUAUAUGAGAAACAUAUCCUUAGUCCUUUUCAGGUAUUUCAGGAUGUUCUUGACCGCUGUCCAGUGAUCCACUCCUGGAUUACUUUGGUACCUUCCUGCCAAGCUUAUUGCUAAGCAUACGUCAGGCCUGGUACACAGCAUUGCAUACAUGAUAGAGCCUAUGGCUGAAGCAUAGGGAACAUUUUUCAUUUUCUCUCUAUCUUCUGCUGUGGUCGGGCAUUGAGUUUGACUCAACUUCACACCUUGUAGCACAGGUAAGAAUCCUUUCUUUGCCUGAUCCAUUUUGAACUUUUUCAAAAAAAAUUCAAGGUAUGUGCUUUGUGAAAGUCCUAUUAAGCGUCUUGAUCUAUCUCUAUAGAUCUUGAUGAGUAAUAUGUAAGCAGCUUCACCGAGGUCUUUCAUUGAAAAACUUUUAUUCAAGUAUCCCUUUAUGCUAUGCAGAAAUUCUAUAUCAUUUCCAAUUAAUAAUAUGGCAUCUACAUAUAAAAUUAGAAAUGCUACAGAGCUCCCACUCACUUUCUUGUAAAUACAGGCUUCUCCAAAUGUCUGUAUAAAACCAUAUGCUUUGAUCACACUAUCAAAGCGUUUAUUCCAACUCCGAAAUGCUUGCACCAGUCCAUAAAUGGAACGCUGGAGCUUGCAUACUUUGUCAGCACCUUUUGGAUCAACAAAACCUUCCGGCUGCAUCAUAUACAACUCUUCUUCUAGAAAUCCAUUCAAGAAUGCAGUCUUGACAUCCAUAUGCCAAAUUUCAUAAUCAUGAAAUGCAGCAAUAGCUAACAUGAUUCGGACAGACUUAAGCAUCGCUACGGGUGAGAAAGUCUCAUCGUAGUCAACCCCUUGAACUUGUCGAAAACCUUUUGCAACAAGUCGAGCUUUAUAGACAGUUACAUUACCAUCAGCGUCAGUCUUCUUCUUAAAGAUCCAUUUAUUCUCAAUGGCUUGCCAAUCAUCGGGCAAGUCAACCAAAGUCCAUACUUUGUUUUCAUACAUGGAUCCCAUCUCAGAUUUCAUGGCUUCUAGCCAUUUUGCGGAAUCUGGGCUCAUCAUCGCUUCCUCAUAGUUCGUAGGUUCACCAUGGUCAAGUAACAUGACUUCCAGAAUAGGAUUACCAUACAACUCUAGUGCGGAUCUUACUCUGGUAGACCUACGAGGUUCAGUAGAAACUUGAACUCCUCACUAAUUGGUGUAGUUGUCACAGGAACCGGUUCUCGUGAUGAACUACUUUCCAAUAAGGGAGUAGAUACAGUUAUCUCAUCAAGUUCUACUUUCCUCCCACUCACUUCUUUCGAGAGAAACUCCUUCUCUAGAAAGGAUCCAUUCUUAGCAACGAAUGUCUUGCCUUCAGAUCUGUGAUAGAAGGUGUACCCAACAGUCUCUUUUGGGUAUCCUAUGAAAACACAUUUCUCCGAUUUGGGUUCGAGCUUAUCUGGUUGAAGUUUCUUCACAUAAGCAUCGCAGCCCCAAACUUUAAGAAACGACAACUUUGGUUUCUUGCCAAACCACAGUUCAUAAGGCGUCGUCUCAACGGAUUUUGAUGGUGCCCUAUUUAACGUGAAUGCGGCCGUCUCUAAAGCAUAACCCCAAAACGAUAGCAGUAAAUCAGUAAGAGACAUCAUAGAUCGCACCAUAUCAAGUAAAGUACGAUUAUGACGUUCGGACACACCAUUUCGUUGUGGUGUUCCGGGUGGCGUGAGUUGCGAAACUAUUCCACAUUGUUUCAAGUGUAGGCCAAACUCGUAACUCAAAUAUUCUCCUCCACGAUCAGAUCGUAGAAACUUUAUUUUCUUGUUACGAUGAUUUUCCACUUCACUCUGAAAUUCUUUGAACUUUUCAAAUGUUUCAGACUUGUGUUUCAUCAAGUAGAUAUACCCAUAUCUGCUCAAAUCAUCUGUGAAGGUGAGAAAAUAACGAUACCCGCCGCGAGCCUCAACAUUCAUUGGGCCACAAACAUCAGUAUGUAUGAUUUCCAACAAAUUAGUUGCUCGCUCCAUAGUUCCGGAGAAUGGCGUUUUAGUCAUCUUGCCCAUAAGGCACAGUUCGCAAGUACCAAGUGAUUCAUAAUCAAGUGAUUCCAAAAGUCCAUCAGUAUGGAGUUUCUUCAUGCGUUUUACACCGAUAUGACCCAAAAGGCAGUGCCACAAGUAAGUUGCACUAUCGUUAUCAACUCUGCAUCUUUUGGUUUCAACACUAUGAACAUGUGUAUCACUACUAUCGAGAUUUAAUAAAAAUAAACCACUCUUCAAGGGUGCAUGACCAUAAAAGAUAUUACUCAUAUAAAUAGAACAACCAUUAUUCUUUGAUUUAAAUGAAUAACCGUCUCGCAUCAAACAAGAUCCAGAUAUAAUGUUCAUGCUUAACGCUGGCACCAAAUAACAAUUAUUCAGGUCUAAAACUAAUCCCGAAGGUAGAUGUAGAGGUAGCGUGCCGACCGCGAUCACAUCGACUUUGGAACCGUUUCCCACGCGCAUCGUCACCUCGUCCUUGGCCAGUGCUCGCUUAUUCCGUAGUCCCUAUUUCGAGUUGCAAAUAUUAGCAACAGAACCAGUAUCAAAUUCCCAGGUGCUACUACGAGCUCUAGUUAGGUACACAUCAAUAACAUGUAUAUCACAUGUAGCUUUGUUUACUUUGCCAUCCUUCUUAUCCGCCAAAUACUUGGGGCAGUUCCGCUUCCAGUGACCAGUCUGCUUGCAGUAGAAGCACUCAGUUUCAGGCUUAGGUCCAGACUUGGGUUUCUUCUCUUGAGCAGCAACUUGCUUGCUGUUCUUCUUGAAGUUCCCCUUCUUCUUCCCUUUGCCCUUUUUCUUGAAACUAGUGGUCUUGUUGACCAUCAACACUUGAUGCUCCUUCUUGAUUUCUACCUCCGCAGCUUUUAGCAUUGCGAAGAGCUCGGGAAUAGUCUUGUUCAUCCCUUGCAUAUUAUAGUUCAUCACAAAGCUCUUGUAUCUUGGUGGCAGUGAUUGGAGAACUCUGUCAAUGACGCUAUCAUCCGGAAGAUUAACUCCCAGUUGAAUCAAGUGAUUAUUAUACCCAGACAUUUUGAGUAUAUGCUCACUGACAGAACUAUUCUCCUCCAUCUUGCAGCUGUAGAACUUAUUGGAGACUUCAUAUCUCUCAAUCCGGGCAUUUGCUUGAAAUAUUAACUUCAACUCCUGGAACAUCUCAUAUGCUCCAUGACGUUCAAAACGUCGUUGAAGGCCCGGUUCUAAGCCGUAAAGCAUGGCACACUGAACUAUAGAGUAGUCAUCAGCUUUGCUCUGCCAGACGUUCUUAACGUCGUCAGUUGCAUCAGCAGCAAGCCUGGCACCCAGCGGUGCUUCCAGGACGUAACUUUUCUGUGCAGCAAUGAGGAUAAUCCUCAGGUUACGGACCCAGUCCGUGUAAUUGCUACCAUCAUCUUUCAACUUUUCUUUCUCAAGGAACGCAUUAAAAUUCAACGGAACAACAGCACGAGCCAUCUAUCUACAAACAAACAUAGACAAGCAAAAUACUAUCAGGUACUAAGUUCAUGAUAAAUUUUAAGUUCAAUUAAUCAUAUUACUUAAGAACUCCCACUUAGACAGACAUCUCUCUAGUCAUCUAAGUGAUUACGUGAUCCAAAUCAACUAAACCAUAACCGAUCAUCAUGUGAGAUGGAGUAGUUUUCACUGGUGAACAUCACUAUGUUGAUCAUAUCUACUAUAUGAUUCAUGCUCGACCUUUCGGUCUCCGUGUUCCGAGGCCAUAUCUGCAUAUGCUAGGCUCGUCAAGUUUAACCUGAGUAUUCUGCGUGUGCAAAACUGGCUUGUACCCGUUGUAGAUGGACGUAGAGCUUAUCACACCCUAUCAUCACGUGGUGUCUGGGCACGACAAACUUUGGCAAUGGUGCAUACUCAGGGAGAACACUUCUUGAUAAUUUUUGUGAGAGAUCAUCUUAAAAUGCUACCGUCAAUCAAAGCAAGAUAAGAUGCAUAAAGGAUAAACAUCACAUGCAAUCAAUAUAAGUGAUAUGAUAUGGCCCUCAUCAUCUUGUGCUUGUGAUCUCCAUCUUUGAAGCACCAUCGUGAUCACCAUCGUCACCGGCGCGACACCUUGAUCUCCAUCGUAGCAUCGUUGUCGUUACGCCAUCUAUUGCUUCUACGACUAUCUAUACCGCUUAGUGAUAAAGUAAAGCAAUUACAGGGUGUUUGCAUUUCAUACAAUAAAGCGACAACCAUAUGGCUCCUGCCAGUUGCCGAUAACUUCGGUUACAAAACAUGAUCAUCUCAUACAAUAAAAUAUAUCAUCACGUCUUGACCAUAUCACAUCACAACAUGCCCUGAAAAACAAGUUAGACGUCCUCUACUUUGUUGUUGCAAGUUUUACGUGGCUGCUAUGGGCUUAGCAAGAACUGUUCUUACCUACGCAUCAAAACCACAACGAUAGUUCGUCAAGUUGGUGCUGUUUUAACCUUCGCAAGGACCGGGCGUAGCCACACUCGAUUCAGCUAAAGUGAGAGAGACAGACACCCGCCAGCCACCUUUAAGCACGAGUGCUCGUAACGGUGAAACCAGUCUCACGUAAGCGUACGCGUAAUGUCGGUCCGGGCCGCUUCAUCUCACAAUACCGCCGAACCAAAGUAUGAAAUGCUGGUAAGCAGUAUGACUUGUAUCGCCCACAACUCACUUGUGUUCUACUCGUGCAUAUAACAUCAACGCAUAAAACCUAGGCUCGGAUGCCACUGUUGGGAAACGUAGUAAUUUCAAAAUUUUCCUACGCACACGCAAGAUCAUGGUGAUGGCAUAGCAACGAGAGAGGAGAGUGUUCGUCCAUGUACCCUCGUAGACCGUAAGCGGAAGCGUUAGCACAACGCGGUUGAUGUAGUUGUACGUCUUCACGAUCCGACCGAUCCAAGCACCGAACGUACGGGGCCUCCGAGUUCAGCACACGUUCAGCUCGAUGACGAUCUCCGGCCUCCGAUCCAGUGAAGCUCCGGAGAUGAGUUCCGUCAGCACGACGGCGUGGUGACGAUGAUGAUGUUCUACCGGCACAGGGCUUCGCCUAAACUCCGCGACAAUAUGACCGAGGUGGAAUAUGGUGGAGGGGGGGCACCGCACACGGCUAAGGAACGAUCCGUAGAUCAACUUGUGUGUCUAUGGGGUGCCCCCCGCCCCUGUAUAUAAAGGAGCAAGGGGGAGAGGCCGGCCGGCCCCUUGGGCGCGCCAAGGGAGGAGGAAUCCUCCUCCUAGUAGGAGUAGGACUCCUCCUUUCCUACUCCUACUAGGAGGGGGAAGGAAGGAGGAGAGGGGGAAGGAAAGGGGGGGCGCCGCCCCCCUCGUAGUCCAAUUCGGACCAGAGGGGGGGAGGGGGCGUGCGGCCCAUGCUGGCCGCCCCUCUCUCCUUUCCCCUAAGGCCCAUAAGGCCCAAUACUCUCCCGGGGGGUUCCGGUAACCCCCGGCACUCCGGUUUUCUCCGAAAUCACCCGGAACAAUUCCGGUGUCCGAAUAUAGUCGUCCAAUAUAUCAAUCUUUAUGUCUCGACCAUUUCGAGAUUCCUCGUCAUGUCCGUGAUGACAUCCGGGACUCCGAACAAACUUCGGUACAUCAAAAGAUAUAAACUCAUAAUAAAACUGUCAUCGUAACGUUAAGCGUGCGGACCCUACAGGUUCGAGAACUAUGUAGACAUGACCUAGAACCAUUCUCGGUCAAUAACCAAUAGCGGGACCUGGAUGCCCAUAUUGGUUCCUACAUAUUCUACGAAGAUCUUUAUCGGUCAAACCGCAUAACAACAUACGUUGUUCCCUUUGUCAUGGGUACGUUACUUGCCCGAGAUUUGAUCGUCGGUAUCCAAUACCUAGUUCAAUCUCGUUACUGGCAAGUCUCUUUACUCGUUCCGUAAUAUAUCAUCUCAUAACUAACUUAUUAGUUACAAUGCUUGCAAGGCUUAGGUGAUGAGUAUUACCGAGAGGGCCCAGAGAUACCUCUCCGACAAUCGGAGUGACAAAACCUAAUCUCGAAUUAUGCCAACUCAACAUGUACCUUCGGAAACACCUGUAGAGCACCUUUAUAAUCACCCAGUUACGUUGUGACGUUUGGUAGCACACAAAGUGUUCUUCCGGUAAACGGGAGUUGCACAAUCUCAUAGUUGCAGGAACUUGUAUAAGUCAUGAAGAAAGCAAUAGCAGUAUACUAAACGAUCAAGUGCUAGGCUAACGGAAUGGGUCAUGUCAAUCACAUCAUUCUCCUAAUGAUGUGAUCCCGUCAAUCAAAUGACAACUCUUUUGUCCAUGGUUAGGAAACAUAACCAUCUUUGAUAAACGAGCUAGUCAAGUAGAGGCAUACUACUGACACUAUGUUUGUCUAUGUAUUCACACAUGUAUCAUGUUUCCGGUUAAUAUAAUUCUAGCAUGAAUAAUAAACAUUUAUCAUGAUAUGAGGAAAUAAAUAAUAACUUUAUUAUUGCCUCUAGGGCAUAUUUCCUUCAGUUACCGGAGUCCUGUUAGCCCAGUGUUACAGCCCGGAUGUAUACGUUGAUGACCGACAUGCUCGAUGUGACUCAUGUAUGCCUGUCCCCAUAGGUUAGCGCCGCUUUGGGUUCAUGACUAGCCAUGUCAGCCCGGGUUCUCUGUCAUAUGGAUGCUAGCGACACUAUCAUAUACGUGAGCCAAAAGGCGCAAACAGUCCCGGCCAUGGUAAGGCGACACCCGUGGGAUUACCGUGCGUGAGGCCGCAAAGUGAUAUGAGGUGUUACCGGCUAGAUCAAUGUGACUUGGAAUCAUGGUCCAGACAGCAUUGGCAUCAGAGCCGGACUGCCUGUAGGUUCCUAAGCCAAACUGGUCGAUGUCGAGUCUAGAAAUGCUUUAGUUAUAUGUAGGGGAAUUUAUUGUGGGAGGAAACGUAAGGCUCUUUUUACCCCUUUACCUUAUGCCCUCUGAUCUGUGUCAUCCUCUUCUCAUUCUACGUGGGUUAAGGACUAGGCUCUCUUCUCUCUAUCAGGUUCACGUGUUACUAAUCCGUAGUAACUUAUAGGAUUGUUGGUUACCAGUCUCAGUACAGUUCCUACUACUUUAGUAUGUUAUCAGUUGAACCUGAACCUUGAUAUGAUGUUGUUGAGUGGUUUUGCAAUCCGUUGUGAAUGUCUCAAAUCUGCUCCUGAGCAUUUACAGCUGUUAUGUUGUCCAAUUUUCCCUAGGAAUUCUAAUGUCUUUGCAUUGUGGUUGUGCUUUCAGAUGGCCACUCGCGCUCAGAACCAAGUGGUUCGCCUGACGCGGUGCCUCAAUGUGCCCGGUCAUACUGCUAUGUUAGUCCGGGUCAUGAUCGAGACAGGUUACCGUUGGUAUCCCGAAUACAUUGCCGAAGAGCAAUUCCAAGACUUUAAUCAAAGCCAAUACUUCUGCACUGUCAGGAUAUUUCCUUCAUAUCCUGGAUCCACCGAGCCCCUUCACUGCUCCUAUGGACUCGGGGUCACCAUUGAGAUGGCUGUACAGGAUGCGGCCUAUUCUAUGAUGACCAUCAUGCGAGUCAGGACUGGUCUGCUUCGGAACACCGACUUCCGUUAUAUGCCAGCAUCGCUCCCAGGAGCGCAAGGGUAUCUCCAGGCUAUCUAUGCUGAUUCCACCCAUGAGGACUCACUAACUCGCACCAUUGCGGAGAUGCUCGAGGAUAAGGACCGAGAGAAUCAGGCCUUGAGGUUGGAGCUUUUCAACACCUGCGCCGAUCAUUGGGCCACUUUGACUCGGUUUGCACCGGCUGUGCAAGCUGGAUGUAUGGAUAUGAGGGAUCUGUUUCCUGUGAGAUCUGCUCUGCCAGACAUGGUGGAUUGGCGUGAUGUGGGAGGCAUCAUCCCACCCCGUGGUCCCCGUAGGCCAUCGUUUGUUGGUCCAAGACCUCAUCCUAGCCCCUAUGGUCCACAGGCUCCUCAGGACCGUCUGUUCCCGGAUGAUCACGUUGAGCUUCCAAGCUAUGGAGGGGACUUCUAUGAGGACUACUACGGAGCUGUCUGAGUUAGUAGUAGUAUCUUUAGUAUUGUAAUAGUUGUAAUUCCAUCGUCCUGCGUGACCUGUGGAAUAUGACUUAGUGUGUAUCAGUUCCGGAGGUGUAGAAAAAUAAUGUAUCGGAGCUUGGAAUGCCUCCGAUGAGAUGUAACUUCUUCCACCGUAGUUGUACUAUAGUCGGGCUUGUACUAAACUAUGUAUGGUGUGUAUGACUGUUGGUGCAUAUAUGGCAGUUUCUGUAUUACCAUGUCAUACAGAUGAACAUCUCUGCAUUCCUUGUUAUCCAUUACAUUCUGCACUUCCUUGUCCAGAUUUGCCAUCCUUGUCUAAAGCGAUGUCUUGUUUUCCUAGGAUGGUCAACACCCGUAACAACCCUGCUACUCCGGAGCAGGGUGAAGCCAGUGCAGCUAGGAAUGAAAAUCUGCCUCAACCACCUUCUCUGGUCGAAGUUAUGCUGGAGGCAGAGCGAAAUAAGCGUGAGACCAAUCGCUUGCUGGAGCGGAUUGAGCAGAAUACCGCACGCCAGCCGAGGAACGACCUGGUGUCACUUAAUGACUUUGUCAAGCUGUAUCCACCGAAGUUUAAACAUUCCGUCGAGCCCCUUGAUGCGGAUGAAUGGCUUCGCAGCAUUACCCACAAGCUACGUUCUGUCAAUGUGGCCGAAGCUGAUAAGGUUAACUUUGCUACCUAUCACCUCGAAGGCCCUGCUAGCCUUUGGUGGGAAAACUUUGAGGCUAUGCGCCCGGUCGGCCAAAUUACUACUUGGGCUGAAUUCAGUAUGGAGCAUCACAUUCCGGAAGGUCUUAUGGAUCGCAAGCGUGAAGAGUUCUGCAACUUCACCCAGGGUAGACUGACUGUGGAUGCAUACAGUCGCGAGUUUGGAUAUCUAGCACGAUAUGCUCCUAAAGAGGUAUCCACCGACGCCAAGAAGCAGGCAAGGUUCCGCAAGGGACUUAGCCCCGAGCUUCGUCGUGAUCUUCGUCUGCACGAGUGCACCUCCUUCCAGAAGUUAGUCAACAAGGCCAUCAGUGCUGAGACAGGGCAGUCGGACUUUGAAGCUUCACGCAAGCACUCCCGUGACUUUGGACUUCAUCCGGCUGUGCAUCUCAGAAGCGCCGGGUCUGGAUUCCAAGCACUGCUCUGCCACCCAGGUUCACCCCGAGGCCAUCCUUUGACGCGCCUCGCCCCAACCAAUAGUAUACACCGCCCAAGGCCUAUGGUGGCCCCACUGCUAAUGCUACUCCAUGCCCCAAUGUGAUAACUUGUUUCAAGUGUGGGGAGACGGGUCACUACAUUCGUGAGUGUCCCCAAAACAACCCCAACCAGAUUGGAAAGUCUGUUGGCCGUGGCAAGCCAGCAGGAAAGGUGCUCUACGCCAAGCCAGCCACCACUGCCCGUGGCCAUGUCAACUAUGUCUCAGCAGAGGAGACUCAUGAGGAUCCCAACGUCGUUCUCGGUACGCUUCUUGUUAAUUGCCACCCGGCAACCAUUCUCUUUGAUACUGGAGCAUCUCAUUCAUUUAUAUCUGAAAGCUAUGCUCGAUUGCACAACACCACAUUUUGUGACAUGCCCACCUCCAUGGUAAUUCAAACCCCUGGUUCUAAGUGGCAAACCUCUAAAAUCAGCCAUGGAAAUGAAAUCCUUGUCGACAGAUUAGUCUUCCUUGCAUCACUAAUAGCUCUCAAGUCCUCGGACAUAAACAUCAUCUUGGGUAUGGACUGGAUGUCAGCCCAUUACGCUAAGAUCGAUUGCUCCACUAGAACUGUUCAACUCACCCACCCUUCGGGCAAGACAGCCAAUGUUUUGACCCGAGUGUCUAAGCGUCAGCUUUACUCUUUAAAUGCCAACCCCCUUCCAGACCUUGAAGAUAUUCCGGUAGUCCGUGACUUCCCGGAUGUCUUUCCAGAGGAACUGUCAGGUGUUCCACCUAACAGAGAUGUCAAGUUCGUGAUAGACCUUGUUCCAGGAACCAUGCCAACAUCUAGGAGACCUUAUAAGAUGGCACCCCUAGAACUAGCUGAGCUUAAGAAACAACUCGAUGAGUCCUUGCAAAAGGGUUUCAUCCAUCCUAGCUCUUCUCCAUGGGCUUGCCCCGUCCUUUUCGUCAAGAAGAAGGAUGGAACGGAUCGGAUGGUUGUAGAUUACCGGCCAGUCAACUUGGUCACUAUCAAGAACAAGUAUCCGCUCCCCAAGAUCAACGACCUGUAUGAUCAGCUCGCUGGAUCCUCAGUCUUUUCUAAAAUGGAUUUGAGGUUGGGCUACCAUCAAAUCAAAAUUAAGAACGGGGACAUUCCUAAAACGGCCUUUGUUACUCGAUAUGGCCAAUACGAGUACACCGUCAUGUCCUUCGGUCUAACCAAUGCCCCAGCCACCUUCUCUCGGUUAUUGAACUCGAUCUUCAUGGAGUAUUUUGAUAAAUUCGUCGUGGUUUACCUUGAUGAUAUACUCAUCUACUCCAAGAAUGAAGAAGAACAUGCCGAACAUCUAAGGCUAGUGUUGAUGAAACUUUGAGAGCAUUGUCUUUAUGCCAAAUUCUCUAGGUGUGAGUUUUGGUUGCCAGAAGUAACCUAUCUAGGACAUGUAAUCUCUGGUAAGGGCAUUGCUGUCAAUCCCAAGCGAGUUCAAGCCAUCCUUGACUGGACUCCACCUGAAACGGUCAAGCAAGUUCAGAGUUUUGUUGGUUUAGCGAGCUAUUGCCGCUGCUUCAUCGAGAAUUUCUCCAAGGUUGCUAAGCCUCUAACCGAACUCCUCAAGAAAGAUAAAAAGUUCGAAUGGACGCCAUAGUGCGAGUUCAGUUUUCAGGAACUGAAAAGACGCCUGACAUCUGCUCCUGUACUUGUUCCACCAGAUUUCUCUAAGGACUUCGUUAUCUACUGCGACGCCUCGCGACAAGGACUAGGUUGCAUACUCAUGCAAGAUCGUCAUGUGAUUGCCUACGCUUCUCGACAGCUGCGUCCACAUGAGGAUAACUAUCCCACACAUGAUCUACAGCUUGCAGCAGUGGUCCAUGCACUCAAAACCUGGCGACAUUACCUUCUCGGUAAUCGUUGCGAGAUUUACACCGAUCACCAAAGUCUGAAAUACAUCUUCACCAAACCGGAUUUGAAUCUCAGACAAAGACGUUGGGUCGAGUUGAUUACGGAUUACGAUCUAGGAAUAACCUACACCCCAGGAAAAGCCAAUGUCAUGGCUGAUGCAUUAAGCCGUAAAUCUUAUUGUAACAACCUGAUGUUACAACAAAGCCAACCAUUUCUCCACGAGGAAUUUCGUAAGCUUAACCUUCACAUCGUUCCUCGAGGUUUUCUUUCCACCCUGGUGGCGAAACCUACCCUUACGGAUCAGAUCAUCAAGGCACAGAAGGUAGAUCCGGGAAUAUCCCGUAUCAAGAGAAACAUCAAAAGGGAGUUGGACUGUUUCUCCAUAGAUGAUCAAGGUGUUGUGUUCUUUGGAGGCCAUCUAGUGGUUCCCAAGGUAUGCAACCUGAGGCGAUUGAUCCUUAAGGAAGCUCAUGAAUCCCCUCUCACUAUUCAUCCCAGUAGUACUAAAAUGUAUCAAGACCUACGCCAGAGGUUUUGGUGGACUAGGAUGAAGAGAGAAAUCGCUCAAUACAUUACCAAUUGCGACGUCUGUCGUCGAGUUAAAGAAGAGCAUCAACGACCUGCUGGCACCCUGCAACCUUUGGAAAUUCCCGAAUGGAAAUGGGAUAAAAUCGGUAUGGAUUUCAUUACCGGGUUUCCCAGGACCAAGAGGGGGAAUAAUGCUAUCUUCGUUGUUGUCGAUCGUCUUUCCAAAGUAGCCCACUUCCUACACGUUCGUGAGAGUUUAACCGCUAGCCAGCUAGCUGACUUAUACAUCUCCCGAAUAGUGUCUCUUCAUGGUGUUCCAUUGGAGACUAACUCAGACCGUGGAAGUCUCUUCACCUCUCGAUUUCGGGAAAGUUUCCAAAAUGCGAUGGGAACUCGUCUUUCUUUUAGCACCGCUUUCCAUCCUCAAUCAAGUGGUCAAGUAGAACGAGUCAAUCAAAUUCUAGAGGAUAUGCUUCGAGCUUCUGUCAUCUCUUUUGGUAUGAAUUGGGAGAAGUGCCUUCCAUUCGCUGAGUUCGCUUAUAACAAUAGUUAUCAAGCUAGCUUGGACAAAGCUCCUUUCAAAGUUCUCUAUGGAUGAAAAUGUCGAACACCUCUUAACUGGUCAGAAACCGGGUAAAGACAACUCUUUGGCCCGGAUAUGAUCCAGGAAGCAGAGGAGCAGGUUCACGUUAUUCGUGAGAAAUUGAAAACAGCCCAAUCUCAUCAAAAGAGCCAAUAUGACCGCAAACAUACACUAGUAGAAAAGGGGCCAAUGGUCCAGGCCGGUCCAGCCCAUUAGUCCCGGUUCAAUCCAGAACCGGGACCAAUGGGGGCAUUGGACCCGGUUCGUGAGCCCUGGGGGCCGGCCGGGCCACGUGGGCCAUUGGUCCCGGUUCGUCCUGACCUUUCGGUCCCGGUUGGUGGGACGAACCGGGACCAAUGGGCCUCGCUCCUGGCCCACCAACAUUGGUCCCGGUUGGUGGCUUGAACCGGGACCAAAGGCGUCCCUUUAGUCCCGGUUCAAGUCACCAACCGGGACCAAUUAGUUGCCUAUAUAUACCCCUCGCCUGCGAGCAGAGCACUCCCAGUGCUCUGUUUUUCGUGGCUGGCGAGGGGAGAGCUUUGUGGUGCUCUAGCUCACGUCCUAUGCACACAAGGUGUUCGAUGGAAUGCCCGAGCCACACUACUUAAGCUUUCUCCUCUCCAAGCUCGACCUCCAAGCUCCAUUUUCCUUCAUAUUUGUCUAGGUUUAGCGGUUCGUCACGUCCCGUCCCCAUCUUCACCACCGUUGAUCGCCCGCGCCGAUCUCGUCGCCGGCACCACCGUGGUGAGCCUCUUGUUCUUAUCUUCUUUCUGAAAGGAAAAAAAAUUCUUACUUGUAUGUUUAUAUAGAUACUUGUAUAAUUUUCUUACUUUUAUUAUUGCAUCUUAUAUAGUGCGAUGGUUUUGGUAUCCGCCCCCGUCGGCCCUCGUCCUGUCUAUGAUUCAGAUGUGGUAUAUAUAUAUUAUCUUUUCAUAACUAGUGGUUCAUUUAUUGUUUAUGACAAUUAUGCCGACCAACGUGACAUAGAUUUUAUUUAUCUAGGAGGUUGUUGAACCGGAAAUUCCAACCGACCCUAUUGUCGAGAGGUUAAAUUUAGUUGAAGAAAACAAUUUGUUGAAGGGAAAAAUUAGAAAAAUUGAGGAGGAGAAGAUGAUAUUGGAGUUGCAUGUUGCGGAUGUCAUCGAUGAUCACAAGAUCAAGAUGGAUGCAAUGCGCUUGAAGAUUAGAAAGAUUAGAAAAUAUGCCAUUCAUACCGAGGCUUGGUAUCAUUAUGUCGUUGGAUCAGUUGUUACAUUGGUUGCGAUUAUGAUCGUAUUUGUUUUCGCAUUGAAAUGUUUUACAUAGUUUCAGUGUAUGGUUUAAUUAAUUUAGAUGCCCUGCAGAGCUUUAUGUUGUUAGAUGAGAACUAUGUAUGUACUUUGGUUUUAAUGUGAUGAUGAACUUCUAUUAAUUUCGUCACUUAAUUAUCUAUUCAUGAUGUUCUGUAAUGAUUUUUGACACACUUAAUUAUAUAUAAUGCACGCAGAUGAACCGGCAAUGGAUGUACGGUUCAAGACACACCUCCGAGUACAUUAAGGGCGUGCAUGAUUUUCUCGAAGUGCCUGAGGCAACAAGAAGAAUGGUUUUAUGUGUUGUCCAUGCCCUAUAUGUGGGAAUACGAAGUCUUACUCUGACUGGAAAAUCCUCCACACCCACCUUCUUUACAAGGGUUUCAUGCCACACUAUAAUGUUUGGACGAGGCACGGAGAAAUAGGGGUUAUGAUGGAAGACGGCGAAGAAGAAGAGUACGAUGACAACUAUGUGCCCCCUGAAUACGGUGAUGCUACUGAAGAUCAAGAGGAACCAGACGAUGUGCCCGAUGAUGAUGAUCUCCGCCGGGUCAUUGUCGAUGCAAGGACGCAAUGCGAAAGUCAAAAGGAGAAGCUGAAGUUCGAUCGCAUGUUAGAGGACCACAAAAAAGGGUUGUACCCCAAUUGUGAAGAUGGCAACACAAAGCUCGGUACCGUACUGGAAUUGCUGCAGUGGAAGGCAGAGAAUGUUGUGCCUGACAAAGGAUUUGAGAAGCUACUGAAAAUAUUGAAGAAGAAGCUUCCAAAGGAUAACGAAUUGCCCGACAGUACAUACACAGCAAAGAAGUUCGUAUGCCCUCUAGGAUUGGAGGUGCAGAAGAUACAUGCAUGCCCUAAUGACUGCAUCCUCUACCGCGGUGCGUACAAGGAUCUGAACGCAUGCCCGGUAUGCGGUGCAUUACGGUAUAAGAUCAGACGAGAUGACCCUGGUGAUGUUGACGGCGAGCCCCCCAGGAAGAGGGUUCCUGCGAAGGUGAUGUGGUAUGCUCCCAUAAUACCACGGUUGAAACGUCUGUUCAGAAACGGAGAGCAUGCCAAGUUGAUGCGAUGGCACAGUGAGGACCGUAAGAAAGACGGGAAGUUGAGAGCACCCGCUGACGGGUCGCAGUGGAGAAAAAUCGAGGGAAAGUACUGGGAUGAGUUUGCAAGUGAGCCAAGGAACGUAUGGUUUGCUUUAAGCGCGGAUGGCAUUAAUCCUUUCGGGGAGCAGAGCAGCAAUCACAGCACCUGGCCCGUGACUCUAUGUAUGUAUAACCUUCCUCCUUUGAUGUGCAUGAAGCAGAAGUUCAUUAUGAUGCCAGUUCUCAUCCAAGGCCCUAAGCAACCCGGCGACGACAUUGAUGUGUACCUAAGGCCAUUAGUUGAAGAACUUUUAUAGCUGUGGAAUGGAAAUAGUGUACGUACGUGGGAUGAGCACAAACAGGAGGAAUUUAACCUAAAGGCGUUGCUGUUCGUGACCAUCAACAAUUGGCCCGCUCUCAGUAACCUUUCAGGACAGACAAACAAGGGAUACCACGCAUGCACGCACUGUUUACUUGACACCGAUAGUAUAUACCUAGCAAGUUGUAGGAAGAAUGUGUACCUGGGCCAUCAUCGAUUUCUUUCGACCAACCAUCAAUGUUGAAAGAAAGGCAAGCAUUUCAAAGGCGAGGCAGAUCACCGGAAGAAGCCCUCCAUGCGUACUGGUAUCACGUACUUGCUAUGGUAGUGAUUUACACGUAAUCUUUGGAAAGUGUCCCGGCGGACUAGCUGUUCCGAAUGACGCUGAGAAUCACGCACCCAUGUGGAAGAAGAAAUCUAUAUUUUGGGACCUACCCUACUAGAAAGACCUAGAGGUCCGCUCUUCGAUCGACGUGAUGCACGUGACGAAGAACCUUUGCGUGAACCUGCUAGGCUUCUUGGGCAUGUAUGGGAAGACAAAAGAUACAACUGAGGCACGGGAGGACCUGCAACGCUUGCACGAAAAAGUGGGCAUGCCUCCGAAGCAGUAUGAAGGUCCUGCCAGCUACGCUCUUACGAAAGAAGAGAAAUAAAUCUUCUUUGAAUGCCUGCUCAGUAUGAAGGUCCCGACUGGCUUCUCUUCGAAUAUAAAGGGAAUAAUAAAUAUGCCAGACAAAAAGUUCUAGAACCUAAAGUCUCAUGACUGCCACGUGAUUAUGACGCAACUGCUUCCGGUUGCAUUGAGGGGGCUUCUACCGGAAAACGUCCGAUUAGCCAUUGUGAACCUAUGUGCAUUCCUCAAUGCAAUCUCUCAGAAGGUGAUCGAUCCAGAAAUCAUACCAAGGCUAAGGACUGAUGUGGUGCAAUGUCUUGUCAGUUUCGAGCUGGUGUUCCCACCAUCCUUCUUCAAUAUCAUGACGCACGUCCUAGUUCAUCUAGUUGACGAGAUUGUCAUUCUGGGCCCCGUAUUUCUACACAAUAUGUACUUCUUUGAGAGGUUCAUGGGAGUCCUAAAGAAAUAUGUCUGUAACCGCGCUAGGCCAAAAGGAAGCAUCUCCAUGGGCUAUCAAACAGAGGAUGUCAUCGGGUUUUGUGUUGACUUCAUUCCUGGCCUUAAGAAUAUAGGUCUCCCUAAAUCGCGGUAUGAGGGGAGACUGACUGGAAAAGGCACGCUUGGAAGGGACUCAAUUAUAUGCAGGGACGGAUAUUCUUGGUCUCAAGCACACUACACAGUUCUACAGAACUCUACCUUGGUGACCCCGUAUGUCGAUGAACACAAGAACAGUCUGCGCUCCAAACACCCGGAGCAGUGCGACGACUAGAUUACAUGUGAACACAUCAGGACUUUCAGUAGUUGGUUGGAAGCACAUAUCAGAGGUGACAACACUGUUUGUGAUGAGUUGUACUUGUUGUCCAGGGGACCAUCUUUGACUGUAUUGAUUUGGAAAGGAUACGAGAUAAAUGGGAAUACAUUUUACACGAUUGACCAAGAUCAAAAGAGCACCAACCAAAACAGCGGUGUCCGCUUUGAUGAAACAACCGAGAGGGGAAAGGACACAUAUUGUGGUUACAUAGUGGACAUAUGGGAACUUGACUACGGACACGAUUUUAAGGUCCCUUUGUUUAAGUGCAAAUGGGUCAAUCUGUCAGGUGGCAGGGUACAGGUAGACCCACAGUACGGAAUGACAAUAGUGGAUCUGGAAAAUCUUGGAUACACUGACGAACUGUUCGUCCUAGCCAAUGAUGUGGCACAGGUUAUCUAUGUGAAGGACAUGUCUACCAGACCAAGAAAGAGAAAAGAUAAGGAAGCGAAUACAUCAUACGAUGAGCCAAAGUGCCACAUAGUUCUUUCAGGAAAAAGGGACAUCGUGGGAGUGGAGGACAAGACAGACAUGUCUGAAGAUUAUGAAAAGUUUCAUGAAAUUCCUCCCUUUAAUGUCAAGGCUGACCCCAGCAUCCUGAUAGACGAUGAAGAUUAUCCAUGGUUACGGCGCAAUAAGCAAAUGACACAAGCGAAGAAAAAGUGAAGACUUUCUCCCGCAACUAUUAUGAUGAUACCAUGCCAAAUUUGUAACUGACGAGUAUGAUACCAUUGUCCGUUUUGUACAUGCACAUGCUAUGUGGGUCAAUUUAUGAUACCAUGCCAACUUUCAACUUUUUCAGAGUUCAUUUGAAAUGCUUUAAUGUCUUAUGGUUCGGCCCUCGUAAUGAUUAAAAAUAGCAACAAUAAGUAUUUUGUUGUAAGUAGAAACAAAAUAAAAUAAAUAAAGCAAGAAAGAAAACAAAAAAAACAAAAAAAGUGUUUUCAAAUUUGAAAACUAAUGGUACUAACAGAAAGUUUAUAAUUUUCCUAAAACUAAAAGCAAAAAGAAUUGAAAAAUAAAGCAAAAAACAAAAGACAAUAAAUAAUGCAGAAAUCAAAACAAAAAACAACAAUAAGUAUUUUGUUGUAUGUAGAAACAAAACAAAAUAAAUAAAGCAAGAAAGAAAACAAAAAAACAAAAAAAGUGUUUUCAAAUUUGAAAACUAGGGCACUAACAGAAAGUUUAUAAUUUUCCUAAAACUAAAAGCAAAAAGAAUUAAAAAAUAAAGCAAAAAACAAAAGAAAAUAAAUAAUGCGGAAAACAAAACAAAAAAACUGGAAAAAAAAUAAAAUAGCAAAAAUAAGUAAAGAAAACAAAAAAAUGCCUCCUACUGGGCCCCCACGGCCUGAAUACGACUAGAAACCCUACUAUGGGCCAGGAUUCAGGCCCGCAGUAGGCCCAGAAGGCCCAUCAGGCAAAGCAAUAGCAAGUAGGCCCGAAAGCCUGCGGUGGAGAGGAGCUCGAGAGGGGUGCGGCAGUGGGGCUUAUAAACCACUGCACGCCCCUCUCAACUAGCGAGGUGGGACUAAACUUUGGCCCCGACGCGGGAAGCACAGGGGCCUUUGGUCCCGGUUGGUGGCACCAACCGGGACUAAAGGGGGGGGCAUUGGUACCGGUUCGUGGCACCAACCGGUACCAAAGGCCGCCGCUUCCCGCCCUUUGGGCUGCCGAAAAGGAGGCCUUUGGUCCUAGUUGGUGGCACUAACCGGGACUAAAGGGUGCAUUAGUCCCGGUUGAUUUCACGAACCGGGACCAAUGCCUUUGCUAUAUAAGCAAACACUUUGCAAAAUUUCAGAAUCCCAUCGCCAGUUGCCCCCGACGACGCCGACCCUCCUCGACGCUGCCAGGCUGCUCCACCUCGCCGUCGUCGCCGCCACCGCCAAGCCGUCGCCUCCCCGAGCCCGCGCCAUCCUCGUCGCCGGCCUCCCUGAGCCCGCGCCGUCCUCGUCGCCGGUCUCCUCGAGCCCGCUCCCCGUCCCGCCCCCGCGCGCCGCCGCCCCGAGCCCCUGCCCCGUCCUGCCCCCAUGCGCNNNNNNNNNNNNNNNNNNNNNNNNNNNNNNNNNNNNNNNNNNNNNNNNNNNNNNNNNNNNNNNNNNNNNNNNNNNNNNNNNNNNNNNNNNNNNNNNNNNNNNNNNNNNNNNNNNNNNNNNNNNNNNNNNNNNNNNNNNNNNNNNNNNNNNNNNNNNNNNNNNNNNNNNNNNNNNNNNNNNNNNNNNNNNNNNNNNNNNNNNNNNNNNNNNNNNNNNNNNNNNNNNNNNNNNNNNNNNNNNNNNNNNNNNNNNNNNNNNNNNNNNNNNNNNNNNNNNNNNNNNNNNNNNNNNNNNNNNNNNNNNNNNNNNNNNNNNNNNNNNNNNNNNNNNNNNNNNNNNNNNNNNNNNNNNNNNNNNNNNNNNNNNNNNNNNNNNNNNNNNNNNNNNNNNNNNNNNNNNNNNNNNNNNNNNNNNNNNNNNNNNNNNNNNNNNNNNNNNNNNNNNNNNNNNNNNNNNNNNNNNNNNNNNNNNNNNNNNNNNNNNNNNNNNNNNNNNNNNNNNNNNNNNNNNNNNNNNNNNNNNNNNNNNNNNNNNNNNNNNNNNNNNNNNNNNNNNNNNNNNNNNNNNNNNNNNNNNNNNNNNNNNNNNNNNNNNNNNNNNNNNNNNNNNNNNNNNNNNNNNNNNNNNNNNNNNNNNNNNNNNNNNNNNNNNNNNNNNNNNNNNNNNNNNNNNNNNNNNNNNNNNNNNNNNNNNNNNNNNNNNNNNNNNNNCGCUGCAUUGGCUCUGUUUUUUUUUCAUUUUUAUUAGUUUAAUUAUUUUUUUGUUCAUAUAUAUAUAUAUAUAUAUAAUGUAUAUGUGUAUGUAUGUGGCUAUAUAUGUGUAUGUAGAUGUUCAAAAAUUAUUCAGAGCACGUUUUUAUUCAUAUAUGUAUUUUUUGUUCAUAUGUGUAUUAAUGUUUUCAUAUAUGCAAAAGAUAGAUUUUUAGAAAAGUUAGGGUUUUUUUUUCUAUUCAUAGAUUUUUUUGGUGAUAUUAAUUAUUGUAGAAUAUGCAAAUGUUUGUAUAUUCAUAUGAACAAUGCAUUAGGCAAAACCUUUGUUUUUUUUGAAAUUUUUUAUUUGAACAUUUUUUAAAAACAAGCAAUACUAAAAGAAUGAGAGGAAAAAGGAAAAUAAGAAGAGGAAGAAAGGAGAAGAAGAGGAGAGGAAGAAGAGGAGAAAUAAAUAAGAAGAGGAAAAAAGAAGAGGGGAAGAAGAAAGGAAUAGAGGAGAAGAAGAAAAAUAGAAAUUUUCUAUUUUUCUUCUUCUCCUCUAUUCCUUUCUUCUUCUCCUCUUUAUUUUCUUCUUUUUUUUCUUCUUCCUUCUUCCUCUUUUCUUCCUUUUCCUUAUUUUCCUUUCUCGAGGGAGAAGAAGAAAAAGAAGAGUAAAAGAAGAAGAAAGGAAUAGAGGAGAAAGAAGAAACUUCAACACAAGGGGGGGUUACCGAUACCCCCUCCCCGAUAACAUUAUUUUCCCAUGUAUAUGUAUGUCGCGUCAUUGUCGAUAUAACCCCCUCGAGAUAACUUCGACAUGAGGGGCGGUCGAUAUAUAUACCCCCUCUCGACCGUGAUAACUUAUACAACGGCAGCACCCCCCUCGGCCCUCUCGCUCGACCAAAACUCUUGAGGACACCCAAACCCUAGAGAGAAAACGAUGUUGGUCUCCUACCCCCUCCCGCCGCGCCCCUACCCGACAUAUUAACUCUCUCGAGGCCACCCAAAUUUACCAAGUUAAAAGAGCGUUGUCGUCGAGGCCACCCCAAACCCUUGAAGCGUUGUGUCGAGGAGACCCCAAACCCUAGAGAAGCAGCGUCGAGGCCACUAACAUGGAUCGAUCCAUCUGUAAUAAUAAUUGACAUGGUGUAAAUAUUUGCAGAAACUAUGGAGCACUCCCGAGACGAAGAAACAGAAGCGAUGUUGGGGGACAUUAUCGCACAAGGAAGUGAUGAAGUUGCGUCAUUUCUCAACGACACCGAUGGUCAGGAACGACUGGGUGAAGAAGAGGGCUAUGUUCAUGAUGGCUUCGACCCAUUAAUGCCGGUACAAGAAGAGGACUAUGUUCAUGAUGGCUCUGGUGACACAAUGGAGGUACAAGAAGGAGACCGUGCUGACUGCUCCGGUGACCGAACCGAGUCCGGCCAGGUAUAUAUAUAUAUAUUAGUUAAGCCCGUGCUGACUAGUUAAUUGAUGCAUCCAUUGUUUUGGUAUAUGUACACAUAUUAAUUACUCUCGUCUUUCUUCCUUAUAAUUUCUAGCCCUCCGGAUCGAGCACAACUUCGGUAAGAAGACGAAGCCCGAAGAAAAAGUUGAGCUCGGAUGAAAAGUUUGAGAUCAUAGAAAUCGCGCCCGACGGCGAACCGAUUGAACCCAUCCGGACAAGGAAGGCAUUUUCUGCUCAGUGCGGGGUUCUUGUUAGGGACAAGAUCCCGAUCAGCAUCCAUCAAUGGUAUAAGCCUAAGGAGGAAGACCCCGAGGUGUCUUAUGUCAAUGAUAUGCAGAAAGAAGAUCUUUGGACUGAGCUAAAGGCAAAUUUCACCCUACCGCUAGAGGAGGAUCCGGAGAAGCCAGUUAUAGAGCAAUUAAUCAAUUCUUGUGCUCUUAAGAAGAUGGCAACCCUAAUGAGGAGGUGGAGGAAAGAGGUGAACCAGUUUGUCGAGAAAGAUAAGACACCAGAAUUCAUCGGCAAAUAUGAGAAGAUCAAAGAUCACUGGCCCGCAUUUGUGGCCCACAAGACAUCGGAAAAGAGUAAGAAGAUGUCGGCAACAAACAAGAAAAAUUCUGCAAAGAAGAAGCUUCACCAUCGCACGGGGUCAGGUGGCUACCUCAAAGCCCGGCCUAAGUGGUCCAAGGCUGAGCAUGAUCUGCUUGAAAAAGGGAUCGAACCAGAGACAAUGUACUGGCCAGACCGUUGUCGGACUUGGUUCUUCGGGGCUGGCGGAACCUUGGACCCUGUAACAGGGAAGUGCCAGUGGACGGAUGAGCAACUACAAAUACCAGUCAAGAAACUUCGACACUAUAUCGAUGCAGCGUAGCGAGGGACGCUCCUUCCAAACAGGGAGAAGGACGAGCUCACAAUGGCCCUUGGGAAUCCUGAGCACCCUGGAUGGACACGAGGCACGCCAGGCUCCAUUCCAUGGAAGGUUGGUCUUCCGCACACAGGGGGUUACAAAACCCACGAGAGGAGGAAGAAACUGGAGCAGGACCAAAUGCAGGCGCUGCACGAAAGGGUAAUGGGGCUAGAGGAACGAGAAGCAGCAGAUCGCAGCAAACGACAUGCCGAAGCUUCCCCCGAAGCUACCUCGCCAUCUCAGCGGAGAAGCAGCGUGGCUUCCACCGAGCUGCUUCAGCCGGAGCAUGUCUUGACGUCUCCUGCCAGCUAUCCCGUGGAUGGUAUCACGGAGUCUCAAAGUUGCCACAUUAUGACGCAAUGUAUGAAUUUGAAGGUCAAGGCGGCUGUUGGCCAAGUUUAUCCUAGUGGACCCGGCACAACUUAUCACUGCCAGCCGAUUCCAGAAGGAUUUGCUAAGGUGAUGGUGGAUGAAAUAACGGAGGGAUUUGAGGACCUCCUGCUUGAGCACCCUACCGGUGAAGGGGAGACUAGGCUGGGUUCUGCUCUGAAGACUCCAUGCCUAUGGCGGAAGGAGCUCAUCAACCUUCCGAACUGGACGCCUCCGCCUCCUCCUCCUCCUCCGGCGAGUCAGGGCACUCCGCCUCCUCCACCGCCUCCUCCUCCGGCGAGUGAUGAUCAGGGCACACGUGGCAGCACUCCGCCUCCUUCUCCGCCUGCGCCGGCGCGCCCGAGCAGCCAGCCUCCUCCUUCUCCGCCUCGUCAGCAAGGGCGAAAGAGACCCGCCGCUGCUCCGGCUGCUCCGGCGCGUCGUAAUCCUUCUCCUCCGCCUCACAAAAAGCAAGCAAAGAAGACAUCCACUCCGUCUGCUCUGUCGGUGUCUAGCAGUACAGCCAAAGGCGGGAAGAAAUACAGAUUUGGUCCUUCUCCGAAGACUCCAGAGAAGUUACCGUACGAGAGGACCGAGGAGGAAAACGCGGAGAUCACGCAGAACGAACUGGAUGGCUGGUUUGCAGGGUUGAAAGCAAAGAGACAUCCACCUCCGGAGGAGAAGGUAGAUCCGGUGAAAGUGAAGCGCACUCUGGCUGCCCUGAGGAAACCGGCAAAGUCUCCGCCGAGAACCAACUAUGAGCGCAUUACUGAACAGACAUAUCUCCAAGCGGAGCAGUCGGGAAGUACUGUCAGACAUCAAAGAGCAAAAGAACGAGCAGCUGCGAAAAAAGUUGACCAGCUCGGCGAACAACCAAACCAAUCGUGCCCCCCGCUCAAUGUGUCUAGCGGCAACAUCGUCGCUAAUGUUCCGGGGAUCAUGGACGGUUAUGGCAAUCCACAAUAUUACCUGCCUGACGAUGCACUUCCUGAAUUCAUGAUGGUGGAAGAACGCAGAUACGAGUACGGGAAGCCUCUCAUCAAAGAUGUAAAAUCUCUAACAACGAUGAUGCGAAGAUUCCAUACUUGGUACAUGAAAACCUGCAGAGAGUCUGGGGGGACGAAUAGUUUGUAUCUACACAUUAAAGAGGAGCACGACCUCGUUGGAACUGAUCUGUUGUGUGUUCCAUUUGAGGAGUUCUUCGCGUUCUUCAAUCAAAUAGCCCUCGAUAAAUUAACGGUCUUUUGCUACUGCCUGUAAGUACUAUUUCUGUCAUUAAGUCUCUAUAUAUAGCUUGGCUUUCAUUACAUGUAUUUAUAAUUAAUUAUCCUCAAUAUAUUAUGCAGAUUGAAGAUCGUCGAGUGCAAAAAAAUGAAAUCUAUGAUAUUGGGUUCAUUAACACAAAUAUCAUAGAUGUAUUUCUGGUUGAAAAGCACAUCGAAGAGGCCGAGGACAACUUGCUACGAUCAUUGAUCAAAAAUCAAAACAAAGAUACCAUACUCUUUCCUUACAACACCAAGUGAGUGUUACUGAUCAUUUGCAUAUUCGGUUUCCCUUAUUACUCGAGCGAGGUUAUAGUAAUGUAAUUGAUGAGUUAUGCAUGUGUGCGCAGGUACCACUAUAUUCUUCUGGAGAUUAAGCUUGAGCGUGGACUAGUAACCGUCUUAGACUCGAGACGGAAAGAUCCCAGCACCUAUGCGGACAUGACUGAAAUGCUCAGCAAGUAAGUUCAAUCGAUCAUUAUCGCACCAUAGCGGCAACUUUUUGUUCAUUUCCUGAUAUCUCAAGUAAUAAUAAUUAUUUUCUUUGUCUUGCAGGGUUUGGAAACAGUUCACCACAGUAGCUCGGGGACUGCCGAAGGAGCUGCGAUAUAUAUACCCGAAAGUAAGUACUACUGGCUAGCUAGUUGUGUGCAUCUCCUGUUGAUUCUAUAGCUAUACUUUCAUCACAUUUAUAAUGCUUCAUUAUCAGUUUGAUAGACCUCUAUUUCUCGUAAAGUGCUUGUGGUAGGAACAAGGGAAUGAUUUCUAUAGAUACUACGUGUGCGAGUUCAUCUACAACGCGACUUUGAAAAAUAAGCGGGGCUACUCUCAAAGACAAUAUGAAGUGCGUAAGCAAUUAAUAAUAUUCACAAUUUCUGUUGAGUUUCAUUCAUAUAUAUAUAUAUAUAUAUAUAUAUAUAUAUAUAUGUAUUAAUUAACCCCCUUCUUCAAAUUAGACGUGGCAGAUGCGGAAUGAACUCCUAGAACCAGAUCGCAUGAAAGGAAUUCAAGAGGAAUUGGCGGGAUUCUUUCUUGACCACGUCAUCAAUAAAGCCGGAGAAUACCAUGUGGAACUUGAUUUCAAAUGCUAGGGGACUGUAAUUGAGAGAUCUUAUAUAUUGUACAUGUUGUAUGUAGCCAGUAGCGUCGGACAUACAUGAUACAAAAACUUGUUGUUUGACCAAUCUCUCGGAGAAGGAGACGUCGAUCGAUCACUUCUCUCGGUAUGCAUGACGAACUUCUGUACUUAAUGGUUUCCUUCAUUUUCUUACUAGCUAGCGUGUCGAGAGCCUCUCUAUGUAUAGUACGUAGCGUCGACCAAGCACGGACAUAAGAGAGGACACUUCUCUCUAUUAAUUAGCUAGCUAACACAAUAUAUGAAACACCUAAAUUAACCCCCAAAACCNNNNNNNNNNNNNNNNNNNNNNNNNNNNNNNNNNNNNNNNNNNNNNNNNNNNNNNNNNNNNNNNNNNNNNNNNNNNNNNNNNNNNNNNNNNNNNNNNNNNNNNNNNNNNNNNNNNNNNNNNNNNNNNNNNNNNNNNNNNNNNNNNNNNNNNNNNNNNNNNNNNNNNNNNNNNNNNNNNNNNNNNNNNNNNNNNNNNNNNNNNNNNNNNNNNNNNNNNNNNNNNNNNNNNNNNNNNNNNNNNNNNNNNNNNNNNNNNNNNNNNNNNNNNNNNNNNNNNNNNNNNNNNNNNNNNNNNNNNNNNNNNNNNNNNNNNNNNNNNNNNNNNNNNNNNNNNNNNNNNNNNNNNNNNNNNNNNNNNNNNNNNNNNNNNNNNNNNNNNNNNNNNNNNNNNNNNNNNNNNNNNNCCCCCUGCCUGGGCUCGGCGCGUGGAUGCCUUUUGGUCCCGGUUGGUGCCACCAACCGGGACCAAAGGCCCCCCUGCCUGGGCUCGGCGCACAGGCCACGUGGAGGACCAUCUAUCCCGGUUCGUGUUACAACCGGGACUAAAGGGGGGAGGUAUUAGUAACGACCCAUUAGUCCCGGUUCAUGAACCGGGAGUAAAGGCCCUCACGAACCGGGACUAAUAGGUGUUUGUCUACUAGUGAUAAGCCUAUGACUUAUGAAGUUGGUGAGAAGGCUUACCUUCGGGUUACACCUUUAAAGGGAACCCAUCGAUUCGGUAUCAAGGGCAAGUUGGCCCCUUGUUACAUUGGACCCUUUUGCAUUCUUGCCAAACGAGGGGAAGUUGCCUACCAGUUGGAACUACCUCCACAUCUUUCUAGAGUUCAUGAUGUCUUCCACGUCUCUCAACUCAGGCAUUGCUUCUCGAAUCAUAUCCGCGAAGUAGACCAUGAAACGCGUGAUCUCCAAGAAAAUCUCACUUAUCGAGAAUAUCCAAUUCGCAUCCUUGAUCAAGCCGAGCGUACCACUCGACGCCAGAAUAUCAAGUUUCUCAAGGUUCAAUGGUCACACCACUCCGAUCAAGAAGCAACUUGGGAAAGGGAGGAUCAUCUACGACUUGAGUAUCCCACCUUCUUCCCGAUAGACCCUAAAUCUCGGGAUGAGAUUCUUUUGAGUGGGGGUGAGUUGUCACAACCUAGCUAGUCCAUGCAUUAGAGUGUUGCAUCAUGUCUACCUUUUAUCAGAAACUUGAAUUGGGGAAGACAGAACCCCCCCAGAACCCCUCUAAAUUCAACUAGUGCUUACUAAAAAUAUUUUCAAUGAACCUGAAAUGCCCUUCUAAAAAGUUCACCCUCUUUGUCUUGGGUUAGAACCUCUGGCAAAAUUGGUGCACAAUUUUCUAGGUCAACAGAAGGCCAUUGAAUUAAAUCAUAUCUACUUUGAGUUUGGGCAUUUAAACUAUAUAAAAUAUUUCAAAUGCUCAAAUAACUCCAAACUAAAAUGUUCCAUACUGGAUAUAUUCCAACUAGCGACCAUGUGCAGUUUGGUGAUUUUUGGAGUUGCCUAAGUAUUUUUAGAAAUGCAACAAACUUACAGAAACAAUUAAAAACAGAAACAAAUGGGGAAAAAACCCUUACCUGGCCGAACCAAGCCCCAGCCCAGCUGGCCGGCCCAGCACUGUGCUGGCCCAUGCCAGCCAGCUGCUUUGCCAUCGCCACGCAGGCACAGAGCUGACGCCAGCGAGUGUGAGCUCGCCACGGCGCCAACUGCUUGCCGCCCGCGCCACCGAGCACCUGGGUGAGCUCCACGUCGCCACCCCGACCCCGUGGACACCUCAUUCGCCCCCCUGCCUCUUCCCUCGCUCUCCCGCACCAUGGCCGACGCACCCGUCGCCGCACCGCCGACGUAGUCGCGCCCUCCAUCGUCCCCGUGCUGCACCACCGUGUCCCUUCGCUCCGUCGUCAUCAACUACAUCGAGCAGGCCGAGCCCCGAGCGCUCGUGGGCCUUGCUUCGUCUUCUUUGACCUCAUCUUCACCGAGCACCACCGCAGAUCCCCUUCGCCGUCGCCGCUGCACCAGCUCGUCCCCGACCUCGCCGACCACUCCGUUGUGACCGCCGUGAGCUCAGCCACCUCCCCAUCCUCCCCGUUUGCCUUCUCGUGCACCGUAGCAGCCGCAUGGAGCUUCAUCGCACGCACCACCGCCGAGCUCGUCGCCGACGUGCCUCCGGCCAUCCACCGUCCACACCACGGUAUCUAACAUGCUCAUUGCAUCGCGUAGAGUCUAACGCCCCACUCCACGCGCCUCGCCGUGCCCCGUAGCCACGGGUCAAUUUUCACCCGACUCCGGCGACCGUCGCGGUCGUCGCUGCCGACGUUCCUGGCCACCUCGACCUCAACCACCACCACCAAACGCCGCGGCUUGUUCCUGGCUACACGUAGAUGGUCUUCGCCGUCCAUUUGGUCGCCGGAACGUGCUAACCCACUUCCUCUGCCGCAUCUGGCCUCGCCAGCGGCUAGACGCCGGCGUGUUUGACCCGUUGACGUUGACUGGGUGGGCCAGGUUGACUCCCCUGAGUCUAUGACAAGUGGGCCCCCCCCUCUGCUAAUUAACCUAGUUUAGUUCUUACUAAAAUCAGUUAGUUUAAAUAAGUGCUGACAUGCGGGACCCACUGGUCAGUUUGACCUGAACGACCCCUUUGACCAUUGACGUCACCCUGAUGCACUGCUGACGCAAUAACCAAUUUCUGGAUUUAUUGUUAUAUAGGAAAUUCCAGAAAUUGUUGCAAACUUCAAAAAUUCAUAGAAAUUAAUCUGUAACUCCAAAUGCAAAGAUUUAUAUAUGAAUUUCGAUCAAAAAAAUUCAAUAUAUCCAUUGGUAAUGGUUUCAUGCAUGUCAGAACAAGUUAACCUUGUUGUUUAAUCAAAACAAGUUAAUGCACUAAUAUGACUAUGUUAAAUGAACUACCAUUUGCAUCUUUGAUUCAAAUGAGUUCAUACCUUUCUGUUCUAGCUUGCAUUAGGCCAGGACACAUUCAUGUUGCCAUGUCAUAGCAUGCAUCAUAUUGUUGCAUAUCGUCAUGUGUGGUUCAUGUUCGGUGUGUUUUCGUGAUAGGUUCUGCCUCCGAGGAUAACCCCGAAUAUCCGUCUGAAGGGCAGUAUCCUACUACCACUACAUCAGGCAAGCAACCCAUUGAUCAUUCUGAUACAAACCCAUGUUCUCGCCUCUGCUCUUGUUUACUGCAUUAAGAUAACGCGAUUCAAACUGUUGUGUGUUGUGGUAGUUGAACCCACUUCCUUUGCAUGACCUGUCAUUGCCACGGUAACUAGAUGAAACCCACUAGCAUGUGUAGGAGUUGAUUGAGCCAUAUCUGUGUUACCUACCAUGCUAUGCUUGCUAUGCUUAGAGUUGUGUCAGGUCUGGCUCAUCAGGAUGAUGAACUAGAGUGAAAGGUUGUGUCGGUAACGAGAGUGAAGUGUUGAACACGAUUUGGUAAAGGUAUCGAUGAGAGGCCAUGUAGGAGUACAUGGUGGGUUGUUUCAUUGAGGCCGUCCUUAAGCACUGAGAUCUGUGUGUGUGAUUUAAGAUUCAGCUACUACCACGCAUUGGGCCCAAAACCAAUGGACCCUCUCGACUUAUUAACCACUCUUGUCCUCAGUCCGGGAGUUGCAAGUAGUUUCUGGUGUUUGUAGCAUGCUGGGGGCCGCACGCAGCGCUGACCUUAGGGGUGGGUUGUGUUGCGGUAGGCACGUGGCACGGUGUAUCGAUUCGCCCGUUUGGUGUCUCGGGAACCCUGUUCACAUCGUUCGGGGCCGUUAGUGGAAACCUCGGCCGGACUCCCUGCGGAUGGAACCCAAAUAGGCGAUAAACCUGGACUAGGGACUCGUGUGUUUAGUCAGGCCAUGGCCGACACCCUUGCUGGGCUUCCGCUUGAAGGUUGCCGAGUACACGUCAUGUAGUGGCGAUAAGUGGUGAGAGCGUGUGUGAAGAAGUACACCCCUGCAGGGUACAAAACUAUUCGAAUAGCCGCGUCCACGGUAAAGGACUACUUGGUCACCUAUACAGUUCAUAGACAAGUAAAUGGAUACUUCUAAAAGCCUCAAGAUAAGUGUGAGUGCCGCGGAUGGCCCUGUCGUAGGUUGACGAGAGAGGAUCCACGGUGGAGUAUUGUGUUGGUGAGUAGUGGACUCGUGUGCGACAAAUGUUUUGCAAGUUGUGUCUAUCGUUGGAUAGCUUAGCCAAGAGUCAAAGCUGGCUUGCUGCAAUAACUCCACUACCUUCUUGAGAAUGUGCAUGUAUGAUAGGAUUCUGUUGUAAGACUUGCUGAGUACCUCUGUACUCAUGUUUGCUUAAUUAAUGUUUUCAGACGACAACACCAACCCCUCCGAUGGGUUCUACGUAGACCUCGACGUUGACGAGUGACUAGCCACCCAAGUGGUGAUCCAAGACUUGUGAAGGGCCGAUGUAGAUAGAAAGGCUUCAUCAAGCCCUCUUUCUUUCUAGUGUCUGUACUCAGACUAGUUGCUUCCGCAUGUGCUUGUAUGCUUGUAUGACUUGAGUGUCAGGUCAUGUGACCCCUAUCUGUAUGAACAUGUUAUGUAUGGCUCCUCGGAGCCACUUAAAUAAAGUACUUUGAGUUGUAGAGUUUUGUUGUGAUGCCAUGUUGUAUGUACUCAUAUCGGGCAUAUUGUGUGUAUGUUUGAAAUGCUUGGUAUGAGUGGGAUCCGACAAUCUAGUUGUUUAUCCUUGGCAGCCUCUCAUAUGGGGAAAUGUAGUCUAGUGCUUCUUGAGCGAUAGUAGUCCGCUACAGCCCGGUUCACCGGAGUCCUGCUAGCCCAGUACUACUGCUCUGGACACUUGACUGGCCGGCAUGUGUUUCACUUUGUUCCUGUGUCUGUCCCUUCGGGGAAAUGUCAAGCGGUGGCAUCCGGAGUCCUGCCUAGCCUGCUACAGCCCGGGUUACCGGAGUCCUGUUAGCCCAGCGUUACAUCCCGGAUGUAUACGUUGAUGACCAACAUGCUCGAUGUGAUUCAUGUAUGCAUGUCCCCAUAGGUUAGCGCCGCUUGGGUUCACGACUAGCCAUGUCGGCCCGGGUUCUCAGUCAUGUGGAUGCUAGCGACACUAUCAUAUACGUGAGCCAAAAGGCGCAAACGGUCUCGGGCCAUGGUAAGGCGCCACCCGUGGGAUUACCGUGCGUGAGGCCGCAAAGUGAUAUGAGGUGUUACCGGCUGGAUCAAUGUGACUUGGAAUCGGGGUCCUGACAAUUACUUGCUCCUAUCAUAUGUUUGGUUGCAACAAUGUCACUUCUUCACAUAUGCCAUGUCCCAUUGCUUGUCUCAUGCUUGACUUCAUUGCCUCACACAUGAUGAACAAUUGCUCUUUAUAUUGUGUUGAGUGUUACACUAUAUUCACUACAUCCUAUGCACGUUAUGUUUGGAUUGUCUUGCACUUGACCCAUGUGUUUAGACACUUCAUUUUAUUUGGUGUUGUGAAUCCUUCCUAUGCCUACCAUAGACCUUUCAUUGAGCAAUUUGUGAAUGCUUGCUAUGACCUCGAGGUAGAUGCUUAUGCUCUUGUCACACAUAUUUGCAUCUCUACCUCACAUUUACAUGCUUGUUCCCAUGAUAUUUUUGCUUGUGCUCGAUUGAUAUGCUUACAUGCCAUGUCACAAUCCUUUGUCACACCCUAUGCUAUGCUUGAUGACAACACUUGUUUGGUGAAUCACCUCUUGAAUGCUUGGUUUUGCACGAACGCAAACCACAUUUGUUUUUCCACGGGUUUGUUCUAUUUGCUCCUUUUGAAGGAAUCACAAGAUGGUGCGACACUGGAGAGUGCCCACUUCGAGCUACUAGACGAUGAGUGCUUGGUGAUCGACCACUUCGAUAUGGCACCGCCAUCUCUUUCCUAUGGUGAUUUGGUUUUCGAUCCGAGGUCGAAUCCUUCUCAAGGGGGAGGGGAUGAUGCGGAGCAUCCUAUGGACAUCACCAUGUCAAGAGUCCAUUCGGCAAGUGACACGUGCGACAUCUACUUCUCAUACAUAAAGGUGAAUCUUCUCCUUUACACGUGUUCACUUGACCCCUUCGAGGAUGGUAUACUACUUGACACUUCUCCCGUGUGCAUGCAUAGGUAUUGUCAGAGCUUUACGGAUGUCGAGGAGUGCAAGCGCCAAGGAACGACUACACCGUCCGCGAGGGAAGCAUGGAAGAGAAGGAGGAAGAGAACCUGGUGUUGGGGAACGUAGUAAUUUCAAAAUUUUCCUACGCACAUGCAAGAUCAUGGUGAUGAUAUAGCAACGAGGGGAGAGUGUUGUCUACGUACCCUCGUAGACCGAAGCGGAAGCGUUGACGCAGCGUAGAGGAAGUAGUCCUACGUCCUCCCGGUCCGACCGAUCCAAGCACCGUUACUCCGGCACCUCUGAGUUCUUGACACACGUACAGCUCGAUGACGCACCCUCGAUCUCCAAUCCAGUAGAGGCUCCAAGGGGGAGUUCCGUCAGCACGACGGCGUGGUGACUAUCUUGAUGUUCUCCUGUCGCAGGGCUUCGCCUAAGCACCGCUACAAUAUGACCGAGGUGUAAUAUCGUGGAGGGGGGCACCGCACACGGCUAAGGAACGAUCAAUGAUCAACUUGUGUGUUCUAGGGUGCCCCCUACCCCCGUAUAUAAAGGAGGGAGGGAGGAGGUGGCCGACCCAAGGAGGGGGCGCGCCAUGGGAGGAGGAAACCUACUCCAAGUAGGUUUCCCCUCUUUUUCCUUAUCUUAUUUGGAGGGGGAAGGAAGGAGUACUAGUAGUAGGAAGGAGUACUAGUAGUAGGAAAGGAAGAGGGGGAAGGAGAAAGGAAAGGGGGGGCCGGCCCCCCUCCCCAAUUCGGAUUGGGCUUGGGGGGGCGCGCCCCCCUCCCUUGCUCCUUCUCCCUUCCUCCUACAUGGGCCCAAUAAGGCCCAUAUACCUCCCGGGGGGGUUUCGGUAACCUCCCGGAGCUCCAAACUCUUCCGGAACCUUUCCGGUGUCCAAAUAUAUCCGUCCAAUAUAUCGAUCUUUAUGUAUCGACCAUUUCGAGACUCCUCGUCAUGUCCGUGAUCAUAUCCGGGACUCCGAACAAACUUCGGUACAUCAAAAUACAUAAACUCAUAAUAUAACUGUCAUCGAAACCUUAAGCGUGCGGACCCUACGGUUCGAGAACGAUGUAGACAUGACCGAGACAUGUCUCUGGUCAAUAACCAAUAGCGGGACCUGGAUGCCCAUAUUGGUUCCUACAUAUUCUACGAAGAUCUUUAUCGGUCAAACCGCAUAACAGCAUACGUUGUUCCCUUUGUCAUUGGUAUGUUACUUGUCCGAGAUUUGAUCGUCGGUAUCCAAUACCUAGUUCAAUCUCGUUACCGACAAGUCUCUUUACUCGUUCUGUAAUACUUCAUCUCAUAACUAACUCAUUAGUUAUAUGCUUGCAAGGCUUAUGUGAUGAGCAUUACCGAGAGGGCCCAGAGAUACCUCUCCGACAAUCGGAGUGACAAAACCUAAUCUCGAAUUAUGCUAACUCAACAUGUACCUUCGGAGACACCUGUAGUACUCCUUUAUAAUCACCCAGUUACGUUGUGACGUUUGGUAGUACCCAAAGUGUUCCUCCGAUAAACGGGAGUUACACAAUUCUCAUAGUUACAGGAACAUGUAUAAGUCAUGAAGGAAGCAAUAGCAGAAUACUAAACGAUCAAGUGCUAAGCUAACGGGAUGGGUCAUGUCAAUCACAUCAUUCUCCUAAUGAUGUGAUCCCAUUAAUCAAAUGACAACACAUGUCUAUGGUUAGGAAACAUAACCAUCUUUGACUAAUGAGCUAGUCAAGUAGAGGCAUACUAGUGACUAUAUGUUUGUCUAUGUAUUCACACAUGUAUCAUGUUUCCGGUUAAUACAAUUCUAGCAUGAAUAAUAAACAUUUAUCAUGAUAUGAGGAAAUAAAUAAUAACUUUAUUAUUGCCUCUAGGGCAUAUUUCCUUCAGUCUCCCACUUGCACUAGAGUCAAUAAUCUAGUUCACAUCGCCAUGUGAUUUAACACCAAUAUUCAUAUCUGUAUAUGAUUAACACCCAUAGUUCACAUCAUCAUGUGACCAACAUCCAAAGUGUUUACUAGAGUCAAUAAUCUAGUUCACAUCGCUAUGUGAUUAACACCCAAAGAGUACUAAGGUGUGAUCAUGUUUUGCUCGUGAGAGAAGCUCAGUCAACGGGUCUGUCACAUUCAGAGCCAUAUGUAUUUUGCAAAUAUUCUAUGUCUACAAUGCUCUGCACGGAGCUACUCUAGCUAAUCGCUCCCACUUUCAAUAUGUAUCCAGAUUGAGACUUAGAGUCAUCUGGAUCGGUGUGAAAACUUGCACCGAGAUAACUUUUACGACGGGCUCUUUUAUCACCUCCAUAAUCGAGAAAUAUUUCCUUAGUCCUCACUAAGGAUAUUCUUGACCAAUGUCCAGUGAUCUACUCCUAGAUCACUAUUGUACUCCCUUGUCAAAUACAGAGCAAGGUAUACAAUAGGUCUGGUACAUAGCAUGGCAUACUUUAUAGAACCUAUGACUGAGGCAUAGGGAAUGACUUUUCAUUCUCUUUCUAUUUUCUGCUGUGGUCGGGAUUUGAGUCUUACUCAAUUUCAUACCUUUGCAACACAGGCAAGAACUCUUUCUUUGACUGUUCCAUUUUGAACUACUUCAAAAUCUUGUCAAGGUAUGUACUCAUUGAAAAUCUUAUCAAGCGUCUUGAUCUAUCUCAAUAGAUCUUGAUGCUCAAUAUGUAUGUAGUUUUACUGAGGUCUUUCUUUGAAAAAACUCUUAUUCAAGUAUCCUUUAAUGCUUUGCAGAAUAAUUCUACAUUAUUUCCGAUCAGCAAUAUGUCAUUCACAUAUACUUAUCAGAAAUGCUGUAGUGCUCCCACUCACUUUCUUGUAAAUACAGGCUUCACCGCAAGUCUGUAUAAUACUAUAUGCUUUGAUCAACUUAUCAAAGCGUAUAUUCCAACUCUGAGAUGCUUGCACCAGUCCAUAGAUGGAUUGCUGGAGCUUGCACAUUUUGUUAGCACCUUUAGGAUUGACAAAACCUUCUGGUUGUAUCAUAUACAACUCUUCUUUAAUAAAUUCAUUAAGGAAUGUAGUUUUGACAUCCAUUUGCCAAAUUUCAUAAAAUGUGGCAAUUGCUAACAUGAUUCGGACAAACUUUUAAGCAUCGAUACGAGUAAGAAAAUCUCAUCGUAUUCAACACCUUGAACUUUGUCAAAAACCUUUUUUCGACAAGUCUAGCUUUGUAGAUAGUAACACUACUAUCAACGUCCGUCUUCCUCUUGAAGAUCCAUUUAUUCUUAAUGACUCACUGAUCAUCGGGCAAGUCAAUCAAAGUCUACACUUUGUUCUCAUACAUGGAUCAUAUCUCAGAUUUCAUGGCCCCAAGCCAUUUCGUGGAAUCUGGGCUCAUCAUCGCUUCCUCAUAGUUCGUAGGUUCAUCAUGGUCUAGUAACAUGACUUCCAGAACAUGAUUACCGUACCACUCUGGUGCGGAUCUUACUCUGGAAGACCUACGAGGUUUGGUAGCAACUUGAUCUGAAGUUUGAUGAUCAUCAUCAUUAACUUCCUCACUAAUUGGUGUAGGAAUCACUGGAACUGAUUUCUGUGAUGAACUACUUUCCAAUAAGGGAGAAGGUACAAUUACCUCAUCAAGUUUUACUCUCCUCCCACUCACUUCUUUCGAGAGAAACUCCUUCUCUGGAAAGGAUCCAUUUUAGCAACGAAUGUCUUGCCUUCGGAUCUGUGAUAGAAGGUGUACCCAACAAUUUCCUUUGGGUAUUCUAUGAAGACGCACUUCUCCGAUUUGGGUUCGAGCUUAUCAGGAUGAAACUUUUUCACAUAAGCAUCGCAGCCCCAAACUUUAAGAAACAACAGCUUAGGUUUACUGCUAAACCAUAGUUCAUACGGUGUCGUCUCAACGGAUUUAAAUGGUGCCCUAUUUUAAAACGUGAAUGCAGCUGUCUCUAAUGCAUAACCCCAAAACGAUAGUGGUAAAGAGACAUCAUAGAUCGCACCAUAUCAAAUAAAGUGCGGUUACGACGUUCGGACACACCAUAACGAUGUGGUGUUCCAGGUGGUGUGAGCUGUGAAACUAUUCCACAUUGUUUUAAUUGAAGACCAAACUCGUAACUCAAAUAUUUGUCUCCGCUAUCAGAUCGCAGAAACUUUAUUUUCUUGUUACGAUGAUUUUUCCACUUCACUCUGAAAUUCUUUGAACCUUUCAACUAUUUCAGACUUAUGUUUCAUCAAGUAGAUAUACCCAUAUCUGCUCAAAUCAUCUUGUGAAGGUCAGAAAAUAACGAUACUUGCCACGAGCCUCAACACUCAUUGGAUCGCAUACAUCGGUAUGUAUUAUUUCCAAUAAGUCAGUAGCUUGUUCCAUUAUUCCGGAGAACGGAGUUUUAGUCAUCUUGCCCAAAAGGCACGGUCCGCAAGCAUCAAAUGAUUCAUAACCAAGUGAUUCCGAAAAUCCAUCUUUAUGGAGUUUCUUCAUGCGCUUUACACCGAUAUGACCCAAACGGCAGUGCCACAAAUAAGUUGCACUAUCAUUAUUAACUUUGCAUCUUUUGGCUUCAAUAUUAUGAAUGUGUGUAUCACACGAUCGAGAUCCAACAAACCAUUUUCAUUGGGUGUAUAACCAUAGAAAGUUUUAUUCAUGAAAACAGAACAACAAUUAUUCUCUAACUUACAUGAAUAACCGUAUUGCAAUAAACAUGAUCAAAUCAUAUUCAUUCUCAACGCAAACACCAAAUAACACUUAUUUAGGUUUAACACUAAUCCCGGAAGUAUAGGGAGUGUGCGAUGAUGAUCAUAUCAAUCUUGGAACUAUUUCCAACACACAUCGUCACUACACUCUUAACUAGUCUCUGUUUAUUCUGCAACUCCCGUUUCGAGUUACUAAUCUUAGCAACCGAACAAGUAUCAAAUACUUAGGGGCUACUAUAAACACUAGUAUGGAACACAUCAAUAAUCUGUAUAUCAAAUAUACCCUUGUUCACUUUGCCAUCCUUCUUAUCAACCAAAUAUUCAGGGCAUUUCCGCUUCCAGUGACCAUUUCCUUUGCAGUGUAAACACUCAGUUUCAGGCUAUGGUCCAGCUUUGGGCUUGUCUUUCCACUUGAAGUUCCCUUUCUUUCCCUUUGCCCUUCUCUUGAAACUAGUGGUCUUGUCAAUCAUCAACACUUGAUGCUCUUUCUUGAUUUCUACCUUCGUCGAUUUCAACAUCACGAAGAGCUCGGGAAUCAUUUUUUCGUCAUCCCUUGCAUACUAUAGUUCAUCACGAAGUUCUAGUAACUUAGUGAUGGUGACUAGAGAAUUCUGUCAAUCACUAUCUUAUCUGGAAGAUUAACUCCCACUUGAUUCAAGCGAUUGAAGUACCCAGACAAUCUGAGCACAUGCUCACUAGUUGAGCGAUUCUCCUCCAUCUUUUAGCUAUAGAACUUGUUGGAGACUUCAUAUCUCUCAACUCGGGUAUUUGCUUGAAAUAUUAACUUCAAUUCCUGGAACAUCUCAUAUGGUCCAUGAUGUUCAAAACAUCUUUGAAGUCCCGAUUCUAAGCCGUUAAGCAUGGUGCACAAAACUAUCAAGUAGUCAUCAUAUUGAGCUAGCCAAACGUUCAUAACGUCUACAUUUGCUCCUGCAUUAGGUCUUUCACCUAGCGGUGCAUUAAGGACAUAAUUCUUCUGUGCAGCAAUGAGGAUAAACCUCAGAUCACGGAUCCAAUCCGCAUCAUUGCUACUAACAUCUUUCAACACAGUUUUCUCUAGGAACAUAUCAAAAUAAACAUAUGAAAGCAACAACGCGAGCUAUUGAUCUAUAACACAAUUUGCAAAAUACUACCAGGACUAAGUUCAUGAUAAAUUAAAGUUCAAUUAAUCAUAUUACUAAAGAACUCCCACUUAGACAGACAUCUCUCUAGUCAUCUAAGUGAUCACGUGAUCCAAAUCAACUAAACCAUGUCCGAUCAUCACGUGAGAUGGAGUAGUUUCAAUGGUGAACAUCGCUAUGUUGAUCAUAUCUACUAUAUGAUUCACGCUCGACCUUUCGGUCUCCGUGUUCCGAGGCCAUAUCUGUAUAUGCUAGGCUCGUCAAGUAUAACCUGAGUAUUCCGCAUGUGCAACUGUUUUGCACCCGUUGUAUUUGAACGUAGAGCCUAUCACACCCGAUCAUCACGUGGUGUCUCAGCACGAAGAACUUUCGCAACGGUGCAUACUCAGGGAGAACACUUCUUGAUAAUUAGUGAUAGAUCAUCUUAAAAUGCUACCGUCAAUCAAAGCAAGAUAAGAUGCAUAAAGGAUAAACAUCACAUGCAAUCAAUAUAAGUGAUAUGAUAUGGCCAUCAUCAUCUUGUGCUUGUGAUCUCCAUCUCCGAAGCACCGUCGUGAUCACCAUCGUCACCGGCGCGACACCUUGAUCUCCAUCGUAGCAUCGUUGUCGAUUACGCCAUCUAUUGCUUCUACGACUAUCGCUACCGCUUAGUGAUAAAGUAAAGCAAUUACAGGGCGUUUCCAUUUCAUACAAUAAAGUGACAACCAUAUGGCUCCUGCCAGUUGCCGAUAACUUCGGUUACAAAACAUGAUCAUCUCAUACAAUAAAAUAUAGCAUCACGUCUUGGCCAUAUCACAUCACAACAUGCCCUGCAAAAACAAGUUAGACGUCCUCUACUUUGUUGUUGCAAAUUUUACGUGGCUGCUACGGGCUUAGCAAGAACCGUUCUUACCUACGCAUCAAAACCACAACGAUAGUUUGUCAAAUAGACUCCGUUUUAACCUUCACAAGGACCGGGCGUAGCCACACUCGGUUCAACUAAAGUUGGAGAAACAGACACCCGCCAGUCACCUGUGUGCAAAGCAUGGCGGUAAAACCAGUCUCGCGUAAGCGUACGCGUAAUGUCGGUCCGGGCCGCUUCAUCCAACAAUACCGCUGAACCAAAGUAUAACAUGCUGGUAGGCAGUAUGACUUAUAUCGUCCACAACUCACUUGUGGUCUACUCGUGCAUAUAACAUCAACGAAUAAAACCUAGGCUCUGAUGCCACUGUUGGGGAACGUAGUAAUUUCAAAAUUUUCCUACGCACAUGCAAGAUCAUGGUGAUGAUAUAGCAACGAGGGGAGAGUGUUGUCUACGUACCCUCGUAGACCGAAGCGGAAGCGUUGACGCAACGUAGAGGAAGUAGUCGUACGUCCUCCCGGUUCGACCGAUCCAAGCACCGUUACUCCGGCACCUCCGAGUUCUUGACACACGUACAGCUCGAUGACGCACCCUCGAUCUCCAAUCCAGUAGAGGCUCCGAGGGGGAGUUCCGUCAGCACAACAGCGUGGUGACUAUAUUGAUGUUCUCCUGUCGCAGGGCUUCGCCUAAGCACCGCUACAAUAUGACCGAGGUGUAAUAUCGUGGAGGGGGGCACCGCACACGGCUAAGGAACGAUCAAUGAUCAACUUGUGUGUUCUAGGGUGCCCCCCUACCCCCGUAUAUAAAGGAGGGAGGGAGGAGGUGGCCGGCCCAAGGAGGGGGCGCGCCAUGGGAGGAGGAAACCUACUCCAAGUAGGUUUCCCCUCUUUUUCCUUAUCUUAUUUGGAGGGGGAAGGAAGGAGUACUAGUAGUAGGAAGGAGUACUAGUAGUAGGAAAGGAAGAGGGGGAAGGAGAAAGGAAAGGGGGGGCCGGCCCCCUCCCCAAUUCGGAUUGGGCUUGGGGGGGCGCGCCCCCCUCCCUUGCUCCUUCUCCCUUCCUCCUACAUGGGCCCAAUAAGGCCCAUAUACCUCCCGGGGGGUUCCGGUAACCUCCCGAAGCUCCAAACUCUUCCGGAACCUUUCCGGUGUCCAAAUAUAUCCGUCCAAUAUAUCAAUCUUUAUGUCUCGACCAUUUCGAGACUCCUCGUCAUGUCCGUGAUCACAUCCGGGACUCCGAACAAACUUUGGUACAUCAAAAUACAUAAACUCAUAAUAUAACUAUCAUCGAAAACUUAAGCGUGCGGACCCUACGGUUCGAGAACGAUGUAGACAUGACCGAGACAUGUCUCUGGUCAAUAACCAAUAGUGGGACCUGGAUGCCCAUAUUGGUUCCUACAUAUUCUACGAAGAUCUUUAUCGGUCAAACCGCAUAACAGCAUACGUUGUUCCCUUUGUCAUCGGUAUGUUACUUGUCCGAGAUUUGAUCGUCGGUAUCCAAUACCUAGUUCAAUCUCGUUACCGACAAGUCUCUUUACUCAUUCUGUAAUACUUCAUCUCAUAACUAACUCAUUAGUUAUAUGCUUGCAAGGCUUAUGUGAUGAGCAUUACCGAGAGGGCCCAGAGAUACCCCUCCGACAAUCGGAGUGACAAAACCUAAUCUCGAAUUAUGCUAACUCAACAUGUACCUUCGGAGACACCUGUAGUACUCCUUGAUAAUCACCCAGUUACGUUGUGACGUUUGGUAGUACCCAAAGUGUUCCUCCGGUAAACGGGAGUUACACAAUUCUCAUAGUUACAGGAACAUGUAUAAGUCAUGAAGGAAGCAAUAGCAGAAUACUAAACGAUCAAGUGCUAAGCUAACGGGAUGGGUCAUGUCAAUCACAUCAUUCUCCUAAUGAUGUGAUCCCAUUAAUCAAAUGACAACACAUGUCUAUGGUUAGGAAACAUAAUCAUCUUUGACUAAUGAGCUAGUCAAGUAGAGGCAUACUAGUGACUAUAUGUUUGUCUAUGUAUUCACACAUGUAUCAUGUUUCCGGUUAAUACAAUUCUAGCAUGAAUAAUAAACAUUUAUCAUGAUAUGAGGAAAUAAAUAAUAACUUUAUUAUUGCCUCUAGGGCAUAUUUCCUUCACCUGGCCGCUCCAGAACGAGCGGUACUACCGCCCACUCCAAGCGGUACUACCGCUGAGGCCACCCAAGAGGCACUACCGCCCAGCAUCCGCCCUACUACCGCUCAACCCGACAAACUCCAGUGAUCGAGCGGUAUAAGCCCGGUACUACCGCCCCUCCAAGCGGUACUACCGCUCAAGCGGUACUACCACCCAUGAGUCCGGUACUACCGCCCUGCUUGUGAGCAGCCGCGGGCCUUUGGCCUUGUAUCCCUCUCCCACUUACCCCUUCGUGGCUUAGACUAUAAAUAGACCACCUCCACCUCCUUUCUAGGGUUAGAACAGAUUGAGCUUAUUUUGAGAUAGAGCUUUACUCAUCCAUACGGAUCUACUCCUCGUGAGAGACUGCGGCCUCUUCGGAGAAGAUCGAUCUUGGAUUCAAGACCCCUCGUGGGAAGAUCCGUCUAGGAUCAUCAAGACCUCCUCUUGGAGAUGAACCUUACCUUGUAUCUUUCCCUUUGUUGUUCAUGUACCCUUGUGGAUCUUGUGUGUUUGAUUGUCUAGUGGAUGUGUGAUUGGACUUGUUCUUGAGUGUUUCCCCUUGUGAUUUCUCUCCGUUCUUCCCUGUGUUCUUCGUGUUCUUCGUGGGGAUCCACUCCAAACGUGAAAAAUCGGCCUCUAGGGUUCUACCCUACAUCAUCAUCCUUCAAAAAUAUGGAGGGCCAUUAUUGACGGAAGGGAUAUUAUAUGGCGCAAGGUAUAAUCAGACGCAUCGGGGAUGGAGCGACUACACACAUAUGGGAUCACAACUGGAUUAUGAUGGAAAGCUAUAAGAGGCCAAUAACUAAGUUAGUGCAGAACCCCCCUCAGAAACAUUUUAUGUAUACACGUUAACAUUUCCCAGAUAUAUGAUUAAUAUUUUUGGAAAACUUCUAUUUUUUAUGUGUACUUUUUUAUACAUUUUGUAAUAUCAGAAAUAGUUUUUAUAGAAGGUUUAACAUUUUUCAAAUACAUGAUUACCUUUUUGUAAACUUAUAUUGUUUGACGUUUACUUUUUUUCAUAGACAUAGUGAGGGGUUAUAUCUAAGGAAUAGGCCCAAGUACAUGUAUGGCACAACCAAAUGCCCAUGUUAAUCAAGGAUGUUCCACAAGACAAAUGGGGAAACACACCAAGGCCAAUGGAGCUACAAGGCCAAGGCAUCGGAUACAAGGGGAGAGUCAACUAUGUACAGUCGGAUUACACAGCCCUUAACAGACAAGACUCAUCAGUUGGUCCACUAUUGGAAUCAGGUCAUUUGCCGUCAGCCCAGAAUAGACGCGAAGACUUUGCCGUGAGCAAGUUGACGACAAACACAAUCAGCAAAGACUAUAUCGGCAGAGAGCUAAUUUGACGUCAACUUUUCAUCGCGCUGAUGACAAAGACUUUGCCGUCAAUUAAACUAUGUGUUUGUAGUCUGUAGAGAAAACACAAACGGCAAAGAAAUUAAAAAAAUGGUCAUUUUAAAAUAAUUUUUAGAAAUCUAUAUACUGUUUUUUAAAAUGUUUAAUAUGUACCAAGAAUUAUUUCGUAAGUAUACAAAAGAUGUAUAACGUGUAUGAAAAUUACGUAGACAUCAGAACAUAUUAUAGAAAUGUUAAUCUUGUAUUUAAAAAUUUUAAAUACACAUGCAUAAAAAUGUUUUUGAUGUACAUAAAAAAAUUGUACAUAGUGUGUGAACAAAGUAUGCAUUGAAAAAACAAAAAUCUUGUUGGAAAAAAAUCUCGUGUUGUAUACGAAAAUGUAAAAGGUGUAUGAAAAUAAUUAGAUAUAUGUUUAAUGAAAAAAGGAAAGAAGGCGCAAAAAAUCCGAUUAACACCAAGAUAGGAACAAGAAAACCUGAAGAAGACCAUUGAAAAAAAGAAAUGAAUACAAGAAAGAGGAAGAAAAACAAAAAAAAUGAAGAAGCUGAUGCAGAACAGGGAACUUAGUGAAAACGAAUAAAAAUUGAUGAAAACCGAGAAGAAAAACAAGAAAACUGAAGCAAAAAUUAAGAAAAAUAUGUAAAAAAAAUGAUGAAACAUUGCGAAACAGUGAAAUACUAUGAAAACCAAAGGAAAAAAAGACUCAAAAAUAAGAACGUACAGCAAGCGAAUGAACAACAACUGAGUGAACGAGCGAACAUGCGAGAAUACGUUAAUUGUCUGGCCCAUACUUGUGGAUUCCAGAGGCGAGCCAGAAUAGGCGAGAUAUAGCUAUGACGAUUUGAUACCCUUCAUAGCUUCACGAAUGCUAUAUCUCGCUCACAGCGAAAGUAUUUUUUGUCUGGCCUGAAGGUGAAAGAAUAGCAUCAGGUCGCUGUAAGUUUUGUGAUCCUACAAUCAGAGCUCGAUAAGAUUAAAAUUCAUGUUUCUGACAACCAGUCAUUCGCUCACUCAAUUCCACGUACUAGUUUGGUUAGGUUUUUUUUUCAUUUUUUUCUGUUUUUUAUUUCUUCACUGGCUUUCUUUGGUUUUUUUAUCGGUUUUCUUUGUUUCCUUCACGUUUUACUCUUUCUUUUCCUUUUUACUGGUUUAUCUAUUCCUUUUUUCUUUGUUUCUUUCUUGGUUUUCUUUGUUUUUUCUUUCUUUUGAUGUCAACCUUUUUACAUACACAUUCAACAAUUUUCGUAUACAUCAGAAACAUUUUAUGUAUACACGUUAACAAUUCCCAGGUACAUGAUUAAUAUUUUUGGAAAACUUCUAUUUUUUAUGUGUACUUUUUGAUACAUUUUGUAUAUAUCAGAAAUAUUUUUUAUAGAAGGUUUAACAUUUUUUAAAUACAUGAUUACCUUUUUGUAAACUUAUAUUGUUUGACGUUUACUUUUUUUCAUAGACAUAGUGAGGGGUUAUAUCUAAGGAAUAGGCCCAAGUACAUAUAUGGCCCAAGUACAUUUAAUCAAGGAUGUAGUCCACAAGACAAAUGGGGAAACAGACGGGGGCCAAUGGAGCUACAAGGCCAAAGCAUCGGAUACAAGGGGAGAAUCUACAGUCGGAUUACACAACCCUUGACAGACAAGACUCAUUAGUUGGUCCGCUAUAGGAAUCGGGUAAUUUGCCGUCAGCCGAGAACAUACUCAAAGACUUUGCCGUCAGCAAGUUGAUGACAACUUUUCAUCACGUUGAUGACAAAGACUUUGCCGUCAAUUAAACUAUGUGUUUAUCGUCUAUAGAAAAAACACAAACGGCAAAGGAAAGCACCUUUGCCAUCAGCGGCUAAUCUGCAUGUGUCUUCAACAAGACUCGUCUUGUCACUAGCCUCAAACAUCACAGAUGGAAAAGAAAUUUUUUAUUUUAAAAAAUCUGCGUCGACCACCCUACUUCGCACAUGUAGCCACCGCCUGGCCGCGCUCGCUGAUCACCCACAAGUGUAGGGGAUCUAUCGUAGUCCUUUCGAUAAGUAAGAGUGUCGAACCGAACGAGGAGUAGAAGGAAAUGACAAGCGGUUUUUAGUAAGGUAUUCUCUGCAAGCACUGAAAUUAUCGGUAACAGAUAGUUUUGUGAUAAGGUAAUUCGUAACGGGUAACAAGUAACAACAGUAAAUAAAGUGCAGCAAGGUGGCACAAUCCUUUUUGUAGCAAACGACAAGCCUGGACAAAUUCUUAUAUGAAGGAAAACGCUCCCGAGGACACAUGGGAAUUAUCGUCAAGCUAGUUUUCAUCACGCUCAUAUGAUUCACGUUCAUUACUUUGAUAAUUUAAUAUGUGGAUGGACCGGUGCUUGGAUACUGCUCUUUCUUGGAUAAGCAUCCCACUUAUGAUUAACCCCUAUUGCAAGCAUCCGCAACUCAAAAGAAAUAUUAAGGUAAACCUAAUCAUAGCAUGAAACAUUGACACGGCACAUUAUAAAGAGUUCAACCCAAAUUUUGUAGUAACACUAUUAUAUUUAAAUAGUGAUUAUUCCAACACAUGGAUAAUUAAUUAAGGCACCAGGUUGCGCUUGUGACCAGGAAAGACAAACUUAUGAACUUGCAAGCAUGACAAUCAGAUCGACAUCCACACAAUGUCAAUAUGAACAUUGUCUUGAUACAACUUUAUUUGUAUUUUAUUUCAGAAUUUAAACAACUAGUUUGGGCGGGUCACACACGACGUUGUGUGACACUUUAUUUGUCACCGCUGCAUCGACAUAUCCAUCGACUAAACAACGGUGAUCCAACUAUAUAUUACUAGAGACCUUUCCUUAUCAGUAGGCACCAACUCCAGUGCCAACGCCAAAUGGCACACUAGUGGUGGUCCUAUACAACGGCACAUUGACACGGCACAUCAUUGGCAGGGUACGGAGCGCAAUGGAAGUCAUCACCUCAAGCUGAGCUAUCUGGUGUGGCUGCAAAAAGGUACCCUGUGCCAAUUGUUGUUGUUGAGGUUGUUGCCCGAGUUGCUGCUGUGACUGCUGUUGGGGUUGGGAAACGCAUUGGCCCAACUGUUGCGGUUGCUGCUGCUGAGUUUGGAUGGAACCCCGAACCUGUUGUUGUUCUUGCAGGACGAUGGAGUAGAUGAUAGCACGGAUUGCCUCAUAGCGGGAUUGCUGGGGGAUUUGCGGCAACUGCUGGCAACAUUGUUGUUGCAUCACAUGGCAACUACUCUGCUGCAACAUUUGCGACCUAGCAAGACUUUGUGGCAUUGCCACAGGGCUGCAUUGCUGCUGGAGGAAUACCUUGCAUGGGUUCAGCUGCUGCAAGAUAGAUGGAUGAACAAAUGGUAUUUGUUGUUGCGGUAGAACUAGUUGUUGUUGUUGUUGCGAAAAUGAUGGUUGUUGUGGUAGAAUUGGUUGUUGUUGUUGUUGUUGCGAAAAUGGUGGUUGUUGCGGUAGUACUGGUUGUUGUUGUUGUGAAAACGGUGGUUGUUGUUGUGAAAAUGGUGGUAGUUGUUGCUGCGAAAAUGAUGGCUGUUGCGGUAGAACUGGUUGUUGUUGCUGCGAAAAUGGUGGUUGUUGCUGUGAAAAUGGUGGUUGUUGUUGCUGUGAAAAUGGUGGUUGUUGUUGCUGCGAUAAUGGUUGUUGUUGUUGUUGUUGUUGUUGUUGUUGUUGUUGUUGUUGUUGUUGUUGUUGUUGUUGUUGUUGUUGUUGUGAACAUGGUUGCUGUUGUGGAAAUUGUUGUGGUUGUUGUUGGAUGGGUUGUUGUGGUUGUUGGUGCGAUAAUGUUUGUUGUGGUGGUAAUGGUUGUUGCUGCGAUGGUCUCUCCAAACCAGGGAUGUGGCUAUUCUCCAUUUGUGCAAUGGCACUUGUCGCCGCAACGGCGAGGAGGGCAAAGAUGAGGAAGGUCUUCAUGGUGGACUAGUGUUAACUAGUAUUUCCUGGUUUUGAUGCUUGUGUUUGUGAUGAUCUUUAUACUUCAUGCCUAUUUAUAGUAGCCAGGGCACCACCUCUUUUCUUCUUUGCAUUAGCUUUAAUAAUUCUGUUUGGAUGCAUCUAAAAUGAUUUUUGAUACAGUGUGUUAGGUUGCACUAGCUACACGCAUACUUUUGGAUUGAUCAUCAAAGUUUCUUUUUAGUUGUGCAUAUGAUCAUACACAAAGUAUAGAAAUCCUGAUGCUUGCUAAAGAUGACUUGCCUUAUUCACUUUACAUGUCACACACUUAUCUGUAUAGUAUCACUUUUGCAACCGAGUUUGGAACCUUGUAUAGGUUGUCAGCCAUAAACAAGAAAGGCAAAACUUGUGUAGGACUAAGUUGCAAUCGUGUGUGGGCUGUUAAGAUAUGCUCGAUUGUUAAAGCCUUGCGUCUGGAGGGUUCUUCUAGACUCGGUUGCUUUUCAUAAAACUAACUUUGUAUUUUCCUCUAAGAUGAUAAGAUGAAAUGACGCCUGUAGAGCAUGACAUGACUCAUUGAAUUCCCUUUACACGUAAAGGAUGGUAAUUGCUUACAAGCUACUCCUACUAGCAUAUAUCCGGUCCUAACUCUAGACACGUCAUCACCAGUUCCAUCUUUUUUUUUUAGAUAAAUCAUCAGUUCCGUGUUUUUUUUUUUUGAGACAAUCAGUUCCAUCUAUGUUUUUUUUUGAGAGAAAUAGUUCCAUCUAUGGGUGAAGGAUUUUUUUGGGGGCAAAUGAUAGAUGGGGCUGGAACAGAGGCCCCAGCCUGGAACGAGAGAUUAGGCCCAACGUAAGCGAUGUGUGUGUUAGGGCACCAAAUUCGAACUGGGCUAUAGUUUUCGGAGGCCCCAACGUCAGAAGCCCAGCCCACACUCCGCCGAUCUGCGUCGUCUUCGUCUCCCCUUCCCCGUCCUCCUCGCCGGCCGGAUCGCUCGCCGGCGCACGACGUCUCCCGGACCCCACCGCCCGCGGCCGCUCCACGUACGCGCGCGGCGGCGGAGGCGUCGGCCUCCCUCCCACCCUCCGCAUCCGGCCCCCCACCACCACCGCCACCGCCACCGCUCGAGGUACCCACUCGUUCCCCUUCCCAUUCCUCCCUACCCUCAACCUCUCUCGUAUCCUCUUCUAACAGCUCUUUUUACUUCCGUUGCAGAUGGUCUCUGAGCUCCCCCGUCGGCUGCGCGCCGUAGGCCUCCCCUCCCGGUCGACACAAGGUAUCGAUCCUGUCCGUCCGUCUCUUCCAGCGAUUCGAUUCACAUGAAUUCGAGAGGCGUGCCCAUCUCCAUGCUAGCUGCGUGGAUCAGGAGGGUCAGGAAGCAGAAUUCAGAUGCCUGACAGUGACAUACUACUACAUUUGUGGCUUUGGAAGCUGAGCAACUCCGUGCUUUAUGUGGAUGUCACUUCAAGUAAUCAUCAAAUUUCCGCCUACGCGCGCUACCCAGGUGGAGUGGAGGAGAAGCAGUUGGCAUGGGCAUUCCGUUUCUCUCCCAUGUCUGAGAAGAAAGUUCGUCUCCGGUGCAGCGAUAUCCAAGUUAGUUACAGCAUCCAGUCAUCUAUAUAAUCUCAGUGUUUAUUCUGUUUUGUACUGUCGUAUUUCAUAUGUGCAUCAGAGCAAAUGUGCUUUCUAGAGGCAUGUUGCAGCUGGCCGAGUCCCAGAUCUCGUUUCAUGUAUAUGGCCAUAGGCAGCGAUCAAUAAAAGGGUACUGGAAUUGAUCUUCUAACGUCACUGUUGUUUCUAGCUCCCUGUCUUUGUUUUUGUUGCUUCCGUCGUAUGGUUGCAAAGUUAGGCUUCAUCUGAUUUUAGUUAGUUAAUCUGAUCUCGUUAACCUGAUAAAGAGAAUUCCACCCUGCCCUUUAUUCCGCUCUUCACUGUCUCACAAUAAGGGAACAUAUUAAGCUCACCAAAUUGUGUCCCUCAAAAAUAAAAAAUAAACUCACCAAAUUGUAUCACAGGAGAUUGUCAAGUUGUGUUUUAUCAUAUCAGUAUAGUAAGUGUAUCAUUUGUCCAUAUCAACAAGGGAUAGUCAUCUGCCAGCUUAUUAUGCUCAUCUCUGAGCUCGAUCAUGCCCUUCAAUGUUAGUUAGAGGUGUCAUUAAAACAGGACAAGAAAUUAACCACUUUCCACCGGGUCUUCUCUCUUGAGCAGGAAGCAUGUGAUGCAUUCAAGAUUCGAUGAAUUCACGAAAACCAAUAUCGUGGUCCUCCCUGUGCAGCAGGUACCUGAGAUGAAUUGUAUUUUGUAAGUGCUCUGUAUGCGUGCUGUCAGCCGGCAGUGGAGGUAAUUGUUUAAUUUGCAUUCCUGCAACUUCUUGUAUUUGUAAAGAAAAUUCUUACUAUUUGCUGAGUGCACAGCCAUUGCAUUGUCACUUUUGAAAAACCGCAUUGGAUGUACUGAGAUAAAUAAUAGUAUAAUCUCUACUUGCAUACUACGAACGAGAAAUCUUCAUUCUGACUUGCAAUAAGGGAGUUUGUUUAGCUGUGCCUUAUUAGGAAAUGAAGAUACCCCCAGCUGUUAACGUGGUAUCCAAGCUAUCCUUAUUAUAUGUCAGCUCAAAAGGAAUGCCAAGUGCCGAGCUGUUGUGAGAGUUGAUGGUUGUGAUUGGUUACCAAAAAUCAAAGUCACCCACUCAAGAGAGAAAGUCAAUGCUCACGUUGGCUUCCAUUUUUCUCACACGCAAACCAAACACAUCUUGCUCACACCAUUAUCUUCUCCAUUUUGCACUGUGCUUGUGCUAAUCUGUGUAGUAUUGUUGGCAAUUUGGGAUAUGUUGGUCUCGCCAGGAGGCCUGUGCUAAUCUGUGCUAUUUCUGAAAAUAUGCUCCCCUAAUCUCCAAUUAUAUUAUGCGUAAAACCAAAAAGGUCAGACUUCUUGAGAACAUGCCAGUGCUGAUUUGUGUUUUUCCUGCUGAUAUGCACUUUAGUAUAUCAAAAUGUACACUUAAUUAGAUGUUUUAAUUUUAAAGUCACAGUUAGAGAGAGGGACAGUGCACCAACCAGCUGGUGCAAACGAAUGACCUGUGUGACGACCUGAGCGUAUUCUUGAAAAAGAAACCCGAAAUACCACCUAGAUCCAUCCACCAUUAUUGCCAGUGUUAAAAAAAAAUACAGGCGUCUUCUGGGCUCUAAAAGCCAUUUCUGGGUCUUAUCUCUUGAAGAAGCAUUUGAUGCAUUUAAGAUUCAACCAAUUAAGAAAACCAAUGUUCUGGCCUUCCAUCCGUGGCAGGAACUCAGAGAUGAAUUGUCUUUUGCACAAGUAUGCUGACACACGUCUAGUCAGUCGAGGUAAUUUUUGGAUUUGCAUUCCUGUGACCUCUGGUAUUUGGAAAAAGUAAAUCAUAUUUGCUAAGUUCACAGCCAAUGGAGCGAAAAUUUUGAAAAACUGCUUUGGAUUUACUGGCAUAAAUAUCUAGAGAGAAUUCCUUAUUAGACACUCCCUUAAAAUCAUGUUCCUUAUUUGACACUAGAAAAAAUUUCUUCCCUAUAUGACCUAUAGUCUUAAUUUCUUUCCCUAUAUGACACUCUAGUGCAUUUUGUUCACGUGAAAAGACCAUUUUACCCAUAUGUAUAAUGUGACCGCAAAUAUGUACAAGAUAAUAGUUGUUCCAAAAAAAUCAGUCGAGUUAUCCAUAUGUGACAUCAUAUAUGCUGGUAUUGUCAUGUCAGUCGAUUUACUAUUGUGCUAAGAAAUCAUGACCGAGGCCUUCGAUGGUUCAUGUGCUAAUUGACCUCAGCUAGUUGUCUAUACGUAUUUGUGUACAUAUACGUGGCCAGCUUGCCGGCCGGAGCGUAGAUAUUUAAAUACGUACGCGCACCCUGACGAUCAAGCGAAUACAUGUAUUCUAGCUUCGUAUGACCCGGUUCAUAUACAUACGUAUGUUGGCUGCACCGAACCGGGCCUACAUUCGUGCUAGCACGCAACUUCCUUCCAUACUUGCAAAUACGUGCACAUGCACUAAUGGCAUGCACGUAGGCGAUCACGGAAGCACACACAAAAAUGCUUAAAAAAUUCAUUCAUUUUUAAGAAUGCAUUUUAGUGUUAAAGCACACGUACAAAAGUACGUCAAACAAUCACACUCACAAACCAUACCGCAUGAACUAGACCCACAGCUGAAUACGUUCUAAAUACAUUGGAUGCAUGCGCUCAGGUAUACAGAAUACACAUGCAUCCCAAAAAAGACCAACGGAGGAGAUAACAUGUUCAGCUGUGCUCACUCUUAGAAACGAUUUUUUCCUAAUUAGGCUCAAUGCUACAUAUUUCUGGUCACAUUAUGUACAGGGGCAAAAAGGUCUUUUCACGUGUACAAAAUGAACUAGAGUGUCAUAUAGGGAAAGAAAUUAAGACUAUAAGUCAUAUAGGGAAGAAAUUUUUUCCCGUGUCAAAUAAGGAACACAAUUUUAAGAGAAUGUCAAAUAAGGAAUUCUCUCAAAUAUCUAAUACAAUGACCCACUUGCAGAAUUCAGCUGCGUAGCCUGACAGUGAUGUACGUACAUUUGUGGCUUUGCUAGCUGAGUAACUCUGUGCUUUAUGUGGAUGCCACUUCAAAUAAGCAUCAAAUUUGUGCCUAUGCGUGCUAUGCAGGUGGACGAGAAGCAGUUGGCAUGGACAUUCCUUUUCUCUCUGAUGUCUGGCAAGAAAGUCCGUCUUCUGUGCAGCGAUAUCCAUGUUAGUUACAAUAUCCAAUCAUCUCUAUAAUUAUAAUCUCAGUGUUUAUUCUGUUUUGUAUUGUCGUAUUUCAUAUGUGCAUCAGAGGAAAUGUGCUUUCUAGCUAGAGGCAUGUUGCAGCUGGCCGAGUCGCAGAUCUCAUUUAUAUGGCCAUAGGCGGUGACCAAUACAAGGGCACUGGAAUUUAUCUUCGAAUGCCACUGUUGUUCUAGCUCUUUGUCUUUACUUUUGUUGCUUCUGUUGUAUGGCUGCAAAGUUAGGCUUCAUCUGAUUUUAGUUAGUCAAGCGAUCUCGUUAAGAUGAUAAAAAGAAUUCCACACGAUGACACGACCCUUUAUUCCGCUCUUCACCGUCUCACAAUAACGGAACAUAUUAAGCUCAACAAAUCGUAUCCCUCAAAAAUAAAAAAGCUCACCAAAUUGUAUCGCAUACUCAUACAUAUCUUUCAUCGUCAAAUAACAGGAGAUUGUCAAGUUGUGUUUUAUCAUAUCAGUAUAUUAAGUGUAUCUUUUGUCCAUAUGAGCAAGGGAUAAUCAUCUGCCAGCUUAUUAUAUGCUCAUCUCUGAGAUCGAUCAUACCUCUUCAAUCUUAUUAGAGGUGUCAUUAAGAAAUGACAAGAAAUUAACUACUUGCCACCGGGUCUUCUCUCUUCAGCAGGAAGCAUGUGAUGCAUUCAAGAUUCACGAAAACCAAUAUUGUGGUCCUCCCUAUGCAGCAGGUACUUGUGAUGAAUUGUAUUUUGUAAGUGCACUGUAUGUGUGCUGUCAGCCAGCAGUGGAGGUAAUUGUUUAGCUUGCAUUCCUGCAACUUCUUGUAUCUGGAAAGGACACUCUUACUAUUUGCUGAGUUCACCGCCAAUGUAUCUUCACUUUGGAAAAACUGCAUUCGAUGUACCCACAUAAAUAUAUAAUAUAAUGAUGAUCUAAUAGCAAAUUAUAUGGCCAUAGGCAGUGAUGAUCAAUAAAAGGGCACUGGAAUUUAUCUUCUAAUGUAUACGUCACUAUUUUUUUAGCUCUCUGUCUUCAUUUUUGCUUCCUCUGUUGUAUGGUUAAAAAGUUAGGUUUCAGCUGAUUUUAGUUAGUUAUAAGCGGAUCUCGUUAAGCUCUUUAUCUUUAUUUUUGCUGCCUCCGUUGUAUGGUUAAAAAUUUAGGUUACAUCUGAUUUUAGUUUGUUAGGCGGAUCGCGUUAAACUGAUAAGAACUCCGUAUAGUCCUUUAUUCUGGUCUUCACUGCCUCAAAAUAACAGAACCUAUUAAGUGUCGAAAUUGUAUCUCACAAUCAUACAUAUCUUUCAUCGUUGAAUAACACAAAUUAUCAUAUCAGUACAAAAGUAUAUAUCGUUUGUCCAUAUGCACAAGAGAUAAUCAUCUGCCAGCUGAUUAUUCUUAUCUUUGAGAUCCGAUCCUGUACUCAAUGUUAAUUAGGGGUGUCAUUAAAAAAGACAAGAAAAUAACCACUUGCCCUCGGGUCUUCUCUUGUCAGCAGAAAGCAUGUGAUGCAUUCAAGUUUCAAUGAAUUCACGAAAACCAAUAUUGUGGUCCUCGAGAUGAAUUGUAUUUUGUAGGUGUACUGUAUGUGUGCUGUCACCCGUCAGUUGAGGUAAUUGUUUAAUUUGCAUUCCUGCAACCUCUUGUAUGUAUUCGGAAAGAAAAUUCUUACUAUUUUCCGAGUUCACAGCCAAUCCAUUAUCACUUCCGAAAAACUGCAUUGGAUCUACUGACGUAAAUAUAUAAUAGAGUGAUCUACUUGCAAUAUUAAGAACGAGAAAUCUUCAUUCUGACUUGCAAUAAGAGGGGUUAGUCUAGCUUUUUCCUGCUAAUAAAUGAAGGUACCCAUUACUGUCACCAGUUAAUGUGGUAUGCUAGUUGUCCUUAUUAUAUAUCAGCCCCAAAAAAGAAUGCCCAGUGCUGAGCUAU